rnacentral:lncRNA from 1 species
AGGACUUCGUCAACCUGCACAACCGCGCCCGCGCGGCGGACGGCGUCGGCCCUGUGACGUGGGACAACAGCGUGGCCAGGUUCGCGCAGGACUACGCGAACAAGCGCGCCGCCGACUGCCGGCUGCAGCACUCCGGCGGGCCGUUCGGCGAGAACAUCUUCUGGGGGUCCGGGCAGUCGUGGACGGCCGCGAACGCCGUGAAGUCGUGGGUGGACGAGAAGCGGAACUACCACCUCAACAGCAACACCUGCGAUGCCGGCAAGGUGUGCGGGCACUACACGCAGGUGGUGUGGCGCAAGUCGACCCGCAUCGGCUGCGCGCGCGUGGUCUGCGCCGGGAACCGGGGCGUCUUCAUCACCUGCAACUACAACCCUCCGGGCAACUUCAACGGCGAGCGCCCGUUCCUCACCCUUGACGCCGAAGCCAAGUAGUACAUACGUGCGUGUGUGUUUUUUUUGCGGGUGACGUGCGUGUGUUUAUCUGUGUGUAUUUUGAAUAUUUACGUCUAUUCUUAUGUUACGUACAGUACGUACGUAAAUAAGCCCACAUUCCGGCCUGCAUGUAUCCAUGCGGCUCUGUGGAGCGUGUAAAUGUAACCAUAUAUACCUCCACAUGCAAAUGUCUUUCCUUUUGUUUUCUUGUUCAAAUCUGGGAGCUAGCCAAAUAAAUGACGAUAACAAUAAUAUUGUGAACCCCUGAAAAAAGAAAUAAUUUGAUAUACUUACUGGACGAUACUUUCAAACGAAAUUUGAAUUUGUUUUUAAGGAUAUCCCCUACAGUAAGCGAUAAGGUUGUAUUUGAUUCUGAGAAUAAGAAAAGCAUAGGAAAAAAAUGUUUUCAAAGAUAAUAAACCCAGUGCACCCUUAUAUUUAUUAAGUAAGAUUGGGUUUGAUUACGAAAAUGUCAAGGUAUAACGAAGACAAAGAUCUGGGGACUUGAACACGUUACUAGCAGAGAAAUGGCACUCUCUUGUGCACCAUUACGCCAAGACCUCGCCAAUGAAACAAACAGAAAGGCACAAGUUUGUAUACGUUAAUGACUUAAAUUCUAAAUAUAUUUGUUAUCAAUGACUUAAAUUCUGAUUAAUCAGGAAAAAUAAUGGGCUGGUGUGCUUCAUAGUUUGGCAUGGGUUCUUACUGCGGCUUUGCUAGAGUACAAACUAUAUUGCAGACAUUAAGAUCCACAUGGGGAUUGGAGUGCAUCUAGGCUGCAUAGUGUUCCCUCUCAGUCAGCUUGUUGUUCGUCACAGGGAGGAGCGGUGACACGACAUGGGUAGGUCUAUGGUGCAGAACGUGGUCUGUAUAUUUUGCAGGGAAUAUAUUUAUUUCAUGUUCAUGUUGUUUUCCUUGGUGUACUCCAUAUAUUAAAUGCUCUUUGAAUUUUCCACAGCUCACUUAAAAGCUUAUCCAUGCAACAUGAUGUUCACUGAAAGUUCGUUUUCUGUGUCGGGGGAAGGAAGAAACUCGAAUACGCUGUCAUGCACAUGAAUCAUUUGAUCCUCCAGCAGGCAGCAGCCUUCGUUGUCUUGACUCCAAACAAAAGCUGAUUAGCCGCCGGGACAACAUGUCAGAAUUUGAAUAACUUGUGUAUUGACCCGGCUCCUCUAUCAUAGCUGUCAAAUGACUAUUAUUGAAGCAUGAUGAUCCGAUCGGUUGCCUUUAGCUAGUCAGAUGUCCUUAUCCUAGUUGUAUGAUAAUUCCUCCGUUCCGAAUUAUUUGUCGCAUAAAUAGAUAGAAAUGGAUAUAUCCAGAAUUAAAAAUAGGUCUAUAUACAUCUAUUACUGCGACAAAUAAUUGCGGAUGGCGGGAGUAUAUGUGAAAGUUUUGGUUGCGCCACCAUACCAGUGUGUCCUUUAUCCUCUCCUCACCGUCCAUUCUUUCAUCAAAUUCGUGAAAGAAAACUUCUCUUUUUUGGUUCUUCCAAAUAAAGAACAUGUAAAUUUGAAACUUUGCAGAUCAACAUCACACAAGUACUGCCAUGUGGAGAAUAGUUUUCGGAUUUUUUGACGCAAGAUAAAUUUUUUAAAAUGAUACAAUUCAUUCUAAAAUUUGAAAUUUGACAAAUUUAUGUUUCAUCCAACAAAAUCGGAAACAUUUCAUACAGUGAGUGACACUUGUAUAUAGUUGAUCCGCAAAGUUUCAAGGUCAAACAGUCUCUUGUUUGGAAGAAACAAAAAAUAGAAACUUCUAUAUAAGGAUAGCACGAAUCUUGAUGCAAACUGACUGGUCUAGAUAGAGUACAUUGGCUGAACUAAUUUCUUUUAGAUUUCUAUAUUUUACACAUCUUAGAAUUAUUAGCCUAUUUUAUUUCUUGAAUUGACAUGUAUUUAUGUGUAUUAGGGCCUGAUAAUUCCUUGAAAUUUUUGUUUGUAUGUAGGAAUACACCCUCAAAAAACUUCCUUUUGCCUAAAGAAAAUUUACGCAUGGGUGAUUUUUCCCAUUUUUUCUUUACAGAGUAUUCAUGUUUGGUUUGGGGCGGUGAGGUGAGGGAGUGUGGGAAUAAUGUUCUCCCAACCCUUUUCCUGUUCCGUUGGCAUGCUUAUCAUCACCGGUGGAAGGCGUGCAGAGCCGUGUCUCUAGCGCGUCUUCCGGAAUCCUAUUGGUUCGGGUUUUUGGUGGUUCUGUCUGGAUACAGCCGGUAUUGGUAGUCUAGGGAGUUCCUACAUGCCCUUAUCUAGUGAAAGUAUGCAAAAUUGAACCUAUGAACCCUAGGUUUUGUUUUCAAUCAUUAAAACUUCAUUUUACUCACUUUUGCAUACUUUUACUUUGUUCAUUUUAUUUAUUUUGAAAGCACAUAAACACUUAUAUCAUCGAAAUUAUUAAUCUCUUCAUCAAACUAGUGCACUUGCUAUAAGGGAACAAACUACACAAUAAAUUUUUAUCGCUACAAUCAUGACCAAGAUCACUAUGACGAUGACAGGAUGAAUCCAAUCUCACCAGCAAAAACACAACAAAGAGGAAGAAGAUGUGGGCAAUGACUCGCCAAUUCCGAUAGCUAGGUCGUACCUCCUAGCUGUGAGAAUAUCUUCAUCGAUCGAGAUUCGGUGUAGAUGACCCCUCAGCGGUAUCGAUGCGUACCAAAUUAGAGGUUUGGCAACACUUCGUUGUCCAGGAAAAGAUGGUCAAGAGGACUAGAGGGAGGAGCAGCCUAGCGGCUUAUCGGUCACACAGUGGGAAAGAGAAAUUUUGCGCAGAAGGGUGCAGUUGUCAUGACUUCACUAGUAGAAAAUAGGCCUUUCGUCUGGUCCAUUAGUCCCAGUCAGGUUUUGGCCCUGGACUAAUGGUACAAUUAGUCUCGGUUCCAACGGCUAGGAUUUAGUCCCGGUUCAUUUUUUACCUAUAGUCCCGGGACUAAAGGGGUGGUGGCAGGCUGGCGUCAGGCUGGGUCCACCACGAGCCCCUUUAGUCCCGGUUUGUAUCACAAACCGGGACUAGAGGUAGACCUCUAGUCCUGGUUUUUAUAACCAACCGGGACUAAAGAUGUCCCUGUAUAAACCCUUCGUCCAGCCCAAGCCCAUUAUCUGCUUUCUCCUUUCCCCUCUCUGCUAUUCCCCUUAGCUCGAGCUCAUCCUCCAUUUUUGCCAAGAUUUGUCAAUAUUUGAGGCACCCCAUCUCUCCAAGUGUUCACAAAGGUUAGCAACUUUGUCCUUUCAUCUCUCAUUGCUAGAUUAGCUCGUGCAAUGCUCUAUAAGUAUAGUGAUUUGUGGGUUUUAGUUUGGGAGUAAUUAUGUGGGAGUUUAUUUGAUUUAUAUGCAAUUUGAGCUCAAAUUAACUUCUUAGUUUGCAUAUGUGUAGGUGUGGUUUACUUAGUGCCUUCCCGUCCCCGUCCUAACCACCGUUGAUCGCGCACACCGUCCCGUCGCCGGCACCACCUUGGUGAGCCUCUUGUUCUUAUCCUUUUUAUAAAAAAAAUCUUAUUUGUAUGAUUUAGAUAGUUACUUGUAUAAUUUUCUUACUUGUAUGAUUGUUUGUUAUACAUAGUGACAUGGUCUUGAUAUCCGUCCCUGUCGGCCCUCGUCCGGUUUAUGAUUUGGAUGUGGUAUUCUCUUUUAUAACUAUUUGUUGCAUUUCGCGUUUAUGACAAUGAUGCCCAUCAAGUUGACAUAGAUAUUUUUAUCUAGGAGGUAUGUGAACCGGAAAUUGCAACCGACCCUCCUGUUGAGAAGUUAAACUUAGUUGAAAAAGAAAAAGUGUAUUUGAAACAAAAAUUGAAAAGAAUUGAAGAAGAGAAGAUGAAAUUGGAGUUGUAUGUUGCCGAUGUCAUCGAUGAUCACAAGAUCAAGAUGGAUGCAAAUGCGCUUGAAGAUUAGAAAGAUUAGAAAAUAUGCCUUUAAUAAAGAGGCUUGGUAUCACUAUGAUGUUGGAUCAAUUGUUACCUUAGUUGCAAUCUUGAUCGCAUUUGUUGUUGCAUUUAGAUGCUUUAGCUUUGUUUUAUGGGAAUAAGUGUGUAUGAACUUGUAUUUUUCGGUGUUGUGUAAUGAAGAUGAGCCGGCAAUGGAUGUACGAUGACUGACGCUCUCCCCAGUUCAUUGAUGGCGUGUAUAGUUUUCUAUGUGCAGCUGAGGCAAACAAGCGGGAUGGUUUUAUGUGUUGUCCAUGUGUUGUCUGUAAGAAUGAUAACAAUUACUCUAGCUCAAGAGUCAUUCACAUCCACUUGUUUACGUCCGGCUAUAAUUGUUGGACCAAGCACGGAGAAAGAGGGAUUCUAAUGGAAGAGAAUGAAGAAGAAGAGGAUGAUGACAGCUAUCCUGGGUUCCCUAAAUACGAUGGUAAUACAAUGGGGAAAGAAGCUGAAGAAGAGGCAUCAGAUGAGCCCGCUGAUGAUCUUGGUCGGGCCAUUGCUGAUGCAAAGAGAAUCUGCGCAAGUGAAAAGGAGAGUUGAAGUUGCAGCGCAUGUUAGAGGAUCACAAGAAAUUGUUGUACCCAAAUUGCGAAGAUGACAAGAAAAAACUGGGUACCACACUGGAAUUACUGCAAUGGAAGGCAGAGAAUGGUGUAUCUGAUAAGGGAUUUGAAAAGUUGCUGAAAAUGUUAAAGAAUAUGCUUCCAAAGGACAACGAAUUGCCCGACAGUACGUAUGAAGCAAAGAAGGUUGUCUGCCCUCUAGGAUUAGAGGUACAAAAGAUACAUGCAUGUCCUAAUGACUGCAUCCUCUAUCGCGGUGAGGAGUACGAGAAUUUGAAUGCAUGCUCGGUAUGCGGUGCAUUGCGCUAUAAGAUCAGCUGCGAUGACCCUGGUGAUGUUGAGGGCGAGCGCCCCAGGAAGAGGAUUCCUGCCAAGGUGAUGUGGUAUGCUCCAAUAAUACCAUGGUUGAAACAUUUAUUCCAAAACAAAGAGCAUCCCAAGUUGAUGCGAUGGCACAAAAAAGACCGUAAGAAAGACGGGAAGUUGAGAGUACCCGUUGAUGGGUCGCAAUGGAGAAAAAUCGAGAGAAAGUAGCCGGACUUUGCAGGUGGUGCAAGGAACUUUUGGUUUGAUUUAAGUGCAUAUGGCAUUAAUCCUUUUGGGGAGCAGAGCAACAAUCAUAGCACCUGGCCUGUGACUCUAUGUAUCUAUAACCUUCCUCAAUCGUUGUGCAUGAAGCGGAAGUUCAUUAUCAUACCAGUGCUCAUCCAAGGCCCCAAGCAACCCGGCAACGACAUUGAUGUGUACCUAAGGCCAUUAGUUGAAGAACUUUUACAGUUGUGGGAUAAAAAUGGUGUAUGUGUGUGGGGUGAGCACAAACGGCGCGCAGGAAUUUGACCUACGAGCGUUGCUGUUUGUAACCAUCAAUGAUUGGCCUGCUCUCAGUAACCUUUGAGGACAAACAAACAAGGGAUACCACGCAUGCAUGCACUAUUUAGAUGAUACCCAAAGUAUAUAUUCGGGUAAAUGUAAGAAGAAUGUGUACCUGGGACAUCGUCGAUUUCUUCCGAUCAAGUUUCUCUUAAGAAAGAAAGGCAAGCAUUUCAAAGGUGAGGCAGAUCACGGGAAGAAGCUUGAGCACCGUACUGGUGAUCAUAUACUUGAUAUGGUCAAGGAUUUAAAAGUAAUCUUUGGAAAGGGUCCUGGCGGACAAUCUAUUCCGAAUGACGCUGACGGACACGCACUCAUGUGGAAGAAGAAAUCUAUAUUUUGGGACCUACCCUAUUGGAGAGUCCUAGAGGCCCACUCUGCAAUCGACGUGAUGCACGUGACGAAGAAUCUUUGCGUGAAGCUGCUAAGCUUCUUGGGCAUGUAUGGGAAGACAAAAGAUACACCGGAGGCACGGGAGGACCAGCAACGUAUGCAUGGAAAAGACGGCAUGCAUCCAAAGCAGUAUCAAGGUCCUGCCAGCUACGCUCUUACCAAAGUAGAGAAGGAAAUCUUCUUUGAAUGCCUGCUCAGUAUGAAGGUCCUGUCUGGCUACUCGUCGAAUAUAAAGGGUGUCGGUGGAAAACGACACCUAUGGGAUCACUGGAAUCCCUUCUACGGUUGGCGGGCAUGGGGUUGUGCAAAGAGCAGGUCUAGAAGCCAGCACAAAGAUCGUUUACCCAGGUUCAGGCCGCGAGGAUGCGUAAUACCCUAGUCCUGCUUUGGUGUAUAUUUCAGUGUUCUUGAGCUCUCGAACUAGCUGUGGUGCGUGCGUAGUCCAAAAGAUCUGAAUCCUUCUCCCGUACGCCUCGAGCCUCCUUUUAUAGUCAAAAGGGGUUGCCAAAGUGACACACAGGAGGUGGAAAGGUAUACAGUGGUUAAGUCUAUCCUCUGGCACCAUUGGAAAAACACAUUUAAUGCGCUGCCAACGUGCCCUUCUUGCUUUAUCGGGGAUGGCUGGCAGCUCGUCCCAGCUGUCGCCGCCUCGCCUGGCUCCGACGCGCGUCCGAGCUGAUGAGGCGUUGUAGUGCCACAUUGGCUGGCUGCUGGGCUGGCGCGGUGGCAGAGUCUUCACGAAGAUCUGUAUGCCACCACAUAGGUGCUUGCUGAGUUGGCCUGGAGGCCGCGCGUCGCCACGCAGGUGCCUGCCCAGCUGUUUGGGCUGGCAGCUGUAUGGGAACAUCGGUGGAGUCUUGGCAGACGUGGGCCUGGCUGUGGCCCCGCAGGUGUCCUCGGCAAGGGUCUUGCCGGGGCCCCAGCAAGGGCCUUGCCGUGGCAUCGCGGUCGUCCCCGGCAAGGAUCUUGCCGGGGGUCUCGUGGUUUCCUCGGCAAGGAUCUUGCCGAGGAUCGUCGUCUUCUGGUCCUCAUCUGAUCUUGUGUGCUUAUGAUCUUCACAAAGAUCCGCAUGCCACCAUGGAGGUGCCUCCCGAGCCUUGGUUCCAAUGAGGUUGAUGGUGUUGGAACCCUUGGGCUCAAGGGUGGCGCGCUCUGCUGGCGUUGGGCAAGUUGCUCCGGCAAGGCUCUUGCCGGGGCUGUUGAGGCCGUCCCGGCAAAGGGCUUGCCGGGGGAGUCCACCUCGCCCUUCUGCUCUUUGUGUUUCCGUCUUGGCGUUGAUCUAGUCAUCUUGUGCCUUUGCUUCUUCUGCCCCGCCAAGCGUGGUCAGGGGCGUGGGGUUGCGACUACCCGCGCACAAGUAAAGGGGUGCAAAAAAAGAACCCCUACUUUUGUACACCGACAGGAGCCCCCGGGCCUGGGCCACAUAUAAGCGCGGAGCGUUAUUGGGCCAGGCCCAGAACGGUGCGCGGGCGCGCGGGCGGUGGAGUUUUUACCGCAGUAACUCCCUUGCUUGCUUGCGCUUCCCCACGACCCGCAUUGAAUGCGUGACGUGGAGGGUCGUGUGUGACGUUGGGGUCAUGCGUGGGGCGGUUCCUACCCUCAUGCGUCACAUCGCGGUAAAGAGGCGGCUCGCGCCUUCCCCAUAAAAAGAGGAAAACGCAGGGGCGCGGCUCAUUUACUGAGUGGACUCGAGUCGUGGCCUUCAAGGCGCCCGUGCCCUACGAUCACGGGGUGGAAAACGGUCACCUCACUCAUCCCCUCGAUUUCUUCUUGCUCGCCACAUGUCCCCCAUGCCUCGAAGAUGGUAGGCGGCAGACGCGGGUGGCACGGGCCUUAAAUGGCGAGGCGGGAAACCGGGUCGCCGCUGAUUGGAGCAGCGGGUCGGUCUCGAUUCCCUGCGCCCCUGAUGGCAGCGUUGGUUGAGUGGGGCGGCCGAGCCCCGACCCCACCCCUUUAUAAGAAGGGGAGGGGAUGGUACCCCUCAAUCUUUCAUCAUUAAUCUCCUUCCACCUUGGCUCCUUUAUUUCUUCUGGUAUGGCGAGAGGGCGCGCCGGCACUUCGACGGUGGCGACGAGGGUCUCCGCUCGACAGCGCGCCCCUCCUUCCCAAGAGCUCGUGGCGACGGAACCGGCCACGAGAGGAAGGGGGAGGGGGCGAGGCCGAGGUCGCCGUGCCACUCGGGGAACAGGAGGAUGGGGCGGUGCACCGGCCUCGCCUCCGCCAGCGGUCCCUCCCCUAAUGGAGGGCCACGUCGGGGACCAGCCCCGCAACUUCUUCAUCAGGCUGCACCGGCCAGUGCGCCGUCGUCUUCGUCUCCCUGCUCCUUUCGCUCGGGAGAUGGAGCUCGACUAGCCACAGACUCUGAGGUUGCAUAUGAGGGGCUGCGGGAAUGGCGGCACGCGGGUUGAUGUCGACUUUUCCAUCCCUCAUGUCAUGUAUCUUCGUCGCGGAUGGAAGACCUUCGCUCAUGUCCAUAGCCUGACGGAGGGGCUCGUUCUCUACUUCAAAUUAAUGGAGAACGGCCUGCUCUCCGUCAAGGUCUUUGGGGACUUUGGAACUCGCCUAAAGUGUUGCGUGGAGAGCUCCUCCGAUGACGAAGACUCCUCCUCAAGCGGAAGUGACGAGGAGGACAGCGACAGCGACGACGAGGGCGUCGAGCGGGGGGACACCGAAUCCGACUCCGACUGACCGCGUCGCCCCUCCCUUGGCCACGCGCCCUGCCGAGGGCCUUCCUCGUCAAGCUCUCCAUCAGCGCGUUCCCCGUCGCCCCCUUUUUUCCUUCACCUACCGCACCUGGGAGGAAAGGGGCAAGAACGGGGAUCAUGGGGCACUUAUCUUUUUUUAGUUUGUAAUCCUACGGGCCUUUGUAAGAUUUAAAUCUCGUAACCCCCUUGCUCAUGUAUGGAUUCCGUACGAAUUGUACUUGUUAGCAACGUAUUAAUCAGGAGAAGGGUGUUUGUCGGGUUUUGUUUGCGCGUGGGCAAGGGCCACACCAAGGAACGAGUCCUCGUUAUCUUAAGAUAAACACUGUACCCCGGCAACAGGCCUUGCCGUCUUCCUACUCUAUAGCUCGGUUACACUCACGCCCUUGGCGGAGGUAGGGGCCGAGUAGGAUUAGGCCCUUCGCUCGUCCCCUCCCCAUCGCGCUACAACCAAGUUCCAGCACAAAGUAAGGUUUUCGGACACGGGACAGAGGGAGCAAGAUGGUAUGAGAGCGAGUGAAGUCUCGUACGUUCAAGUUUCAUACGGAGGUACAAAGUGGGGGGAAAAGACUUAUCUGAUGUCGCAGCCCCUGGCAACCUUGGCUUGCCAUGAUCAGAUCCUUAGACCUACAGCCCCCGGCAACCUUGGCUUGUCGGGGUCGAGGCGUCGGCCUGUUCUCUUCCUUCCAAAAUAGCUCAGCGGAAAUGUCCACGCACCCUGUGAACCAAAAAGGACGGGAAGGAACAGAGAGAUGCAUACUCGAACUCUAUGCUAAGGGUUAGUCGCCGCCAAGCAAUAUCAACCCUAACACACAGAGAGACUCAACCUAGCAUGCAUGCUAAAACUUAGGGCGCCAGCGCUUCAUUUAUUUAUGCUCAGGGUCUGCGCCUGGCUUUGUACAAAGGGUUACAUGCCUUGCCGGCAAGGCUUGCACAAAAGGUGGUUUGCCGGGGAGCUCGGCAACCGCGCCUUAUGGGUAAAACUUGCGAAGAUGUUCGAUGUUCCAGGAGUUGCUCACUGGAAUACCAUCUUCGGUCUCCAGGCGGACUGCGCCGGGCCUGGUGACUCGUAUUACCCGAUAAGGGCCUUCCCACUUCGGCAUCAACUUGUUGGAAUUCUUGGCCGACUGAACAUGCUGAAGAACAAGGUCGCCUUCCUCAAAGCUUCGGGCAUAAACCUUGCGGCUAUGGUAGCGGCGCAAGGCUUGCUGGUAGCGUGCUGCUCGCACAGCCGCCCGAAGACGAUCUUCCUCAAGGAGCGUUGCGUCAUCUUGCCACAACUGCUCUUGCUCAAGCUCAUCAUAAGCGAGCACUCGAGGUGACCCGAACGUGAGUUCCGUGGGGAGAACUGCUUCUGCCUCGUAAACGAGGGAGAAAAGUGUCUGGCCGGUGGCUCGAUUUGGUGUCGUUCUGAUUGACUAAAGAACCGCCGGUAACUCAUCAAUCCAGCGCCGUCCGCACUUGUGUAGCCUGUCAAAAGUUCUUGUCCGGAGGCCUCACAAUACUUCAGCAUUCGCCCUCUCACCCUGGCCAUUUCUUCGUGGGUGUGCAACAGAAGCAAAACAGACCUUGAUGCCGAGGUCCUGGAUGUACUGCAUGAAGGUGCGACUCGUGAACUGCGUGCCGUUGUCGGUGAUGACUCUAUUUGGCACACCAAAAUGGCAGACUAGUCCCUUGAAGAAUUUGGCGGCCGACUGUGCUGUCACCUUUCUCACUGCCUCCACCUCCGACCACUUUGUGAACUUAUCGAUUGCGACGUACAAGUACUCAAAGCCCCCGACAGCACGGGGAAAGGGGCCCAAUAUGUCGAGCCCCCAAACCGAGAAUGGCCAGGAAAGAGGGAUUGUUUGUAGAGCUUGAGCUGGUUGUUGAAGCUUCUUUGAAUGGAACUGGCACGCUUCACACUUGGUUACUAGUGUCGUUGCAUCCUGGAGGUUUGUGGGCCAGAAGAAACCUUGCCGGCAAGGGCCCUCGACCCUAUGUGGGAGCCACAUAUGCCUCAGUGUAUCUCUGCCAACAGCUCCAGUCCUUCCUCCUGGGGAAUGCACUUUAAUUUCACACCGUUUGGUCUUUUUCUGUACAGAACGUCGUCGACAAACUGAUACAUGGCAGACUGACGGGCUACUUUCUCCGCUUCUUUCUGCUCCUCAGGGAGUUCCCUUGUUUGGAGGAAUCGGACGAUAUGUUGUGCCCAUGCCGGAGCCUGGGGCUCGACGGCAAGGACCAAAGGCAUUUCCUCUGCCAUGGGAGCGGCUGUCUCUACGGCCAGGGCUUGACGCCCUGCCGGAGCCUGUUGCCCCAUGGUCGGCUCAGUGUCCAUGGCAACAUCCUUGCCGACGGCUCCUGGGAGCUCGGCGGGAAAGUACUUGCCGGGGCCUGAUUUCCUCCGCUUGUUCUACUCUGUCGAUGGUUCAAUGGAUGGUUGAGUUAACCAAAGCACAAAAGUACCUGGUUCCACAGGUAGUUUGAGGGCAGCGCGUUUCGACAGGUAGUUGGCGAUGUCGUUCUCCACUCGGGGAACAUGCUCCGCUUGUAUACCGUCAAAACGCUCCUCCAGCUUCCUCACCUCAUCUACGUAGGCCUCCAUCAACGGGCUUUGAUAAUCUUUGUUAACUUGCUUGACGACAAGCUGUGAAUCACCCCUAACGAUGAUCUUCUUGAUUCUGAGGUCUGCCGCGAUCCUGAGACCGGUAAGAAACCCCUCGUAUUCAGCAGUGUUGCUUGUUGACAUCUCCCUGGGAAAGUGCAUCUGGACUACAUACUUGAGGUGCUCUCUAGUGGGUGCAACGAGCAGCACACCAGCACCGGCGCCUUGCAGCGAGAAAGCCCCGUCAAAGUACAUAAUCCAGUCGCGACUUGUUUCCUUGCCGGGAGUGGUCUCCUGAAUCUCUUCGUCGGGCGUUGAGGUCCAUUCCGCAAUGAACUCCACCAAGACUCUACUCUGAAUUUUCGAAGUGCUUUCAAACUUCAAACCAAAGCUCGACAGUUCCAAAGCCCAUUCCACAAUCCUCCCGGUUGUGUCUGGGUUAUGCAAUAUCCUUUGCAACGAGAAGCGGGUGACGACGGUGAUUUCGUGUGCUUGGAAGUAAUGACGCAGCUUCCUCGAGGCCAUAAGAAGGCCGAAGAGCAAUUUCUGCACACUGGAGUACCAUGACCUAGCCCCCUGCAAGAGGGAGCUGACAAAGUAAACCGGGCGCUGCAUCAUCUUCUUCUUCCGCACUAUUUCAUUUGGUUGCGUCGCUUCUGCUUCGCCAGCGUCAGACUCUGCCGGGGGCCUUGCCUUACCGGCACCAGGCCCUGCCGGGGGGAGCUCUGGUUUGCCAUCCACCAGCCCUGCCGUUGCCACUGCCUCUUCGUCGACCUCCCUCUGUGCCACUAGCGCGGCGCUGACCACUUGGUUCAUUGUCGUAGAUAUAGCAACAACGGUUCUUGUGGUUCAGGCGCAACCAGUAUUGGCGUAGAGGAGAGGUACUUCUUCAAAUCCUGCAGGGCUGCCUCGGCCUCUGGGGUCCAUUCCAUUGGGCCCGCCUUUUUCAAGAUUUUGAAAACGGGAAGGGCACGUUCGGCAGACUUGGAGAUGAAUCUGCUCAUGGCGGCAACGCAGCCAAUGAGCCGACGUACAUCCUUGAUCCGCCUAGGUGCCUUGAUCUGCUCAAUGGCCUUGAUCUUGUCUGGAUUCGCCUCGAUCCCACACUGUGACACAAAGAACCCGAGAAGUUUGCCGGACGAAACGCCGAAGACAAACUUCCCAGGGUUCAGCUUGAGGUUGAUCUUGCGCAAAUUUGCAAACGUCUCUUCUAAAUCUUGUACGAGUGUUGCCCUGUCCUUGGUUUUGACCACUAUGUCAUCCAUAUAAGCUUCCAUAUUUGUAUGUAGCUGGGGCUCAAAAUGAAUUUGGACCGCUCUUGCAAAUGUUGAGCCAGCACUCUUCAACCCGAAAGGCAUUCGUAAAAAACAAUACGUACCACAUGGGGUGAUGAAUGUUGUCUUCUCUUCAUCUUCUCUCGUCAUGAAGAUCUGGUGGUAUCCUGAGUAGGCGUCAAGGAACGAUAACAAGUCGCACCCGGUCGUGGAGUCAACAAUCUGGUCAAUGCGCGGCAAUGGGAAAGGGUCCUUCGGACAAGCCUUAUUGAUAUCUGUGUAAUCAAUACACAGCCUCCACUUCCCAUUUGCCUUGCGCACCACCACCGGAUUGGCCAACCACGUCAGAUGAAGUCCUCCCCUCACCAAGCAUGCCGCUUCUAACUUCCUGAUCUCCUCCGUGAUGAACUCCUGCCGUUCCAAAGCCUGCUUCCUGACCUUCUGUUUGACGGGUCGCGCAUGAGGACAGACAGCAAGAUGGUGCUCAAUCACCUCCCUGGGAACGCCGGGGAUGUCGGAUGCUUGCCAUGAAAACACAUCAACAUUCACCCGCAGGAAGGUGACGAGCGUGCCUUCCUAUUUGCAGUCAAGGGAGGAGCUUAUGGUGAAAGCCCCUCCCGUGCCAUCCUCCUUGACGGACACCUUCUUGGUCUCUGGUGGUGCAGCUCUGGAUUUCUUGCUCUUGCCGGUGGAGCUCUCUGGCACGUCCUCAAUGGGAGCACAGCACUCCGAAGAGGUGUGAUGUCUACUACGCAACCUUCUUCUUGUAGACGUUGUUGGGCCUCCAAUGCAGAGGUUUGUAGGACAGUAGCAAAUUUCCCUCAAGUGGAUGACCUAAGGUUUAUCAAUCCGUGGGAGGCGUAGGAUGAAGAUGGUCUCUCUCAAACAACCCUGCAACCAAAUAACAAAGAGUCUCUUGUGUCCCCAACACAUCCAAUACAAUGGUAAAUUGUAUAGGUGCACUAGUUCGGUGAAGAGAUGGUGAUACAAGUGCAAUAUAGAUGAUAGAUAUAGGUUUUUGUAAUCUGAAAAUAUAAAAACAGCAAGGUAACUAAUGAUAAAAGUGAGCACAAACGAUAUUGCAAUGCUAGGAAACAAGGCCUAGGGUUCAUACUUUCACUAGUGCAAGUUCUCUCAACAAUAAUAACAUAAUUGGAUCAUAUAAGUAUCCCUCAACAUGCAACGAAGAGUCACUCCAAAGUCACUAAUAGCGGAGAACAAACGAAGAGAUUAUGGUAGGGUACGAAACCACCUCAAAGUUAUCCUUUCUGAUCGAUCUAUUCAAGAGUCCGUGGUAAAAUAACAUGAAGCUAUUAUUUCCGUUCGAUCUAUCAUAGAGUUCGUACUAGAAUAACACCUUAAGACACAAAUCAACCAAAACCCUAAUGUCACCUAGAUACUCCAAUGUCACCUCAAGUAUCCGUGGGUAUGAUUAUACAAUAUGCAUCACACAAUCUCAAAUUCAUCUAUUCAAACCAACACAAAGUACUUCAAAGAGUGCCCCAAAGUUUCUACCGGAGAGUCAAGACGAAAACGUGUGCCAACCCCUAUGCAUAAGUUCACGAGGUCAUGGAACCUGCAAGUUGAUCACCAAAACGUACAUCAAGUAGACCAUGUGAUAUCCCAUUGUCACCACAGAUAAGCACAUGCAAGACAUACAUCAAGUGUUCUCAAAUCCAUAAAGACUCAAUCCGAUAGAUAACUUCAAAGGGAAAACUCAAUCCAUUACAAGAGAGUAGAGGGGGAGAAACAUCAUAAGAUCCAACUAUAAUAGCAAAGCUCGCGAUACAUCAAGAUCAUACCACCUCAAGAACACGAGAGAGAGACAUCAAACACAUAGCUACUGGUACAUACACUCAGCCCCGAGGGUGAACUACUCCCUCCUCGUCAUGGAGAGCGCCGGGAUGAUGAAGAUGGCCACCGGUGAGGGAUCCCCCCUCCGGCAGGGUGCCGGAACAGGGUCCCGAUUGGUUUUUGGUGGCUACAGAGGCUUGCGGUGGCGGAACUCCUGAUGUAUUCUGUUCUCCAAUGUUUUUAGGGUAUAUGGAUAUAUAUAUAUAGCCGAAAGAAGUCGGUCAGGGGAGCCACAAGGGGCCCACGAGGGUGGGGGCGCGCCUCCCUGCCUCGUGGCCACCUUGAUGCUUCCCUGACGUCUACUCCAAGUCUUCUGGAUUGCUUCCGUUCCAAAAAUAACUCUCCCGAAGGUUUCAUUCCGUUUGGACUCCAUUUGAUAUUCCUUUUCUUCGAAACACUGAAAUAGGCAAGAAAACAGCAAUUUGGGCUAGGCCUCCGGUUAAUAGGUUAGUCCCAAAAAUAAUAUAAAAGUGUAUAAUAAAGCCCAUAAACAUCCAAAACAGAUAAUAUAAUAGCAUGGAACAAUCAAAAAUUAUAGAUACGUUGGAGACGUAUCAAGGUGCGCUUGUCGGAGUGGGUGCGAGAGGUCUUGCCGGUCUUCUUCCCUCCCGGGGCUUCGGUGGCAGGAGCAAGUGCCUUGGCGGCAGUUGCUGCAACUGCCUCCCGGUAGAGUUGGUCAGCGCAGAUCAGCGCAUCCUUCUUGUCGGAGGGGACGGUGAUGAUGGUCAUCGGCCCAGGCAUCUUCAGCAUGUUGUAGGCGUAAUGUGAGGCCGCCAUGAACUUGGCUAGUGCUGGGCGGCCGAGGAUCCCAUUGUAGGGCAAGGAGAUCUCGGCUACAUCGAAAAUAAUCAUCUCUGUCAUGUAGUUCAACUCGCCUCCAAACGUCACGGGCAGCGUGACCUUACCCUUCGGCUGACUCCUUCCCGGGUUGACCCCUUGAAAUGUGCCCGUCUCUUCGAGGUCUUCAUCAGGAAUCUGCAGCCUUUUGAUCACAACAGGCGAGAUCAAGUUCAGACCGGCCCCGGCAUCAACCAGCAUUUUCGUCACCUUGAGGUUGCGUAUUGUUGGUGAAACCAACAGCGGCAAACACCCGACCGCAGUUGUGCGAUCAGGGUGGUCCUCGGUGUAAAAAUGAUAGGCGUGCUGGACCACUUCAGUGGCGUUUGAGCAUCGAACGAGGGUUCUGCUACUGUGAUCUCACGCGCGCACUGCUUGAGCUGGCGGUGAGAGGUGUGCAGCGAGGCGCCACCGUCGACGCACAUGGCCUCUGUAGCUUUCUGGAACUCAUGCUCGCCGUACUCGUCGUCCUCGUCAUGAUCAUCGUCUUCUUGCUUCUUGUCGCGGCCCCGAGCAGGCCUCUCUUGCUGAUCCUUGCCGCGGCGACCUCCUUGGCCGCCACGCUUCUUGCCGGAUCCCUCGGCACCAUCCCGACCCUUCUCCUUGUCCCGCCUCUCAUACUCAGCUUUUUGCUUCUCAGCAAGCAGCUCAACUUGCCGGCAAUUCUGGAGGUCGUGGCCCUUGGUGCGGUGGAUCUUGUAGUACUGCUUGUCGGAGCCUCCUUGCUUGUCGGCAGCCGCCAAGGCCCGGCAAGCGGCGCACCCGGCAGUUUCCUUGCCGGGGUCGUCUGCCUUGGCCUUCUUGGCAGCGCCGGUGUCCUCGGAUCCCUCGACGACAAGCACGGUCUUGCCCUUGCGCUUCCUGUUGCAGCGCCGACCCUUCUUCGUCGGGGCGGCUGUGUCUUCGUCUGUGGAGUCGGUUUCCGCACCGGCGUCCUCGCCGGGGUACUUCCUCCCCUCUUCAGCUCGAGCGCACCUAUCGGCCAGAACAUAAAGUUCGGCCACAUCUUUGACCUUAUUCAUCGCCAGCUCUUCACGCAUCUUGCGGUUGCGCACAUUCUGAUGGAAUGCGCUGAUCACGGCGGCGGGAUGAACAUCUGGGAUGUUGUACUGCACCCGGCUGAACCUCUGUAUGUACUUGCGCAGGGUUUCACCUUCCUUCUGGGGGGUGAUAUGCAAAUCGCUUACCUGGCCAUGAGCUUGGUGGCCUCCAGUGAAGGCGCCAACGAACUCAUGACACAAAUCCGACCAAGAAGAAAUGGAAUCCGCCGGCAAGUGCAUCAACCAUGACAUGACAUUGGGUUUAAGUGCCAACGGGAAGUAAUUGGCAAGCACCUUGUCGUCGCGAGCUCCAGCAGCUUGCAUCGUGAUGGUGUAGAUGCUGAGGAACUCCGACGAGUGGGUCUUGCCGUUGUACUUCUCGCCAACGUCGGGCUUGAACGUGCGGUGGUAGGGCCACUGGAACUGUCACAGCUCACGGGUAAAGGCUGGGCAACCCACCUCGUAGGGUAGGCCGCCAGAGCCUCCCGGUGCUGGGUGGUCCAUAGUGGGCCUCGCCCGCCUAUCUGACUGGUGGGGUGCUUCACGCCGGCGCUCGAUGGUGGUUCGAGCGUCUUCAUGGGCUCGCUCUCGAAGAACUUGGCGCUGAUCGCGGUGGGUCCGUGGGUCGGACGAUGCUAUGGAAAUGUUAUCACAAGCGUCAUCACGACGGAUCGACACCCACAGUGGCUGGUCUGGGGGAGGAGAGUGCAUCAUGGCCGCAGAACCUCCGGUCCUUCCACCACCGGCAUGCGGUGGCUCGACGGAGCGCCGUCCCGAGGGCCCCGCUGGUCGUGGCUCAUCUUUGUUGGCAACGGCGACGAGGCUCCGGAUGGUGGCUCUCCACUCGUCGAGAUUUUCCGCAGCAGGAGGAAAGUCGAGGAGCAACUGCGCACGCACCAAAGCUUCUGCUGGCGUGGGUGGCGGCGAAAGCUGCGUGGACCAUGACGCUCUCCGACUUCUAACCAUGUUAGAAGGAGCUCUAUCACGGCCUUGCGGCUGUGCGCCAUUUUCGCCCGUGCCUCGGCGUGCUUGUUGGCCUUCUACGUCCUGCGAAUGAGGCACAUGACUCUUCCCACGGCGGCGCCCGGGCUCACCAGCGUGGUGACGCUGCUCGUCACGCACAACCUGGGAAGAGCGCGUCGUGGGCGCCGGCGUAGGCAUCUUGGAAGUCACCGCGCCGCCCAUGGGCGGCACGACGCGGCCCUUGGAGGGCCCCGCGCCGCCUGCGGGGGGCCCGGCUCCGUCUUUGCAUUUGGCGGCGUGCGGCCCGUCGUCUCGCACACGAACGACGCCGCUCGCCAGGCUUUGACUGCCAGAGCAAUGUGGGUGUUCGCGGGCCACGCCUCGGCUUCCAUCCGUGACCGCCCCACCACUCGCCCGCACUGGUACGGGUCGUUCGGCUCCCGAUGAACUGAUCGCCAUGAUCGUCUUCUUCUUGGGAGCCAUGGCGAUGAAGAACUGCUAAACUAACUGCUAGACCGGAUUUUCACAACCGCGCCCCCUACCUAGUGCGCCAAAGAUGUCGGUGGAAAACGACAACUAUGGGAUCACUGGAAUCCCUUCUACAGUUGGCGGGCGCGGGGUUGUGCAAAGAGCUGGUCUAGAAGCCAGCACAAAGAUCAUUUACCCAGGUUCGGGCUGCGAGGAUGUGUAAUACCCUAGUCCUGCUUUGGUGUAUAUUUGAGUGUUCUUGAGCUCUCGAACUAGCUGUGGUGCGUGCGUAGUCCAAAAGAUCCGAAUCCUUCUCCCGUACGCCUCGGGCCUCCUUUUAUAGUCAAAAGGGGUUGCCAAAGUGACACACAGGAGGUGGAAAGGUAUACAGUGGUUAAGUCUAUCCUCUGGCACCAUUGGAAAAACGCAUUUAAUGCGCUGCCAACGUGCCCUUCUUGCUUUAUCGGGGAUGGCUGGCAGCUCGUCCCAGCUGUCGCCGCCUCGCCUGGCUCCGACGCGCGUCCGAGCUGAUGAGGCGUUGUAGUGCCACAUUGGCUGGCUGCUGGGCUGGCGCGGUGGCAGAGUCUUCACGAAGAUCUGUAUGCCACCACAUAGGUGCUUGCUGAGUUGGCCUGGAGGCCGCGCAUCGCCACGCAGGUGCCUGCCCAGCUGUUUGGGCUGGCAGCUGUAUGGGAACAUCGGUGGAGUCUUGGCAGACGUGGGCCUGGCUGUGGCCCCGCAGGUGUCCUCGGCAAGGGUCUUGCCGGGGCCCCAGCAAGGGCCUUGCCGUGGCAUCGCGGUCGUCCCCGGCAAGGAUCUUGCCGGGGGUCUCGUGGUUUCCUCGGCAAGGAUCUUGCCGAGGAUCGUCGUCUUCUGGUCCUCAUCUGAUCUUGUGUGCUUAUGAUCUUCACAAAGAUCCGCAUGCCACCAUGGAGGUGCCUCCCGAGCCUUGGUUCCAAUGAGGUUGAUGGUGUUGGAACCCUUGGGCUCAAGGGUGGCGCGCUCUGCUGGCGUUGGGCAAGUUGCUCCGGCAAGGCUCUUGCCGGGGCUGUUGAGGCCGUCCCGGCAAAGGGCUUGCCGGGGGAGUCCACCUCGCCCUUCUGCUCUUUGUGUUUCCGUCUUGGCGUUGAUCUAGUCAUCUUGUGCCUUUGCUUCUUCUGCCCCGCCAAGCGUGGUCAGGGGCGUGGGGUUGCGACUACCCGCGCACAAGUAAAGGGGUGCAAAAAAAGAACCCCUACUUUUGUACACCGACAAAGGGAAUAAUAAAUAUGGUAGAGAAAAAAUUCGAAAACCUAAGUCUCAUGACUGCCACGUGAUUGUGACGCAAUUGCUUCUGGUUGCAUUGAGGGGGCUUCUACCGGAAAAUGUUCGAUUAGCCAUUGUGAAGCUAUGUGCAUUCCUUAAUGCAAUCUCUUAGAAGGUAAUCGAUCUAGAAAUCCUACCAAGGUUACAGAAUGAUUUGGUGCAAUAUCUUGUCAGUUUCGAGUUGGUGUUCCCGCCAUCCUUCUUCAAUAUCAUGACGCACGUCCUAGUUCACCUAAUCAACGAGAUUGCCAUUCUGGGUCCUAUAUUUCUACACAAUAUGUUCCCUUUUGAGAGGUUCAUGGGAGUCUUAAAGAAAUAUGUUCAUAACUGUGCUAGGCUAGAAGGAAGCAUCUCCAAGGGCUAUGAAAUAGAGGAGGUCAUUGAGUUUUGUGUUGACUUUAUUCCUGACCUUAAGCUGGCUGGUGUUCCUGAACUGCGGCAUGAGGGCAGACUGGGUGGAAAAGGCACGCUAGGAAAGGAUCCAGUAAUAUGUAUAGACGGGCAUUCUUGAGCUCAAGCACAUUCCACCUUGGUGGCUCCGUAUAUCGAGGAACACAUGGAUAUUCUAUGCUCCAAGAACCCGGAGCAGUCUGUGCCCUGGAUCAAAUGUACACACAUGGCGUCAUUCGGCGGUUUGUUGCAAACAUGUCUCAUGCAUGACGACACUGUUGGAGAUGAGUUGUACUUGCUGGCAAAGUCACCAUCUUCGACUAUAUUGACUUUCAAAGGGUAAAAGAUAAAUGGGAAUACAUUUUACACGAUCGCCCAAGAUAAAAAGAGCACCAACCAAAACCAUGGUGUCUGCUUUGAUGCAGCAAACACCAAUAUGCCAAAGGACACAUAUUAUGGUUACACAAAGGAGAUAUGGGAACUUGACUAUGGACGUGAUUUGAAGGUUCCUUUGUUUCGGUGCAAAUGGGUCAAUCUGAUAGGAGGCGGGGUAAAGGAAGACCCGCGGUACAGAAUGACAACAGUGGAUCUCAACAAUCUUGGGUACACAGACGAACCAUUCGUCCUAGCCAAUGAUGUGGCGCAGGUUUUGUAUGUGAAGGACAUGUCUACCAAGCCGAGAUAAAGAAAAGAUAAGGAAGCGAAUACAUCAUACGAUGAGCCAAAGCGCCACAUAGUUCUUUCAGGGAAAAGAAACAUCGUGGGAGUGGAGGACAAGACAGACAUGUCAGAAGAUUAUGAAAAGUUUCAUGAAAUUGCUCCCUUCACAGUGAAGACUGACCUAAGCAUCCUGUUAAAUGAUGAAGAUUGUCCAUGGAUACGGCGCAAAGGGACACACGCAUAGAAAAAGUUUUAUACCCCAAGAUCCCACUCUGGGAUGUGACCAACUUCACCAUCAUCACUUUCUUCUCUAGUGAGUUUCCGUACUUGUCUGGAAAGUCCCACUUUGGACAAACCGGAGGGAAUCUUUGUAAUAGUUGGGGUAUAUAUGUGUUUUGGCAUUUGAAACGCGAAGAAACAUUAUGUAGGAGUUUUUUUUACUAUGAACAUUAUGUAGGAGUUAAUCAAUCCAAUUAUGUCCAAAGAAGAUAUUUCACUACGUAUUUUGCAAGGUUGAUCAUACGCGGUUAGCCACGUCAUCAAUUUUCAACCCUUUCUGACUUUAUUUGCUAUUUUUUGAGCUAAAUGACCCUGAAAUUGAAAAGCACUACAAAUGAAUUCUGAAAAGGUUGAAACUUGGCAUGGUAUCACCAUUUCACCCACAUAGCAUGUGCUAAAAAGUUGAGAGGGUUGCGGCAAAAACUGGAUGAACUUCGUGUAAAAAAUGGACAAUCUCUUUCGAAGUAUCAGGGUUUCAGAUGAAAACUCAUCUGUUACAAAGGCAUGUCAUUUUCCUAAACUUAUUUUAACUCCAGACUUUUUGUGCAUUCAAUAUGCACCAUUCAAAGCCACGUCAUCAAUUUUCAACCCUUUCUGACUUCAUUUGCUAUUUUUCAUGAAUUUAUUGAUUUUUUUGAGCUAUAAACCUAAAAGAGCUAAACAGAAUCUGUUUUUGAUUAAAACACCUAUUUAAAAUAACCUAAAAUUUACCAAAUUGAACAUACUGAUAAAACACACUAAUAUUAAAUAGCAGGAAGAAGAAUCACUCAAAAAUCUAUGUUUAAAGUAAAGUUAUUCACAAACUAGUGAUUCACACAAAUUUCAAAGAAUUGAAAUUUAAACUAUUCAAAUUUGUGAACUACUGGCACUAGCAGAAAGUUUAUAAUUUUUGUGACCUAAAGCAAAAAUAUACACUCAAAAACUCUAAAUAUUUGGCUGUAAGUAGAAACAAAAGCAAAAAAAGCUGGAAAAAGACUUUAGUCCCGGUUGCCACCACCAGCCGGGACUAAAGGGCCCCCUCCCGCGCUGAAUUUGGGCCGCCCCAAAACAGCCCUUUAGUCCCGGCCCGUGGCUGAAACCGGGACUAAAGGUUGUACCUUUAGUCCAGGUUCCAGCCACGCACCAGGACUAAAGGUCCUUUAGUCCCGGUGCGUAGUCCCGGUGCGUGGCUGGAACCGGGACUAAAGGUCCAUUCUAUAUAACCUGACACUUAGCAUUUUCAGCCUUGAUACGUCUCCAAUGUAUCUAUAAUUUUUGCUUGUUCCAUGCUGUUAUAUUAUCAUUCUUGGAUGUUUUACAAUAAUUUUAUAGCAACUUUAUAUCAUUUUUUGGUACUAACCUAUUGGCAUAGUGCCCAGUGCCAGUUGCAGUUUUUUUGCUUGUUUUUUAUUUCACAGAAUAACAGUACCAAACGCAGCGAAACUUUUUGGUGAUUUUGUUUGGACCAAAAGACAUCCAGUGGGCCAAAGAAGUACUAGAGGGGAGGCCCGAGGUGAGCACAAGACACCUGGGCGCGCCAGGAGGCCCAUGCGUGCCCAGGUGGGUUGUGCCCCACCUCGGUGACCUCCCGCACCGCCUCUUCGCCCUAUAAAUACCCCCAAUAUUCCAGGAACCCUAGGUAAGUCGACAAAACACAAUUCCAGCUGCCGCAAGUUCCAGAACCACGAGAUUCAAUCUAGACACCAUCACGAAGGGGUUCAUCAUCCUCAUUGGUGCCUUUCCGAUGAUGCGUGAGUAGUUCACUGUAGACCUACGGGUCCGUAGGCAGUAGCUAGAUGGGUUCCUCUCUCUUUUUCAUUCUCAAUACAAUGGUCUCUUGGAGAUCUAUUUUAUGUAACUCUUUUUUGCGGUGUGUUUGUUGGGAUCCGAUGAAGUUUGAGUUUAUGAUCAGAUCUAUAUCCAUGAAAGUUAUUUGAGUUUUCUUUGAUCUCUUAUAUGCAUGAUUACUUAUAGCCUCGUAUUUAUUCUUCGAAUCUUUGGUUUAGUUAGGCCAACUAGAUCGAUUUUUAUUGCCAUGGGAAGAUGUGCUUUGUGAUGGGUUCGGUCGUGCGGUGUUCUUUCCCAGUGACAGAAGGGACAGCAAGACACACAUGUAUCGUUGCUAUUAAGGAUAACAAGAUGGGGGCUAUUCCUACAUGAAUAGAUCUCGUCUACAUCAUGUCAUCGUUCUUAUUUCAUUACUCUGUUUCUCCAUGAACUUAAUACACUAGAUGCAUACUGGAUAGCGGUCGAUGUGUGGAGUAAUAGUAGUAGAUGCAGGCAGGAGUCGGUCUAGUAAUCUUGGACGUGAUGCCUAUAUAAUGAUCAUUGCCUGGAUGUCAUAAUUAUUCGACCUUCUAUCAAUUGCCCAGCAGUAAUUUGUUUACCCACCAUGUGCUAUUUUCUCGAGAGAAGCCACUAGUGAAAUCUACGGCCCCCAGGUCUAUUCUUUAUCAUAUUUGCUUUGAGAUCUAUUUUUAUUUUCUUUUAUUUUCAGAUAUAUUAUUCCAAAAACCCAAAAAUACCUUGCUGCAUUUUUUUAUUACUUAUUCUAUUUCACGUUUUAUUGAGAGCUAUUUAUCCAAUCUACCAUAAAUUUAUCUAUCUUUUUCCGUGGAGGGAUUGACAACUACUCUUACGCGUCGGGUUGCAAGUAUUUGUUCUUUGUGUGCAGGUACCGUUUACAUAGUGUUGCUUGGUUCUCCUACUGGAUUGAUACCUUGGUUUCAUAACUGAGGGAAAUACCUACCAUAGCUGUGCUGCAUCAUCCCUUCCUCUCUGGGGAAAUACCGACGUAGUUCAGGCGGCAUCAAAAGGAAUUUCUGGCGCCGUUGCCGGGGAGACAUCAUCAACAUCUAUCAGGUUCCUAAUCACAAAUCUCAUCUCCUUGCAAUUUAAAUUAUUUGCCAUUUGCCUCCCGUUUUCAUCUCCCCCACAUCACAAAAAUUUGUCGUUUUAUUCGCCUUGUUUUUCUUUCGCCGUUUUGUCGUCAGAUCUAUCUUUUUGUUUGCAAUCUUGUUUGCGUUGUCACGAUGUCUCAAGUAAACACCAAGUUGUGUGAUUUUCCCAAUACCAAUAAUAAUGAUUUUAUUAGUACUCUGAUUGCUCCUCCCGCCAUUAGUGUGAAAUCUUGUGAUAUUAAUGCCGCUUUGUUGAAUCUUCUUGCGAAAGAUCAAUUUUUCGGUACUCCUAAUGAGGAUGACGCGUCCCAUCUAAACACAUUCAUAGAAUUGUGUGAUAUGCAAAAGAAAAAAGAUAUGGACAAUGAUAUUGUGAAGUUGAAAUUAUUUCCUUUCUCUUUAAGGGAUCGUGCAAAAAUUUGGUUUUCUUCUUUGCCUCACAAUUGUAUCGAUUCUUGGGAUAAGUGCAAAGAUGCAUGUAUUACUAGUAUUUUCCGCCCACGGAAAAUAUUUCCCUUAGAACUCAAAUCAUGAAUUUUAAGCAACUUGAGCAUGAACAUGUUGCACAAUCUUGGGAAAGAAUGAAAUUGAUGAUAAGAAAUUGUCCUACUCAUGGUUUAAAUCUUUGGAUGAUCAUACAAAAAAUUUAGGGUUAAUUGGAUAAAUGUCACUCCAAUUUUGGCCAUUCCGAAAAAUACCACUCCAAUUUGCAAACUUCAGAAAAUGUCACUCCAAUUCUCGCAUACUUCUGUCGAUGCCACUCCAGCCACUUGAGCUUGUUUUUGUACAAAAACACUCACGUAUACGUUCUGUACUUUCUCUUGGAUAGAAAUGCCCCUACAUCCAUCUGGUUAGCACGCACCGUGCCUAUCUUCUUCCUCCUGUUCAUUGUUCCUCUCCUCGUUCCCCUCCUCUCUCGCCAAGAACCCUAGCUGCCACCGUGCUGCUCCUCCACAUCCCCAGCCUUCGCCCUGCUACUCCACACCAUCACCCCCCUGUUGUUGCUCCACAUCCCGUCCCGCCACCCUGUUGCUUCCCAUCGCCGAGCAGGAGUCUCAGCCAGCGCGCCGCGCCCCAAGCGCCUUUCCACUCUGGCCCCAUUCCCCCUGCCCCCCUUCACUAUCUCCCAUGUCCUUCCGCCGAAGCUCGCCGCCAGCCUCUUCUGUCCUCACUCCCCCUUGCCCCAGCUUCCUCUGCUCCAUCUUCCAUGGCAAGGAGAGUUGUCGGGGCCAUUGGAGGUGGAGGAUGGAGCUCGUCUGUCGUUAUUUAGAUGAUCUAAAGAGCAAGGAGAUGGAGAAGAUCGCAGGUCGCCUUGCUGAAUCUAAGAGGAAGAAAAAUGAUGCAGGUGGCUUGUUUUUGGAUGAACUAAAGAUUGUUGAAAUGAACUUUGCACAAUGGCAGAUGGAAGAACUAAAGAUUGAGAAUGCAAAAAUAUGUGCCAUUUGUAUGAAUUACUGGUGGUUGUACUGAAAAAGAUGUAACUAGUGGCCGUACAGAGAAAUGAGUAAUGAAGAAUGUGUUAUUUUCCUAUGCAGAAGAAGCAUGAAUGUAUUGUGCAGAGGAAGCAUAAAUGUACUGUCACAAUAUUUGUCCAUGAACAAAGCAUGAACUUAGUGGAAAAAAUGGACAUGACCUCUGGCAAAAUACAUAUAAUUUUGCAUCAGAUGACAAGUCAUAAUAUUUUGCAUCAAUAAAAGAUGAAACAAAAUAGUCUUAAAGCUCCUAUUUGAGCAUCCCACACACAAGCUCUAGUUUGAGCCUCACACACAAGUUCAAGCUCCAGUUUGAGCAUCACACACACACAUAGGUUGAAGCUCCAGUUUGAGCAUCACACACACAUACAUGGUCCAGUUCAAGCAAAUUCGACCCCCAAGCCAAUAAAGCAGAUUUUUCUUGGUUCCUAGAGUUGGCUUUAGAACAGCAUCACUAGUAGAUGGUGUAACGAACUGCAGUUUUUGCUCUUCUUCCCUGUAGUUUUGUCCUUUCCGGUACCUUCACUUUGCUUGCCUUUCCCCUUGACCGGAGUUCUUCUUGACCGACGUCUUCUUCUUCUUAACCCGUGUCUUCUUCUUAACCGGCGUCUUUUUCUUCUUGACCGGUGUCUUCUUCUUAGCCGGCGUCGUUUUCUUCUUGACCGGUGUCGUCUUCUUGACCGGCGUCGUCUUGACCAGCGUGUUCUUCAGCAUAUGUCAAAAAUAAGUAUUGUGUGUGUUCAUAAAUAUAAUUUGUGGUAAAAGAAUGAACAUAAGUUAGUAUGAUACCUUUUAUAAUUUGCGAUAGGUUCGUCAUCUUCCACAACUUCCUCCUCGGUUGCAGUAGCAUCUCUCUUUUUGCAUGAUAGAAAAAGGUGAAAUGGUUUAGCAACAUUAACCCAAUUGACAUAAUCAAAUUUAGGUAAGUACAAUGGCACCUUUUACUAGGAGUGUGCUCCAUUGGUGGUGGUUCUACAAUAACUAAAGGAGGGAGAUUGCAAGUUUUCGCAAAGUGGCCAUUUCGACCGCAUUUUUUCCAUUUGACUACUUUCCUGCCUGGGUCUUCAAGAAAUCCUCUAAUUCUUUGAACCCUAGACCUUCCAGGUGGCCUUUUCUCUUGUACAGGUGGGUAAACCAUGAAUCCAAGGUCAACUUGCUCCCAUUGUGUCCUAUCUGUCAUGGUUGGCAGUGCCCCAGCAUAAGCAGCCUUAAAUUUUGCCACACUGUAAUACUCAUCAACAAAGGACUCAAUCUUUGUGCCCCUCAUUGAACAAAUGAAAUCAAUGCAUGAAUGCAAGGCUGCCCAGAAACUUGAAAUUUCUGACAUGAGCAUGUUCUCUGUUUUAGAUCAACCGUGUGCCUCUGGUCAUAUGCUUUCUCAUCAUAUAGUGUAAUCUCUGCCUCAUGUUCUGUAUUCCACGCCACUUUAUGGGGCCCAAUUGUUUUACUGAGUGCAUUGAGCCUCUUGAGAACCUCGGGAAAAAUUAUGUCGGCCAAAUGCCUACCAACAUGCCUCCUCACAUUGAACUUCACCAUUAUUAGCUCUCUAAUCCUAUCCAGUAGCUCACACAAAUUUAACCCUUUCAAAUCUUUGAUUUGCUUGUUGAAACUUUCAGAAAUAUUGUUAGUGAGAUAAUCAACCUUGCUAUCCACACCAAAGGCGCACCUAUACCAAAUCCUAUUAUGGUGUUUCUCAAGGUACUCAAUAGCACUUGGAUCUGCCUCAAAUAUCUUCUGCAUAUGCCAUCUAAAUUUGUGCACUUUUCUACGUCUACGGUCUAUAUCAGAGUCCUUCCCUUCACAUAAUUCUGUUGCAAAUAUGCCCUAGAGGCAAUAAUAAAUGGUUAUUAUUAUAUUUCUUUGUUCAUGGUAAUUGUCUAUUAUUCAUGCUAUAAUUGUAUUGUCCGGAAACCGUAAUACAUGUGUGAAUACAUAGACCACAACCUGUCCCUAGUAAGCCUCUAGUUGACUAGCUCGUUGAUCAACAGAUAGUCAUGGUUUCCUGACUAUGGACAUUGGAUGUCAUUGAUAACGGGAUCACAUCAUUAGGAGAAUGAUGUGAUGGACAAGACCCAAUCCUAAGCAUAGCAUAAAAGAUCGUGUAGUUUCGUUUGCUAGAGCUUUUCCAAUGUCAAGUAUCUUUUCCUUAGACCAUGAGAUCGUGCAACUCCCGGAUACCGUAGGAGUGCUUUGGGUGUGCCAAACGUCACAACGUAACUGGGUGACUAUAAAGGUGCACUACGGGUAUCUCCGAAAGUGUCUGUUGGGUUGGCACGGAUCGAGACUGGGAUUUGUCACUCCGUGUGACGGAGAGGUAUCUCUGGGCCCACUCGGUAAUGCAUCAUCAUAAUGAGCUCAAUAUGACUAAGGCGUUAGUCACGGGAUCAUGCAUUGCGGUACGAGUAAAGAGACUUGCCGGUAACGAGAUUGAACAAGGUAUUGGGAUACCGACGAUCGAAUCUCGGGCAAGUAACAUACCGAUUGACAAAGGGAAUUGCAUACGGAUUGAUUGAAUCCUCGACACCGUGGUUCAUCCGAUGAUAUCAUCGUGGAACAUGUGGGAGCCAACAUGGGUAUCCAGAUCCCGCUGUUGGUUAUUGACCGGAGAGGCGUCUCGGUCAUGUCUGCAUGUCUCCCGAACCCGUAGGGUCUACACACUUAAGGUCCGGUGACGCUAGGGUUGUAGAGAUAUUGUUGGGAAUCGUAGCAUAAUUUAAAAUUUUCCUACGCUCACCAAGAUGCAUCUAUGGAGUCUACUAGCAACGAGGGGAAAGGAGUGGAUCUACAUACCCUUGUAGAUCGCGAGCGGAAGCGUUCCAAUGAACGUGGAUGACGGAGUCGUACUCGCCGUGAUCCAAAUCACCGAUGACCGAGUGCCGAACGGACGGCACCUCCGCGUUCAACACACGUACGGUGCAGCGACGUCUCCUCCUUCUUGAUCCAGCAAGGGGGAAGGAGAGGUUGAUGGAGAUCCAACAGCACGACGGCGUGGUGGUGGAUGUAGCGGGUCUCCGGCAGGGCUUCGCCGAGCUUCUGCGAGAGAGAGAGAGAGGUGUUGCAGGGGAGGAGGGAGGCGCCCAAGGCUUAGAUUUUGCUGCCCUCCCUUCCCCCCACUAUAUAUAGGGCCAAGGGAGAGGGGGGGCGCAGCCUUGCCCCUUCCUUCAAGGAAGGGUGCGGCCAGGGGGGAGUCCUUCCCCCCCAAGGCACCUCGGAGGUGCCUUCCCCCUUUAGGACUCUCCCUUCUUUCUUAUCUCUUGCGCAUGGGCCUCUUGGGGCUGGUGCCCUUGGCCCAUAUAGGCCAAGGCGCACCCCUUACAGCCCAUGUGGCCCCCCGGGGCUGGUGGACCCCUUUGGUGGACCCCCGGACCCCUUUUGGCACUCCCGGUACAAUACCGAUAAAGCGCGAAACUUUUCCGGCGACCAAAAUAAGACUUCCCAUAUAUAAAUCUUUACCUCCGGACCAUUCCGGAACCUCUCGUGACGUCCGGGAUCUCAUCCGGGACUCCGAACAACUUUCGGGUUUCCGCAUACAUAUAUCUCUACAACCCUAGCGUCACCGGACCUUAAGUGUGUAGACCCUACGGGUUCGGGAGACAUGCAGACAUGACCGAGACGCCUCUCCGGUCAAUAACCAACAGCGGGAUCUGGAUACCCAUGUUGGCUCCCACAUGUUCCACGAUGAUAUCAUCGGAUGAACCACGGUGUCGAGGAUUCAAUCAAUCCGUAUGCAAUUCCCUUUGUCAAUCGGUAUGUUACUUGCCCGAGAUUCGAUCGUCGGUAUCCCAAUACCUAGUUCAAUCUCGUUACCGGCAAGUCUCUUUACUCGUACCGCAAUGCAUGAUCCUGUGACUAACGCCUUAGUCACAUUGAGCUCAUUAUGAUGAUGCAUUACCGAGUGGGCCCAGAGAUACCUCUCCGUUUACACGGAGUGACAAAUCCCAGUCUCGAUCCGUGCCAACCCAACAGACACUUUCGGAGAUACCCGUAAUGCACCUUUAUAGUCACCCAGUUACGUUGUGACGUUUGGCACACCCAAAGCACUCAUACGGUAUCCGGGAGUUGCACGAUCUCAUGGUCUAAGGAAAAGAUACUUGACAUUGGAAAAGCUCUAGCAAACGAAACUACACGAUCUUUUAUGCUAUGCUUAAGUUGGGUCUUGUCCAUCACAUCAUUCUCCUAAUGAUGUGAUCCCGUUAUCAAUGACAUCCAAUGUCCAUAGUCAGGAAACCAUGACUAUCUGUUGAUCAACGAGCUAGUCAACUAGAGGCUUACUAGGGACAGGUUGUGGUCUAUGUAUUCACACAUGUAUUAUGAUUUCCGGACAAUACAAUUAUAGCACGAAUAAUAGACUAUUAUCAUGAACACAGAAAUAUAAUAAUAACCAUUUAUUAUUGCCUCUAGGGCAUAUUUCCAACAAUUGCCCUUGCGAAGGAGCCCAGGUUUCACAGGAAGACCAGGCAUAUCAAGCGUCGCUUCAACUCCAUUCGUGAAAGUGUUCAAAAUGGAGACAUAGAUAUUUGUAAAGUACAUACGGACCUGAAUGUAGCAGAUCCGUUGACUAAACCUCUCCCUAGGGCAAAACAUGAUCAACACCAGGACGCAAUGGGUGUUCGAUUCAUCACAAUGUAACUAGAUUAUUGACUCUAGUGCAAGUGGGAGACUGUUGGAAAUAUGCCCUAGAGGCAAUAAUAAAUGGUUAUUAUUAUAUUUCUUUGUUCAUGAUAAUCGUCUAUUGUUCAUGCUAUAAUUGUAUUGUCCGGAAAUCGUAAUACAUGUGUGAACACAUAGACCACAACGUGUCCCUAGUAAGCCUCUAGUUGACUAGCUCGUUGAUCAACAGAUAGUCAUGGUUUCCUGACUAUGGACAUUGGAUGUCAUUGAUAACGGGAUCACAUCAUUAGGAGAAUGAUGUGAUGGACAAGACCCAAUCCUAAGCAUAGCAUAAAAGAUCGUGUAGUUUCGUUUGCUAGAGCUUUUCCAGUGUCAAGUAUCUUUUCCUUAGACCAUGAGAUCGUGCAACUCCCGGAUACCGUAGGAGUGCUUUGGGUGUGCCAAACGUCACAACGUAACUGGGUGACUAUAAAGGUGCACUACGGGUAUCUCCGAAAGUGUCUGUUGGGUUGGCACGGAUCGAGACUGGGAUUUGUCACUCCGUAUGACGGAGAGGUAUCUCUGGGCCCACUCGGUAAUGCAUCAUCAUAAUGAGCUCAAUGUGACUAAGGCGUUAGUCACGGGAUCAUGCAUUGCGGUACGAGUAAAGAGACUUGCCGGUAACGAGAUUGAACAAGGUAUUGGGAUACCGACGAUCGAAUCUCGGGCAAGUAACAUACCGAUUGACAAAGGGAAUUGCAUACGGAUUGAUUGAAUCCUCGACACCGUGGUUCAUCCGAUGAGAUCAUCGUGGAGCAUGUGGGAGCCAACAUGGGUAUCCAGAUCCCGCUGUUGGUUAUUGACCGGAGAGGCGUCUCGGUCAUGUCUGCAUGUCUCCCGAACCCGUAGGGUCUACACACUUAAGGUCCGGUAACGCUAGGGUUGUAGAGAUAUAUGUAUGCGGAAACCUGAAAGUUGUUCGGAGUCCCGGAUGAGAUCCCGGACGUCACGAGAGGUUCCGGAAUGGUCCGGAGGUGAAGAAUUAUAUAUAGGAAGUCCAGUUUCGGCCACCGGGGAAGUUUCGGGGGUUAUCGGUAUUGUACCGGGACCACCGGAAGGGUCCCGGGGGUCCAUCGGGUCGGGCCACCUGUCCCGGAGGGCCCCGUGGCUGAAAGUGGAAGGGAACCAGCCCCUAGUGGGCUGGGGCGCCCCCCUUGGGCCUCCCCCCCUGCGCCUAGGGUUGGGAACCCUAAGGGGAGGGGAGUUCCCCCUUGCCUUGGGGGGCAAGGCAACCCCUUCCCCCCUUGUGGCCGCCGCCCGCCCUUGAGAUCUCAUCUCUUGGGGCCGGCGCCCCCCCCCCAGGGGGCCUAUAUAAAGGGGGGGAGGGAGGGCAGCACAGAACAGCCUUGGGCGCCUCCCUCCUCCCCUGCAACACCUCUCUCUCUCUCGUAGAAGGUCGCGAAGCCCUGCACGAGACCCGCUACAUCCACCACCACGCCAUCGUGCUGCUGGAUCUCCAUCAACCUCUCCUUCCCCCUUGCUGGAUCAAGAAGGAGGAUACGUCGCUGCACCGUACGUGUGUUGAACGCGGAGGUGCCGUCCGUUCGGCACUCGGUCAUCGGUGAUUUGGAUCACGGCGAGUACGACUCCGUCAUCCACGUUCAUUGGAACGCUUCCGCUCGCGAUCUACAAGGGUAUGUAGAUGCACUCCCUUCCCCUCGUUGCUAGUACACUCCAUAGAUGCAUCUUGGUGAACGUAGGAAAAUUUUAAAAUUAUGCUACGAUUCCCAACAGUGGCAUCAUGAGCCAGGUCUAUGCGUAGUUACUAUGCACGAGUAGAACACAAAGCAGUUGUGGGCGUUGAGUUUGCCAAUUCUUCUUGCCGCUACUAGUCGUUUCUUGUUUCGGCGGCAUUGUAGGAUGAAGCGGCCCGGACCGACCUUACACGUACGCUUACGUGAGACUGGUUCCACCGACUGACAUGCACAAGUUGCAUAAGGUGGCUAGCGGGUGUCUGUCUCUCCUACUUUAGUCGGAACGGAUUCGAUGAAAAGGGUCCUUAUGAAGGGUAAAUAGAAAUUGGCAAAUCACGUUGUGGUCAUACGUAGGUAAGAAAACGUUCUUGCUAGAAACCUACAAACCACGUAAAAACUUGCAACAACAAUUAGAGGACGUCUAACUUGUUUUUGCAGCAAGUGCUAUGUGAUGUGAUAUGGCCAGAAGAUGUGAUGAAUGAUAUAUGUGAUGUAUGAGAUUGAUCAUAUUCUUGUAAUAGGAAUCACGACUUGCAUGUCGAUGAGUAUGACAACCGGCAGGAGCCAUAGGAGUUGUCUUUAUUAUUUUGUAUGACCUGCGUGUCAUUAAAUAAAUGCCAUGUAAAUUACUUUACUUUAUUGCUAAAAGCGUUAGCCAUAGAAGUAGAAGUAAUCGUUGGCGUGACGACUUCUUGAAGACACAAUGAUGGAGAUCAUGAUGAUGGAGAUCAUGGUGUCAUGCCGGUGACAAAGAUGAUCAUGGUGCCCUGAAGAUGGAGAUCAAAGGAGCAUGAUGAUAUUGGCCAUAUCAUGUCACUAUUUGAUUGCAUGUGAUGUUUAUCAUGUUUUUGCAUCUUAUUUGCUUAGAACAACGGUAGCAAGUAGGAUGUUCCCUUAUAAUAAUUUCAAGAAAGUGUUCACCCUAACUGUGCACCGUUGCGAAGGUUCGUUGUUUCGAAGCACCACGUGAUGAUCGGGUGUGAUAGAUUCUAACGUUCGAAUACAACGGGUGUUGACGAGCCUAGCAUGUAUAGACAUGGCCUCGGAACACACGCAAUACACUUAGGUUCACUUGACGAGCCUAGCAUGUACAGACAUGGCCUCGGAACACGGAGGACCGAAAGGUCGAGCAUGAGUCGUAUAGAAGAUACGAUCAACAUGGAGAUGUUCACCGAUCUUGACUAGUCCGUCUCACGUGAUGAUCGGACACGGCCUAGUCGAAUUCGGAUCAUGUUUCACUUAGAUGACUAGAGGGAUGUCUAUCUGAGUGGGAGUUCAUUAAAUAAUUUGAUUAUAUGAACUUAAUUAUCAUGAACUUAGUCUAAAUCUUUACACUAUGUAUUGUAGAUCAAAUGGCCCACGUUGUCCUCAAUUUCAACGCGUUCCUAGAGAAAACCAAGCUAAAAGAUGAUGGCAGCAACUAUACGGACUGGGUCCGGAACCUGAGGAUCAUCCUCAUAGCAGCCAAGAAAGAUUAUGUCCUAGAAGCACCGCUAGGUGAAGCACCAAUCCCUGAGAACCAAGACGUUAUGAACGCUUGGCAGCAGCGUGCUGAUGAUUACUCCCUCAUUCAGUGCGGCAUGCUUUACAGCUUAGAACCGGGUCUCCAAAAGCGUUUUGAGAAACAUGGAGCAUAUGAGAUGUUCGAGGAGCUGAAGCUGGUUUUUCAAGCUCAUGCCCGGGUCGAGAGAUAUGAUGUCUCCGACAAGUUCUUCAGCUGUAAAAUGGAGGAGAACAGUUCUGUUAGUGAGCACAUACUCAGAAUGUCUGGGUUGCACAACCGCUUGACUCAGCUGGGAGUUAAUCUCCCGGAUGACGCGGUCAUUGACAGAAUCCUCCAGUCGCUUCCACCAAGCUACAAGAGCUUUGUGAUGAACUACAAUAUGCAGGGGAUGGAAAAGACCAUUCCCGAGGUAUAUUCAAUGCUGAAAUCAGCUGAGGUAGAGAUCAGAAAAGAACAUCAAGUGUUGAUGGUGAAUAAAACCACUAAGUUCAAGAAGGGCAAGGGUAAGAAGAACUUCAAGAAGGACGGCAAGGGAUUUGCCGCGCCCGGUAAGCCAGUUACCGGGAAGAAGUCAAAGAAUGGACCCAAGCCCGAGACUGAGUGCUUUUAUUGCAAGGGAAGUGGUCACUGGAAGCGGAACUGCCCCAAAUAUUUAGCGGACAAGAAGAAGGCCGGCAACACCCAAGGUAUAUGUGAUAUACAAGUAAUCGAUGUGUACCUUACCAGUACUCGUAGUAGCUCCUGGGUAUUUGAUACCGGUGCGGUUGCUCAUAUUUGUAACUCAAAGCAGGAACUACGGAAUAAACGGAGACUGGCAAAGGACGAGGUGACGAUGCGCGUCGGGAAUGGUUCCAAGGUCGAUGUGAUCGCCGUUGGCACACUACCUCUGCAUCUACCCACGGGAUUAGUUUUAAACCUCAAUAAUUGUUAUUUAGUGCCAGCUUUGAGCAUGAACAUUGUAUCUGGAUCUCGUUUAAUUCGAGAUGGCUACUCAUUUAAAUCUGAGAAUAAUGGUUGUUCUAUUUAUUUGAGAGAUAUGUUUUAUGGUCAUGCCCCGCUGGUCAAUGGUUUAUUUUUUGAUGAAUCCCGAACGUGAUGUUACACAUGUUCAUAGUGUGAAUACCAAAAGAUGUAAAGUUGAUAACGAUAGUCCCACAUACUUGUGGCACUGCCGCCUUGGUCACAUUGGUGUCAAGCGCAUGAAGAAGCUCCAUGCAGAUGGACUUUUGGAGUCUCUUGAUUACGAAUCAUUUGACAGGUGCGAACCAUGCCUCAUGGGUAAGAUGACCAAGACUCCGUUCUCUGGAACAAUGGAGCGAGCAACCAACUUAUUGGAAAUCAUACAUACCGAUGUGUGUGGUCCAAUGAGUGUUGAGGCUCGCGGAGGAUAUCGUUAUGUUCUCACUCUCACUGAUGAUUUAAGUAGAUAUGGGUAUGUCUACCUAAUGAAACACAAGUCUGAAACCUUUGAAAAGUUCAAAGAAUUUCAGAGUGAGGUUGAGAAUCAACGUGACAGGAAAAUAAAAUUCUUACGAUCAGAUCGUGGUGGAGAAUAUUUAAGUCACGAAUUUGGUACACACUUAAGGAAAUGUGGAAUAGUUUCACAACUCACGCCGCCUGGAACACCUCAGAGAAAUGGUGUGUCCGAACGUCGUAAUCGCACUCUAUUGGAUAUGGUGCGAUCUAUGAUGUCUCUUACCGAUUUACCGCUCUCAUUUUGGGGUUAUGCUUUAGAGACUGCCGCAUUCACUUUAAAUAGGGCACCGUCUAAAUCCGUUGAGACGACACCGUAUGAAUUAUGGUUUGGGAAGAAACCUAAGCUGUCGUUUCUAAAAGUUUGGGGAUGCGAUGCUUAUGUCAAGAAACUUCAACCUGAAAAGCUCGAACCCAAAUCGGAAAAAUGCGUCUUCAUAGGAUACCCUAAGGAAACUAUUGGGUAUACCUUCUACCUCAGAUCCGAAGGCAAGAUCUUCGUUGCCAAGAACGGGUCCUUUCUAGAGAAGGAGUUUCUCUCGAAAGAAUUGAGUGGGAGGAAAGUGGAACUUGAUGAGGUGAUAGUCACCCCUUCCGAACUGGAAAGUAGCGCAGCGCGGGAAAAUGUUCCUGUGGUGCCUACACCGACUGGGGAGGAAGUUAAUGAUGAUGAUCAUGAAGCUUCAGAUCAAGUUGCUGAACUUCGUAGGUCCACAAGGACACGUUCCGCACCAGAGUGGUACGGCAACCCUGUCCUGGAAAUCAUGUUGUUGGACAACGGUGAACCUUCGAACUAUGAAGAAGCGAUGGCGGGCCCGGAUUCCGACAAAUGGCUAGAAGCCAUGAAAUCCGAGAUAGAAUCCAUGUAUGAAAACAAAGUAUGGACUUUGACUGACUUGCCCGAUGAGCGGCGAGCCAUAGAAAAAAAAUGGAUCUUUAAGAAGAAGACGGACGCAGAUGGUAAUGUGACCAUCUACAAAGCUCGACUUGUCGCUAAGGGUUAUCGACAAGUUCAAGGGGUUGACUACGAUGAGACUUUCUCACCCGUAGCGAAGCUGAAGUCCGUCCGAAUCAUGUUAGCAAUUGCCGCAUACUAUGCUUAUGAGAUAUGGCAGAUGGACGUCAAAACGGCAUUCCUUAAUGGCUUCCUUAAGGAAGAGUUGUAUAUGAUGCAGCCGGAAGGUUUUGUCGAUCCUAAGAAUGCUAACAAAGUAUGCAAGCUCCAACGCUCAAUCUAUGGGCUGGUGCAAGCAUCUCGGAGUUGGAACAUUCGCUUUGAUGAGAUGAUCAAAGCGUUUGGGUUUACACAGACUUAUGGAGAAGCCUGUGUUUACAAGAAAGUGAGUGGGAGCUCUGUAGCAUUUCUCAUAUUAUAUGUGGAUGACAUACUAUUGAUGGGAAAUGAUAUAGAAUUCUUGGAAAGUAUAAAGACCUAUUUGAAUAAGUGUUUUUCAAUGAAGGACCUUGGAGAAGCUGCUUAUAUAUUAGGCAUCAAAAUCUAUAGAGAUAGAUCAAGACGCCUCAUUGGUCUUUCACAGAGUACAUACCUUGACAAGAUAUUGAAGAAGUUCAGUAUGGAUCAGUCCAAGAAGGGGUUCUUGCCUGUAUUGCAAGGUGUGCAAUUGAGCACGGCUCAAUGCCCGACCACGGCAGAAGAUAUAGAACAGAUGAGUGUCAUCCCCUAUGCCUCGGCCAUAGGGUCUAUUAUGUAUGCCAUGCUGUGUACCAGACCUGAUAUAAACCUUGCCGUAAGUUUGGUAGGAAGGUACCAAAGUAAUCCCGGCAAGGAACACUGGACAGCGGUCAAGAAUAUCUUGAAGUACCUGAAGAGGACUAAGGAUAUGUUUCUCGUUUAUGGAGGUGACGAAGAGCUCGUCGUAAAGGGUUACGUCGACGCUAGCUUCGACACAGAUCUGGAUGACUCGAAGUCACAGACCGGAUACGUGUAUAUUUUGAAUAGAGGAGCAGUAAGCUGGUGCAGUUGCAAGCAAAGCGUCGUGGCGGGAUCUACAUGUGAAGCGGAGUACAUGGCAGCCUCAGAGGCAGCACAGGAAGCAGUCUGGAUGAAGGAGUUCAUUAUCGACCUAGGGGUGAUUCCCAAUACGUCGGGCCCAAUGACUCUCUUCUGUGACAACACUGGAGCUAUUGCCCUUGCGAAGGAGCCCAGGUUUCACAGGAAGACCAGGCAUAUCAAGCGUCGCUUCAACUCCAUUCGUGAAAGUGUUCAAAAUGGAGACAUAGAUAUUUGUAAAGUACAUACGGACCUGAAUGUAGCAGAUCCGUUGACUAAACCUCUCCCUAGAGCAAAACAUGAUCAACACCAGGACGCAAUGGGUGUUCGAUUCAUCACAAUGUAACUAGAUUAUUGACUCUAGUGCAAGUGGGAGACUGUUGGAAAUAUGCCCUAGAGGCAAUAAUAAAUGGUUAUUAUUAUAUUUCUUUGUUCAUGGUAAUUGUCUAUUAUUCAUGCUAUAAUUGUAUUGUCCGGAAAUCGUAAUACAUGUGUGAAUACAUAGACCACAACCUGUCCCUAGUAAGCCUCUAGUUGACUAGCUUGUUGAUCAACAGAUAGUCAUGGUUUCCUGACUAUGGACAUUGGAUGUCAUUGAUAACGGGAUCACAUCAUUAGGAGAAUGAUGUGAUGGACAAGACCCAAUCCUAAGCAUAGCAUAAAAGAUCGUGUAGUUUCGUUUGCUAGAGCUUUUCCAAUGUCAAGUAUCUUUUCCUUAGACCAUGAGAUCGUGCAACUCCCGGAUACCGUAGGAGUGCUUUGGGUGUGCCAAACGUCACAACGUAACUGGGUGACUAUAAAGGUGCACUACGGGUAUCUCCGAAAGUGUCUGUUGGGUUGGCACGGAUCGAGACUGGGAUUUGUCACUCCGUAUGACGGAGAGGUAUCUCUGGGCCCACUCGGUAAUGCAUCAUCAUAAUGAGCUCAAUGUGACUAAGGCGUUAGUCACGGGAUCAUGCAUUGCGGUACGAGUAAAGAGACUUGCCGGUAACGAGAUUGAACAAGGUAUUGGGAUACCGACGAUCGAAUCUCGGGCAAGUAACAUACCGAUUGACAAAGGGAAUUGCAUACGGAUUGAUUGAAUCCUCGACACCGUGGUUCAUCCGAUGAGAUCAUCGUGGAGCAUGUGGGAGCCAACAUGGGUAUCCAGAUCCCGCUGUUGGUUAUUGACCGGAGAGGCGUCUCGGUCAUGUCUGCAUGUCUCCCGAACCCGUAGGGUCUACACACUUAAGGUCCGGUAACGCUAGGGUUGUAGAGAUAUAUGUAUGCGGAAACCCGAAAGUUGUUCGGAGUCCCGGAUGAGAUCCCGAACGUCACGAGAGGUUCCGGAAUGGUCCGGAGGUGAAGAAUUAUAUAUAGGAAGUCCAGUUUCGGCCACCGGGAAAGUUUCGGGGGUUAUCGGUAUUGUACCGGGACCACCGGAAGGGUCCCGGGGGUCCACCGGGUGGGGCCACCUGUCCCGGAGGGCCCCGUGGGCUGAAAGUGGAAGGGAACCAGCCCCUAGUGGGCUGGGGCACCCCCCUUGGGCCUCCCCCCUGCGCCUAGGGUUGGGAACCCUAAGGGGGGGAGUUUUCCCUUGCCUUGGGGGGCAAGGCAACCCCUUCCCCCCUUGUGGCCGCCGCCCCCCCUUGAGAUCUCAUCUCUUGGGGCCGGNNNNNNNNNNNNNNNNNNNNNNNNNNNNNNNNNNNNNNNNNNNNNNNNNNNNNNNNNNNNNNNNNNNNNNNNNNNNNNNNNNNNNNNNNNNNNNNNNNNNNNNNNNGGAGGGAGGGCAGCACAGAACAGCCUUGGGCGCCUCCCUCCUCCCCUGCAACACCUCUCUCUCUCUCGUAGAAGCUCGGCGAAGCCCUGCACGAGACCCGCUACAUCCACCACCACGCCGUCGUGCUGCUGGAUCUCCAUCAACCUCUCCUUCCCCCUUGCUGGAUCAAGAAGGAGGAGACGUCGCUGCACCGUACGUGUGUUGAACGCGGAGGUGCCGUCCGUUCGGCACUCGGUCAUCGGUGAUUUGGAUCACGGCGAGUACGACUCCGUCAUCCACGUUCAUUGGAACGCUUCCGCUCGCGAUCUACAAGGGUAUGUAGAUGCACUCCCUUCCCCUCGUUGCUAGUACACUCCAUAGAUGCAUCUUGGUGAACGUAGGAAAAUUUUAAAAUUAUGCUAGGAUUCCCAACAAAUUCUUCCUACCCUCAGGACUUGUCCAGGAAAAAGCCUCCACAAAAAUUUGUAAAUUAAAAACAUUGCUGCCACUGCACCUACCAAAUCAUAUGGGUAAUCAAACAUCAACGAUUGGAGAAGAACUAAACGCACGGGCCACAAAUCAUUGGAACUUCAACAAAUUUUCUGCAAACUUACUGAGAUUUUGGGGCCGAGGAUGACAUUGCAGCGGGGGAGCUUCAAAUCUUCAGCAGAGGUGCUAGGGGAUGCGAUUCAAGUGGCCUCCAGCAUGGUUGCCGCCGCCAUGCUCGCUUGCUAGUGGGGGCGGCGCCGGCUGGAGCUCCUGCUCGCCGAUGAGAAGUAGCAGCAGGGGCGUCGCCGGGGAUGGAGCAGUAGGGGUAGCAGCACGUGGAUGUGUAGCAGCAGGGGCGCGGUCGAGGAUAUGGAGCAGCAGCAGCAGUGCGGUGGCUAGGGUUCUUGACGAAAGAGGAGCGGAAUGGGGAGAGGAACAAGAGGAAGAUAGGCACGGGCUGGAGUGGUGCGUGCUAACCAGAUGGAUGCAGGGGCAUUUCUAUCCAAGAGAAAGUACAGGAUGUAUACGUGAGUGUUUUUGUACAAAAAACGAGCUCAAGUGGCCGGAGUGGCAUCGACAGAAGUAUGCGAGAAGUGGAGUGGCAUUUUUCGAAGUUUGCAAAUUGGAGUGGCAUUUUUCGGAAUGGCCAAAAUUGGAGUGGCGUUUUUUGGAAAGGCCAAAAUUGGAGUGGCAUUUUUCCAAUUAACCCAAAAAUUUAUGCGGGAUUGAAUUUUGUUUGUAGAAAUCUUUUAGAUUCCACCGCGAGUGGUACUUUUAUGGAAAUUACUUUGGGUGAAGCUACCAAAUUGCUAGAUAAUACCAUGGCAAAUUAUUCACAAUGGCAUACCGAAAGAGCACCUACUAGUAAAAAAGUUUAUGCUCUUAUGAAAUUGGUUUCUAGUAAAAGUGCUCCUAUUGAUCUUAAUGAUGUGCCUUUGUCUACUUUGCUUGAGCAAAAUAGUGAUCUCGUAGAUGUGAAUUUUGUCUAGCGAAAUAAUUUUAAUAACAAUGCUUAUAGAGGUAACUUUAAUCCUAGGCCUUUCCUGGAAAUCCCUCUAAUAAUUAUGGCAAUUCCUAUGGUAAUUCUUCCUACAAUAAUAAUAGGAACCCCUCUAAUCUUGAUAAUAAUAUUAAAGAAUUUAUCAAUGUGCAAAAAGUUUUCAAAACUACAAUAGAAGAAAAUUUGAAUAAGAUUGAUGAUAUGUCUAGAAGCAUUGAUAGAAUUUCUCAUGAUGUAGAAAAUCUCAAGUUGACAACUUUUGCACCCAAGGUUGAUGAAUCAAUUAAAGCUUUAUAUGUUUCUAUGGAUGAAAGUAAGAAAAGAACCGCUAUGGUUAGAGCUAAAAUAGAAUUUUGAGAAAGAGCGUUUUCUAGUGAUUGCUUUCAUAAAAAUGAUGACGAUCUUAAAGUAAUUGGUGUUUCUUCUAAUUAUUCCUUGUUUAGUAAAAUUAAAAUUGAUGAUAAAGGGACCGAAGAAGAGUCAACUUUAGCUAGAAGGCGUCCCGAUAAUUUGGAGGGUGAAAAUCUUGAUGAAAAAAUUGAUAAAAGUGGGUUUGGAGAGGUCAAAACUUUAACUAGUGAUGUACCCACUCUUUUGUAUUCCAAAGACUUUAAUUAUGAUAGUUGCUCUUUGGUUGAAUAUAUUUCUUUGUUGCAAUCCAUGAUAAAUUCACCCCAUGCUUAUGAGCAAAACAAAGCUUUUACUAAACAUAUUGUUGAUGCCAUGAUGAAAGCUGAUGAAGAAAAGUUGGAAUUAAAGAUUUCAAUUCCUAGAAAAUUACAUGUUGAAUGGGAACCCACCAUUAAAGUAAAGGUAAAAAAUUAUGAGUGCUUUGCUUUAUGUGAUUUGGGUGCUAGUGUUUCCACAAUUCUGAAAUCUCUAUGUGAUGUGCUUGGUCUUACUAAUAUUGAAGAGUGUUCUUUAAAUUUGCACUUGGCGGAUUCUACUAUUAAAAAGCCUUUGGGAAGAAUUAAUGAUGUUCUUAUUCUAGUAAAUAUGAAUUAUGCGCCCAUAGAUUUUAUUGUUCUUGAUAUUGAUUGCAAUCCUCUUGUCCAAUUAUACUUGGUAGACCGUUUUUACGCGCUAUAGGCACUAUUCAAGAUAUCUCCCGAUAUUCUGAUAAAUCGGCCGAUUUAUCGCUUAUCGUUGUCUGACCGAUAAGAUAAAUCGGCUGAUAAAUCGGCGGAUAUGCCGAUAAAAUGGCCAAUUUACCCCUUAUCAUGGGUCGACCGAUAAGUUCCUGAUAAGCGAUAUCCCCAACAUUGGCUAUAGGUGCCGUGAUUGAUAUGAAAGAAGGCAAUAUUAAAUUCCAACUUCCCACUAAGAAAGGGUAUGGAACACUUCCCUAGAACAAGAAUUAGGCCACCAUAUGAAUCAAUCAUGAGGGCAACCUAUGGAUCAAAAACUAAAGAUGACAAUACUUGAAUCUAUGAAUUAUGCCUAGCUAGGGGCAUAAAAUGAUAGCGCUUACUGGUAGGCAACCCAAUAAAUAAAAAUUAUUUUUUUCUUUUUUCUUUAUGUUCUUGAGUGUUUGCACAAUUAUUCCACUGUUAUGAUUGUGUUUUUUAUGUUUUAGUUAGUGUUUGUGCCAAGCCUUUGGGAUCAUAUUGGGUGAUAGUUGAUUUGAUCUUGUUGAAAAACAGAAACUUUUGCUUCUAGUAGCAGAAUUUUGUAAAAACACAGAAGCGACGAAAAAUUCUGAAUUUUUUAUGAAAGAUUGAUAUACAAAUUUCCAACUUUGUCCUAAUUUUUCAAAAAUAUUGGAGUUACAAAAGUAUGGUUAGAGUACAGAUUACUACAGACUAUUCUAUUUUUGACAUAUUCUGUUUUCGUUGCAUUGUGUGCUUAUUUUGAUGAAUCUAUGGAUUGUAUCGGGGGGUAUAAGCCAUGGUAAAGUUGGAAUAAAGUAGGUAUAAUGCAAUAAUAAAAUAUGAAUGGGUUUGCAACAGUACUUAGAGUGGUGAUUUGCUUUAUAAUACUAACGGCUCUCAUGAAGGUUUUGUUAAGUUUUGUGUGAUUGAAGUGUUCAAGUUUUAGGUGAGAUCACGAUGGAUGAAGGAAUAAGGAUUAAGAAGAGCCUAAGCUUGGGGAUGCCCAUGGCACCCCAAGUUAAUAUUCAAGGAGAACCAAGCAGGGGCAUCCCCUCUUUCUUCUAACGACCAUCGGUAUUUUACUUGGAGCUAUAUUUUUAUUCGUCACAUAUCAUGUGUUUUGCUUGGAGCGUCCUGUAUUAUACGAGUCUUUGCUUGUUUUGCUUUCGGUUUGUCACAAGUAUCCUUGCUGGACACACCUAUUUGAUAGAGCCAAAAUUAUGCUAUGAUUUAUUAGAAUUUAUCUUUAUGCUUCACUUAAAUUUUUUGAGCUAUGGAAUUGCUCUAGUGCUUCCCUUAUAUCUUUUUGAGCACAGUGUGUUUAAUAUGUUUGAAGAAAUACUCUCAUGCUUCACUUAGAUUUAUUUGAGAGUUAGUAAUUCUAAAUAAAUUCUCUCAUGCUUCACUUAUAUUAUUUUGAGAUAUGAAAAUCUUUAUGCUCAUGUUCUUCACUUAAAUUUAUUUUGAGCUUGUCAAAAGCAAUUGCAAUAUAUGAAACUAGUCCCAAAGUGAUAAAUAUUCAAGAGGGAUAUAAUAAAAACUUUCAUGAAGAUCAUUGGACAAAUUAAACUUGAUUCCUUGUAAUAGUUUUGAGAUAUGAUGAUAGUGAUAUGUGAGUCAUGUUGGUGAGUAAUUAUGCUUUAGUAAGAAUAUUGGUGUUAAGGUUUGUGAUUCCCUAUGCAAGCACGAAAGUCAAUAGUUAUGCAAUGAAAUUACAUCCUACUUGCGGUGCAUUAUUCGGUGCCCAAUGUCAGAUCAUGUUUUCUUCAUGUUUUUGGUUUUGCAGGAAACCAAUAUCUAGGGAGGUCAAAUUACAAUGCCAAUUAAACACGGUUUUUUUCGGGCGACGAAGGACCCAUGAAGCUUCGAGAAGGAACGAGAGGAGCCAUAGGGGGCCACACGGCCAUGUGGCGCGCCCCAGGCCUAGGGUGCACCACUAGGGCAUGUGGGGCCCACCUGCACUGCCUUACAUUGAUUUCACCUCCAUAUAAUCGUAUAAGUACUGAAACAUUCCGCCAUAUUUUUAGAGACAUUUUACUACCACCAUAAGUUCCUAUUUCACACAGAUCCAAUCUGGGGGCCUGUCCAGAGCUCUGCCGGAGGAGGAAUCCAUUGCUGGAGACUUCUUCAUCAACCUUGCUACCCCCAUGACUAUGUGUGAGUAGUUCUUACUAGGACCUUGGGGUCCAUAGUAGUAGCUAGAUGACUCUCUCUUCUCUCUCUCUCUCUCUCUCUCUCUCUCUCUUUCUCUCUCUCGUUUGGAUUUUCAAUACCAUGUUCUAGUGAGCUGCCUUACAUGAUUAGGAUCAAUUUGAUGUAAUUCUUCGGUGUGUUUGUUGGAUAUGAUGAACUGUCACUUUAUGAUCAGAUUGUUCAUUGAAAUCAAUUGAAAUUUUGAGGUUUCCUUGCAUGCUCCUCGAUCUAUCUAUCUUCUCUGGCCAAGUUAGAUGGGUUUUUCUUCAGAGGGGUGGUGCAUUGUAGUGGGUUAAAUCUUGUGGUUCUCUAACCCAGUGACAAUAAGGGCCAAGACAUGUAUUGUGUUGUUGUCACUAAGGAUAGAAUGGUGGUGUCUCAUCAUAUUGUUGAUGUUCUACUGUCUACAUACUAUCUACAAAUUGAAGUGAAAUGGAAUGAACCACCAGAAGUAGUCGUAAUACCUAUCGAUGGUCGAGGACGUCGACUUGCGGCAACCAGUGGCAGGAACGUUGAGUAGGAGCCACAAGAAAGUAGAUCUAGAUCGCAGCAGAAAGGAAGAAGACCAGGGAAAGAGACUAAGCAAAAAGAAGAUACGAUAUGUGUCCAGUCUGCAACCCAAAAUAAAUGUUGGGUAACUCGGAGUACCUAGUUGGAUACGCCCACGAAUAAAAUAUAAUGCCCAGGCUAGCACGUUUCAGAAAGCAGAACACAAAAUAUUACAGUAUAAAUUUCUUCCAAAAGAACUUGAUUGAACAAACAGCGUUAACCAUAGGAGCCCAAAUGAAAUCAAAGCUUAGGGAAGUCAUUAUAGUUGGAAGAACGAAAUGUGUUAAAGAAUUACUUAUUUACCAAACUCACCAGACAGUUUCAUAAGUUCAGAUUUGGUCAUACAAGUACUGCUUUCUUGAAUGUAAAGAUAGAUUUCUCAUAGAUGAUAGCAUGCAUCGCAAGGCGGUAAAAAGUAGCGAAAAACACAAUGUAUAGUAUUCAUGGAAAAGGAUGGAAUGAACUUGGGAAAGGACAUAAGAGGAUGAACUGAUGAGUAUAAAUAAAAUAAGACUCCAUUCAUUCCCUUAUACAAGGCCACUUCAUAUUUUUAUAUCUAACUUUGACCGUUACUUUUACCAAUAGAAAUGGUAGUAUGCCACAAAAAGUAUGUUAUUGGACGCACAUUUGAAAGAACUUUGCAAUGAUAUAUUUUUUAUAACAUAUAAUCUAUAUUUUGUUGACCCAGAUUAUAAGUUAAAGUUUGACACGAAAAACGAAGUGACCUUUUAUAAGGGAAUGUAGGGAGUAAAUGAAAUAGAAGAAGAAGCAAUAGCGAAUGAAGACAAUUAGAAGGCUGAAAGGAAAACACGGCUAUAUGAAUGGACAAGCAGUAGAAGAACAUGUGAACACCGAAGAAGAUGAAUAGUACUCUCUCCAUCCAAAAAAAUUUGUCCCAAGCUUGUCCUUCAAAUGGAUGUAUCUUGCACUAACCUGGUGUUAGAUACAUUCAUCUGAGAGACAAGCUUUUUCAGACGAAAGGGGUAUGAAAUAACUGUUAAAACGGAACGGGGCGACGGAGCAUAAGAGACACGGCCAUAAAAGUACAUGUGAAGGAUAUAUUUGUACAGAAAAAUCAUGUAUAUUGUCUCGUAUUCACACAUUUAAGAAUUUCCUUCCAUUUUUCAAUGAAUUUCCGUGAAAGACACGUGCACAGAUCACAACGCACAUCAAUGGCGGCAGCCGUUUCCGCAGGUGCGGGCCCCUAUGAAUUUUCAUGGUAUUGUAUUGACUCCAAACAAAAGAUGGUUAGCCACCCGGUAACGUGUGAGAAUUGAAGUUGUGCUCAUUGACCCAAUUCAUCUAGCAUGAUUGUGUAACAGCAGUGCUAUACACACAACACAAUGCACACGAUUCAUGCACGAUACUUAAAUCCAGCCGGACAUGCACAUGAUUGAGAAGGGCACCAGCGACUGGAUUAGCACGUCUUGCAUAGAUUGGGCAGCACGGUCGUCUGGGUAGCAGUUUCGAUUGUGUAAUGAGUUUCUUAUUGAAUCAUGAGGACCCACUAUAUUGCCUUAUCCUGAUCUGCAUUUUGUGCCAACACUCAGACCACAACCGUUACACUUAUUGAAUUUUAUUUUAUUUGAAAAUAUGGUCCAAAAAAUCUGAAAUUUGGUAUGGUGUCAUAAUAUGGUUGUCGUAUUCUUUUAGCCAACUUGAGGCAACUUGUAUGCAUUAACUGACCUCGUAGGCAUUUUCAAUAUCGCCCAUAAUUAGCCCCCUAUGUGUGUAUCUCACGGUUCCAAUCGCGGCCAUGUCAUGAAGGACUAAUUUGGAAUGCAGCUGAUCAUGCUCAAAAGUCUACCAUGGUUCAUCCGUUCAUUAAUUUACAAACAGUUCACUCAAAAUAAACAUGAACACCAUGCAUGCAUACAAACACCGCACCACCACGGUUGUUGUGAUGAUCUUGGUCUCCUAAGGAGGCAAAGGAGCUCGACAAGCCGAAGACCUCCACCAGGUGCGCGCCGACAACCAUUCGGGCUGUCUUGGCCGCAGGGGCCGCCGCUAUCGCCAAGGCUGUGUAAGUCAUCAUCGCGCUCUUGCCAAGGCUGCCGCCAGGUGAGAACAAAUGAUUAUGAGGUAGCAUCUUCCUGAAAUUUUUACCAUAGAGAAGUGUUAGAGUAGAUAGCUUACAUUAUUUUAAGAUCUAUCAACACGUUAUAAUGUGUGAUGUCCUAUAGUUAUAAUAUUUCUUAAAGAAACAAUACAAAGUAAAACUUACAGUUUUCUAGCUAUAUGAUGCUUGUAUUGACUUAUAAUGUCGUAUCUAGAGGAUACAAGUAUCAUAAUUACAUAUCCGGCAUCUGCAUAACUAUAAUAUAUAUAACCAACAUAAACAUACACGCAGAAAAGAAAAUGUGAUCUCGAUAAGCCGCAACCACCUUCGGUUGUGCGGCUCACGAACGAUAUCAAAGACGACGCUAGACCUUGGGCUCGCGCUGGGGCCAAGGCGCCUGGCUAGCUGAUCACCGAGACGUAGGUUUGGUAGUUGGGCCGCGCUUGCCCUUCUCAUGCGCUCUUCUAUGCCUUGCACGCCGCCUGGGUGUUCGUCCUUGCGAGGCUGUUUUUAUAAUGACUGCUAUAAAUCCUCUUCUAUCAACACAAUAAUACAAAAGUCUAUUGUGUAUUCGCGAGAAAAAAAAAGGCACAACCACCACCGAUAAGCCACACUAGGCAGUAGCGACGACGCAAGCAUAUUUUGCCACUUGCCCUAGCCGCCCAAGUGGAUGUACGCUUUUGAACAUCGCCCGCCCAAUGAGGUUAUGAUCUAGUUCUAGAUUAAUGCAAACCCAACUGCCCAAACAAAUCGACCAAUGUAUAUCGGGAAAUCGCAUUGGAUCACUCGUUGUCAGAAGUAGUAUGCAUAUGUACUGGAAAUAAAAGGAAAUUGUACCACUUGUAGCUAGCAAGUAAUGAACUCAUGAUACAUGCAUCUAUUUUAUUUUUUUCCGGCAUCUUCUUGCGAAUCCUUGAAAUAGAUACCCAUGCAGUUCAAAAAAAAAAAGAUAGCCAUGCACUCUUUCCACGUCCCCAGGCUACAAAUACCCGUCAAAUUCCAGCACUCUUCAUCCAUCUCGAGCCAGCUACUAGCUAGCCAUGGCAUCUUCCAAGAGUAGUCUUGCAAUGUUUGCACUGGCCAUAGUCAUGGCCGUGGUGGCUGACGUCUCGGCGCAGAACACCCCGCAGGACUUCGUCAACCUGCACAACCGCGCCCGCGCCGUGGACGGCGUCGGCCCCGUGGCAUGGGACAACAACGUGGCCAGGUUUGCGCAGGACUGGGCGGCGCAGCGCGCCGGCGAUUGCCGGCUGCAGCACUCCGGCGGGCCGUUCGGCGAGAACAUCUUCUGGGGUUCCGGGCAGUCGUGGACGGCCGCCGACGCGGUGAAGCUGUGGGUGGACGAGAAGCAGAACUACCAUCUUGACAGCAACACCUGCGACGCCGGCAAGGUGUGCGGGCACUACACGCAGGUGGUGUGGCGCAAGUCGACCCGCAUCGGCUGCGCGCGCGUGGUCUGCACGGGGAACCGGGGCGUCUUCAUCACCUGCAACUACAAUCCCCCGGGCAACUUCAACGGCGAGCGCCCGUUCGCGUUCCUCACCCUUGACGCCGAAGCCUAGUACGUGCGAGUGAGUGUGAUCAUACAUGCAUACGUACGUGCGUGUGUUUAUGUUUGUGUGGUUUGAAUAUUUAUACGUCUACAAAUGUUACGUACGUACGUAAAUAAGCACACAUUCCGGCCUGCAUGUAUCCAUGCGGCUCUGUGGAGCGUGUAAAUGUAUGCAAACAUCUUUACUUUUGUUUUGUUGUUCAAAACUUGGACCUAGCCAAACAAAUUGUGAACCCUUGAAAAAAAUGAUACCCCCUUCGUCCUAUAAUGUAAGACCGCUAGUGUCAAAAAAAGGUCUUACGUUAUGGGACGGUGGGAGUAUGUUACACACAAAAUUUGAAUUUGCGUUCGAAGAUAAGAACCCGCAAUUCUUGAAAUAAGAUUUCGUCCCGUUUUAUUUAUAGAUAAAGCAAACACCACGACCAUACAGUAAAUUCAAGUGUGAAAAAUAGAAUAGCCUAUUGAGGCAACAUCACAAACUCGACGAAGGAAAAUAUAAAAUAAAUGGGAAAAAAGACCACCAAGUGGUCGUAGUCUCGGGGGGGCUGCACCGGGGCAAGUUGGCGAGCGGCACCAUGCAUCGCAUCCAUCAUAAGGCCUAGCCUAUCGCGGUCGCACUGUCUAUAAAGCGGGUGCCAGCGCUGCAAAAAUGCAAAGAAUUUGAAGAUUAAGUCAGAUGUCCUCCUAAAAAAGACACGCUCAAUCACCAUCUUAUUGUGUGCACUCCACAAAAUCCAUGCUAACGGUGCAAACACCAGCCAGAAGAGGUGCCUCAUACUGCCACCUGGUAGGCACAGGUCUGAAGGAACCCGGCAAGGUCCAGGGCCUCAUGGACAAAACUCCAAAGAACUCUAGACACUGUCCAAAAGAAGAUGAUGUGGCCCUCGUUUCCAGAACACCAAAAAGAGGACACAACCCUUCCCAAGGUCAUGCCUCUUGAUCACCUCUUCCCAGCAAUUGCCAAACACAAAUUUUGAUCUUUUCAAUGGUAAGUGCGCUUUAGAGAGCGGACUGAUUUAAGCAAUGGUCGGACGCCAGCAUAGGGCAAGAUAUGUUGAGUCGACAGAGAAGAAACCCGAAGAUGCAAGAUGCCAUGAUACGGUGUCCGGAUAGUCCGCGAGAACCGGGACCGCCGCCCGCAAACUAGCCCACUCUACGGUCUCCACCUGGCCAAAUGGCCGUCAGAACAAGACGUUUCAAUGGCCAUUGUGGGCCAGUGAAAAAAAUAACGCGCUAUAGCGCCACUAAUAGCACACUGUAGCGUUGUGAGCAAUAUCUUGCUAAAUAAAUCAGUGUGCAAUGUCUCACUAAUAGCACGCUAUAGCGCGAUAUAGUAUGCUGAUAGUGUAUUUUAAGAGCCACGCUAUUUUGUCAUAGUACACUAUUUUUUUAAUUGUUGUGUGCGGGCAUGGAACCAAAACCAUAGGGUCCGCCUGCAAACUAGCCCGCUCUAUGGUCUUCACCUGGUCAAGCUACUGCUAGUGCAUUAUGACUUCCAGCUUUCCCCAUUAUUAUUAUUUUGUACUUAAUCCUCAAUUUAUCUGGCCGGAUAGAUAGAACGUGAUUCAAUUGGUAGGCGUUAAGGCAGUAUUUGAUUCUGAGGAUAAGAAAAGUACAGGGAGAAAUUGUUUCAGAGAUAAUAAACCACGUGGACCCUCCUAAUUAUUGUUAAGCGAUAAGGUUGGGUACUUGGGUUCGAUUACGAGAAUAUGAAAAGUAUACAAAGACAACGAUGUGAGGACUUGAACAUGACUAGCACAGACAUGGCGCUCUCUUGUGCACCAGUACGACAAGACCUAGCCAGUGAAACAGCAGAAAGACACAAGUUUGUAUACGUUAAUCACUUCAAUUCAAAUUAACCAGGAAAAAUAAUGUUUGCUUGAUAGUUUGGCAUGGAUUCUUACUUGUUAGUGUGGCUUUGCUAGAGUACAAACUAUAUUGCAAACAUUAAAAUCCAUAUAUGGAGAUUGGAGUUCAUCCAGGCUGCGUAGUGUUCCCUCUCACUUCUGUUUUUCGUCGAGUUAAUUGCAGAAAACCACCGCAUUUACGGCCAGAUUUGACAAAAAUACCUAGUCCCUAAUUUUUAGGAAAAGCCGCCACAUUUGCAGUAAACUUUUUGCAAGAAGAACUGAUUGCUUGAUUUGCAGCGUUUACAACAAGCAGGGGCCAGAUUGUAAGGAGCUGAUUUGGCAAAAAUUGACAUGCACACUCCUGGAGCGAAACGAAAAAUGCAAUCAACCCCCCGCCAUGCACAUGUUUUUUAGGCGUGCAGGCCCGGGCCCCGCGCGUCGCCAUCGCCCGCUCCCGGUUGCCUGGCCCACCCUAGCCUGGUCGUCUCCCCAUGCUGGCACGGGCCACGUGACCUGGACGGCGAGCAAGAGGGCGACGGCCUACCAGUCCCCAAGCGACGCCGGCCCAAGUGGCGCAGAAGUUGGCCUUGGCCGACCAGUCCCGCGCACACGCCCAGGCCACACCCGCAGCUCGUAUAUCGCCGCGAGGUCAUACUGCGGGAGCGGCAACUGCGCCCCAUGUGGAUCUCAUGCCGUCGAGGACCAGCAGGGCCAGUGGCGUGCUGUCUGUGCGCCCUGGUGGAUCUUGUGCCGUCGAGGACCAGCGGGUGGCUUUUACAAAAAAAAUAAAGACUAGGUAUUUUUCUGCAAACCUAACCGCAAUAUGAUGGUUUUCUGCAAUCAACUCGUUUUUCGUCACAGGGAGGAGUGGCGCCACGACAUGGGUAGGGCUAUAGUGCACAACCUAGUCUGUAUUUUGCAGGGAAUAUAUUCAUUUCCUGUUCAUGUUGUUUUCCUUGGUGUAUUUUGUAUAUUAAAUGAUCUUUGAACUUUCCACACCUCACUUAAAAGCUUAUCCAUGCAACAUGUUGUUUACUGAAAGUUCGUUUUUUGUCUCGGGGGAGCUGCAUGAGGAAGGAAGAAACUCGAAUACGCUGUCAUGCACAUGAAUGAUUUGAUCCUCCAGCAGGCAGCAGCCUUCGUUGUCUUGACUCCAAGCAGAAGCUGAUUAGCCGCCGAGACGUCAAGUCUGAAUUUGAAUAACUUGUGUAUUGACCCGGCUCCUCAAUCAUAGCUGUGAAAUGACUGUUAUUGAAGCAUGAUGAUCCGAUCGGUUCAUUAGCUAGUCAGAUGUCCUUAUCCUACUUGUACGAUACUCCCUCGGUUCCAGAUUACUUGUCACAUAAAUAGAUAUAAAUAGAUGUAUGUAAAACUAAAAAUACAUCUAUAUGCAUCCAGUUCUGCGACAAGUAAUUGUAGGCGGAGGGAGUAUAUGUGAAAGUUUUGGUUGUACCACCAUGCCAGUGUAUCCUUUAUCCUCACCGUCCAUUCUUUCGUCAAAUUUAUGAAAGAAAACUUCUCUUUUUUUGUUAUAAAAUCUUCCAAAUAAAAUAACAUGUAGGGGCUGUUUGGUUACUGCCCUCAUUCGCCCUGCCAAAUCAUGGGCCGACCAAAAAAUUGGCGAGCAGAUCGCCCGCCCUGGUUUCGCCAACAAUUUGGCGUGGAAUCAGAUGGAGGGAGUGCGGGCGAGCUGGGCGUGCCAAUAAAUCGGGAGCGAUCCAAACAGAUGCCCACGCCCCAGUCAACGCUAAUAUUUUGGCUUGGCAGUUGAGGGCAGCGAUCCAAACGCCCCCCGUAAACUCGAAACUUUGCGGAUCAACAUCACACAAGUAUUACCAUGUACGGGAAAGUUUUCGGAUUUUUGGCGCAAGCUAAAUUUUUAAAAAUGAUACAAUUCACUCUAAAUUUUGAAAUUUGACAAAUUUAUGUUUGACAAAAAAUGGAAACAUUUUAUACAAUGAGAGACACUUGUAUAUAGUUGUUCUGCAAAGUUUCAAGGUCAAAUUCUCUUGUUUGGAAAAAACAAAAGAGAAACUUCUAUAUAAGGCACGUACCUUGAUGCAAACUGAAUGUUCUAGACAGAGGGUACACUACCUGAACUAAUGUCUUUUAGAUUUCUAUAUUUUACACAUCUUAGAAUUGUCAGCCUAUUUUCUUUCUCGAAUUGACAUGUUGUGUAUUAGGGCUGAUUAUUCCUUGAAAUUUUUGUUUAUACGUAGGAAUACGCCCUCAAGAAACUUCCUUUUGCCCAAAGAAAAUUUACACAUGGGUGAUUUUUUCCAUGUUUUCUUUAGAGAGGAUUCAUGUUUGGUUUGGGGCAGCGAGGCGGGGGAGUGUAGGAAUAAUAUCUCCCAACCCUUUUCCCGUUCUGUUGGCAUGCUUAUCAUCAUCAGUGCAAGGCGUGCGGAGCCGUGUCUCUAGCGGAUCUUCUGGAAUCCUAUCGAUUUAGGUUUCUCGUGGUUCCGUCUAGAUUUAGCCAGUAUUCUAGUCUACGGAGUUCCUACAUGCCCUUAUCUAGUGAAAGUAUGCUAAAGUGAACAUAUGAACCCUAGGUUUGGUUUUCGACCAUUAAAACAUCAUUUUGCACACUUUUUCAUACUUUUACUUUGUUAUUUUUAUUUAUUUUGAAAGCACAGAGACACUAAUAUCAUCCAAAUUAUUAAUCUUUUCAUCAAACUAAUGCACCUACUAUAACGAAACAUACUACACAAUAAACUUUUAUCGCUACAAUCACGACCAAGAACAUUAUGACGAUGACAUGAUGGAUCCAAUCUCACCAGCAAAAACACAAACGAAGAGGAAGAAGAUGUGGGCAAUGACUCGCUGAUUUUGAUAGCUAGGUCAUACACCUAGCCGCAAGAAUAUCUCCAUUGAUCGGGAUUCGGAGUAGAUGACCCCUCAGCGGUAUAGCUGCGUACCAAAUUCGAGGUUUGGCAGCACUUCGUUGUCCAGGAAAAGAUUGUUGAGAGGACUAGAGGGAGGAGGAGCCUAGCGGCUUAUCGGUCACACGGUGGGAAAGAGAGAUUUUGUGCAGAGGGGUGCAUCUGUCAUGACCUGUGUGUCCUUUGGGGUGCACCUUCUCUACAUUUCAUAGAUGCCAAGGGCAAACCGACUUGUGGAGGGGGGCUCCCCUAGGGACGGCACACCAAGGAGGGGGGCUCCUCCAUCCUUUUGGCUUGCCCCCCAAAACAUGGGGUGACACACCACUCUAAGGGUCCAUUAGGGCCCAGGUAGCACUACCCUUUGGGAUAGCCAAGGGGACAACCCACUAGGACCCUCUGGAAACUCCAGAACUUUCUGGUGCACUCUAUAACCUUCCGAUGCCUUCUAAAAAUCCAGGAUGCUCUCAAGAACUUCCGGGAUACUCUCGAGCUCUUCCGGGACGCUCCCGAAUCCAUCCAGAACUCUUUUAGUGCCCUUCUCUCAUACUCCUAUGUACUCCUACUUCUCUAAAAACCACUAGUCGUUAAACAUGUACAACCCUACAGGUUCGGUAAUAUGCAGACAUGACCCUGCAGGUUAAGCAUGUUCACUGUGGGAAGUUUUUUGUCUAGCUAGGUGGUCUUGUUGUACCGUAGGAACGAAUACAAUAUCUAAAAGCGGUGGCACAUGUAUUCAAGGGACAUGCCUGGCAUGUUGUGGCCGUUGGGGAGGUGGAUUGAGUAAAUUGCAUAGAAGUACCACAAUUGGGGCAUUGGAAGCAGAUUGGUACCAAGAUUGGUAAUUUUUAUGUGUCAGUACCAACUUUGGGGCGAGGCGUUGCAAAAGAGGCUAAAACAGCUGUUUAUACGUAUUGACACGGAAACUGACCGGUUGGGCCCGCCUGUCGGGUGCUGACAUGGCAUGUUUUUUGCAAAAAACUCCCUGGAAUCUCCUCUCUCUCUCCCCCGAACGCUCUCCCCCUCCUCUGUCUCGAUCUCUCACACACACCCGAACGCGGCCGUCGCCACCGACGACGAUCACCGUGGCCACCGUCCAACCUACCCCUCUCCAUACCAUCCAACGGCUCAGCCGCGACGCCCUCUUCCUCAUCGCCAAGCCACGUGACGCCGGGAGCCCCAUGCCGUCGUCCUUGCCUUCGGCUUCUUCCGCGGGAUCCGACGACAACCGCCGACGAUUCGACGCCGUCCGACCUCCCCCGAGCUCGCCAUCUGCUCCAACUGACUCGCCGUGAGCCCUUGCCUCCUCUCCCCUUGCUCUCGUGCUCCUUUUCUCGCCAUGGCCACCGUUCCGCCGGCGACCGAUUCGCGCCGCCGCCUGAGCUCCUCGCCGCCAUGGCCAGAGGCCGUGUUCGUCGCUCCUAGGCACGUAGACGUGCUUCAGACCUCGCCAGGAACCCAACCCGCACCCCAACUCGCUCUCUCGAGCGCUGCAGCCGCAUCCCCGCACUCGGCCGAACUCCGGCCGCCGCUCCGCCCGUCGCCGCCGCCGCUACACUGCACCCCGGCACCCCCCGCUACCUCCUUUAGAUGCGCCGCACCGCCAGCUCGCCAUAGCCGCAAACCACACGCGAAGCGGUGCUUGUUAGCGCCAUCCCGAGCAACUCCGGCGUGCCACCGCCGUGCCUUUGGUCGCCGGCGUCAACUGCUGACGUGGCGCCGGAUUAGUUAGCACUAAUGACCCGGCUAAAUACCCUUAGUGCCACUGCCAUGUGGGCCCUGUGCCUGUUUAGUUUAGUUUAAUUUUCUGUUUAGAUUAGUUCAUAACCCAGUGGGACCGACUCAAAUUUUCAAACGAGUCCGAAUCGGUGGUGGAAAUUACGAACGAAAAAAAACCCUCUCAUUUGAGCCCUUUUUCCCGAAAUAAUUGAGCAUUUAUGGGAUUACGCACAAAGCAAGGGAGUUUUCUGCAAAAAACAUGCCACGUCAGCACCUGACAGGCGGGCCCAACCGGUCAGUUUCCGUGUCAAUACGUAUAAACAGCUGUUUUAGCCUCUUUUGCAACGUCUCGCCCCAAAGUUGGUACUGACACGUAAAAAUUACCAAUCUUGAUAUCAAUCUGCUUCCAAUGCCCCAAUUGUGGUACUUUUAUGCAAUUUACUCAGGUGGAUUCGAUGGCGCAGAGGGAGGCGGCCAGUGGGAACACGGGGCGAUUGGGAGAGGUCGGCGAGGCCAUGCAGAUCCAAUGGCAUAUGGGGCGCACGACCCCGAUAGACUGCAGAUACCCAUUGUGGACCUUGGGGAGGCAGAUCCGAUGGUGAGGAGGGAAGCUGUCGAUGCGGAGGUGGGUUAAGGAGUAAGCUAAGAGAGAGUAUCAGAGGCUAUAUAUGAGACUGGCAGAUGACAAAAGCAGGGUGCCCCACAUUCUCACCUGCUGAUUCUCAGGCUAAAACUACUUCGUUGGUAGAAAAUCUACUUACCUAGGAACAGGCGAUGGAACAUACCAAGGACACACGUGCUACGAAGAAAUAUAAGAUUCUCAAAACAGGGAAAGCUACGGAUACACAUUAAGCUAGGCUAACAAGUAUCUUCGUUUGACCUUGGGUUCAUUGUUUCAUGCUGGAGUCAAGCUCUACUGGUCGGCCUGAGACGGAGUGGAGAGUAGGUGUGACGCCCGGAUAAUUAAGCUACAGCAAUCCCACGUUAACAAUGCCACAUCACCCCGUUUACUGUUGAUAAACUCUCGAUAGUUCAGAACCGAUCCAAAUUCAAAUUUGAAUUAAAGGCAAACAAUAAAAGUUUUUCAAAUUCUCAAAACUAAAAUGUUCUUAUUGUGACAAUUAAAUCAUCGAUAGUAUUGGUGGAGAAACAACAUUUUUAUAAAAUAAUUAAUUACUCUAAAGUGAUUAGAACUGCAGCAAAACAAUUAAGUAAAUACCUUUUUCGAUUAAUAAAAUUCUAAACUAAUUUAUUUCGGGGUAAAACAUUUAUGGCAGUGGGUGGUUCUCAAACAUCAAUUUAGGAGUUGCUAUCAUUUUUUUCUAAGCUAAAAACAAUGUGUAUCUAAAAUAAAACAGAACAGAAAAAUANNNNNNNNNNNNNNNNNNNNNNNNNNNNNNNNNNNNNNNNNNNNNNNNNNNNNNNNNNNNNNNNNNNNNNNNNNNNNNNNNNNNNNNNNNNNNNNNNNNNNNNNNNNNNNNNNNNNNNNNNNNNNNNNNNNNNNNNNNNNNNNNNNNNNNNNNNNNNNNNNNNNNNNNNNNNNNNNNNNNNNNNNNNNNNNNNNNNNNNNNNNNNNNNNNNNNNNNNNNNNNNNNNNNNNNNNNNNNNNNNNNNNNNNNNNNNNNNNNNNNNNNNNNNNNNNNNNNNNNNNNNNNNNNNNNNNNNNNNNNNNNNNNNNNNNNNNNNNNNNNNNNNNNNNNNNNNNNNNNNNNNNNNNNNNNNNNNNNNNNNNNNNNNNNNNNNNNNNNNNNNNNNNNNNNNNNNNNNNNNNNNNNNNNNNNNNNNNNNNNNNNNNNNNNNNNNNNNNNNNNNNNNNNNNNNNNNNNNNNNNNNNNNNNNNNNNNNNNNNNNNNNNNNNNNNNNNNNNNNNNNNNNNNNNNNNNNNNNNNNNNNNNNNNNNNNNNNNNNNNNNNNNNNNNNNNNNNNNNNNNNNNNNNNNNNNNNNNNNNNNNNNNNNNNNNNNNNNNNNNNNNNNNNNNNNNNNNNNNNNNNNNNNNNNNNNNNNNNNNNNNNNNNNNNNNNNNNNNNNNNNNNNNNNNNNNNNNNNNNNNNNNNNNNNNNNNNNNNNNNNNNNNNNNNNNNNNNNNNNNNNNNNNCUUGCAGCCCCGCUGCUCCGGGCGCGACCACAGUCGCCGUGCGCCCACGCCCGAGCGCCCUUGGGCGUGCGCCGAUCGGGCAGCGCCCGUUGCCCGUUCGCCCGUGCCCGUUUGGCCCUAUGGGCCACUGCCCAGUGGGGCCCCCCGCCCCACGCCCCUCUGUUAAAAAAAAGGUUAAAAAAAUGAUAAUAAUAAAUAAAAAUAUUAAAUAGUUAAUUAAUAAAUUAAUUAGCUUAAUUAAUUCUGUUAGUUAUCUAAUUAAACCUAAUUAACCUGUUAAUAAAACUAACUACUGAUAAUUAGUUAGCUGUCAAUGACAAAUGGACCCCACCUGUCAGUUGACCGGUCAACGGUCAACUUUGACCGCUGACAUCAUGCUGUCGUCAUGAUGAUGCAGUAAUUCUUUUUCGAAUUAAUUAAUUAAUAAUAAUCCCAGUAAAUGAUUAAAUCUUUAUAAAAUAUUAUAAAAUAAACCGUAACUCGGAUGGAAAAACUUUGUACAUGAAAGUUGCUCAGAACGACGAGACGAAUCCGGAUACGCAGCCCGUUCGUCCGCCACACAUCCCUAGCAUAGCAAACACGCAACUUUCCUCUCCGAUUCAUCUGUCCGAAAACGUGAAACACCGGGGAUACUUUCCCGGAUGUUUCCCCCCUUCGCUGGUAUCACAUAUCCCUGCGUUACGUCACCCCUAGCACAACGUAUUGCCGCGUCUUGCUUUGUGUUACAUUUGAUUGCUCUGUUAUUUAUUGUGUUCCCCCUCCGUUACUUCUUUCCAGUAGGCUCCGAGACUGUUGUCGAUACCCCUGUGAUCGGCUACAUCGACGACGACCCCUUCUUCUUGCCAGAGCAACCAGGCAAGCCCCCCCUCCUUGAUCACCAGAUAUCGCCUAUUCCUUCUCUAUACUGCUUGCAUUAGAGUAGUGUAGCAUGUUACUGCUUUCGGUUAAUCCUAUACUGAUGCAUAGCCUGUCAUUGUUUCUACAGUUGUUACCCUUACCUGCUAUCCUACUGCUUAGUAUAGGAUGCUAGUGUUCCAUCAGUGGCCCUACACUCUUGUCCGUCUGCCAUGCUAUACUACUGGGCCGUGAUCACUUCGGGAGGUGAUCACGGGUAUAUACUAUAUACUUUAUAUACAUGACACAUGUGGUGACUAAAGUCGGGUCGGCUCGUUGAGUACCCGCAAGUGAUUCUGGUGAGGGGGCUGAAAGGACAGGUGGCUCCAUCCCGGUAGAGGUGGGUCUGGGUUCCUGACGGCCCCCGACUGUUACUUUAUGGCGGAGCGACAGGGCAGGUUGAGACCACCUAGGAGAGAGGUGGGCCUGGCCCUGGUCGGCAUUCGCGGAUACUUAACACGCUUAACGAGAUCUUGGUAUUUGAUCUGAGUCUGGCCAUUUGGUCUAUACGCACUAACCAACUACGCGGGAACAGUUAUGGGCACUCGACGUCGUGGUAUCAGCCGAAGCUCUUCUUGACGUCAGCGACGCAGCGGCGCGCGCCGGAUUGGACUGGAACGCCUGCUAGGCUAGGUCUGCUUCCGGCCGCGUACGCAACGUGCAGGUGUGCAAUGAGCGAUGGGCCCAGACCCCUGCGCGCAUAGGAUUUAGACCGGCGUGUUGACCUCUCUAUUCAGCCUAGGUGGGGCUGCGACGUGUUGAUCUUCCGCGGCCGGGCAUGACCCAGAAAAGUGUGUCCGGCCAAAUGGGAUCGAGCGUGUUGGGUUAUGUGGUGCACCCCUGCAGGGAAGUUUAUCUAUUCGAUUAGCCGUGUCCCUCGGUAAAAGGACGACCCGGAGUUGUACCUUGACCUUAUGACAACUAGAACUGGAUACUUAAUAAAACACACCCUUCCAAGUGCCAGAUAUAACCCGGUGAUCGCUCUCUAACAGGGCGACGAGGAGGGGAUCGCCAGGUAGGAUUAUGCUAUGCGAUGCUACUUGGUGAACUUACCAUCUACUCUCUUCUACAUGCUGCAAGAUGGAGGUGGCCAGAAGCGUAGUCUUCGACAGGAUUAGCUAUCCCCCUCUUAUUCUGGCAUUCUGCAGUUCAGUCCACCGAUAUGACCCUUUACACAUAUACCCAUACAUAUGUAGUGUAGCUCCUUGCUUGCGAGUACUUUGGAUGAGUACUCACGGUUGCUUUUCUCCCUCUUUUCCCCUUUCUAUACCUGGUUGUCGCAACCAGAUGCUGGAGUCCAGGAGCUAGAGACCCCGAGGAUGAUUCUACGUGGAGUUCGGCUUCGAGGAGUAGUUAGGAGGUCCCAGGCAGGAGGCCUUGCCUUUUCGAUCGUUGCUACUUUUGUGCUAGCCUUCUUAAGGCAAACUUGUUUAACUUAUGUCUGUACUCAGAUAUUGUUGCUUCCGCUAACUCGUCUAUGAUCGAGCACUUGUAUUCGAGCCCUCGAGGCCCCUGGCUUGUAUUAUGAUGCCUGUAUGACUUAUUUAUGUUGUAGGGUUGUGUUGUGAUAUCUUCCCGUGAGUCCCUGAUCUUGAUCGUACACAUUUGCGUGCAUGAUUAGUGUACGGUCGAAUUGGGGGUGUCACAGUGGGAGCGGCACCAGAGGUUUUGGAUGGCGAAGCAAGGAUGGUGUUGAUGUGGCCCAUCAACGGUGGGACCUCGUCACUGACGGGUCAGUAGUAGCCACCCGCCGGAGCUGAGUGGUCGUCAGUGUUUUGGCACACAUGCUCGACCACUCUAUUCACCUCUUGCAGGUCACCAUAUUGCCCAUUAGUGGUGACUUCCGACACCAUUGUCUACGGGUUAUCGUUGGUGGAUUAACAAUGACCCAUCAUCAAUGUCCGUCAUUGAUGGGUAGAUCUAGGCCUAUCAGUAGUAAACUGACUGGUGUAAUGUUAUUUGUACUAUUGAUGUUAGUUAUUCCUUCAUAUUUGACAUCAUGUAGUCCAUUAGACUGGGGCAUUUGGACCCGCAGUAAAAGAAAAGAAAAGUAGAAAGAAUGAGUUAAGCGACUAGUCACACCCCUCCCACUCGAUCACGAAACAUAGAAGACAUUUCCUAUAUCAUGCUCAUUGCCUUAGUUUCUCGAGGAUUCGCACAGAGCGAUCAUCACGGGCCAGGCCCAUUAGCGUAGUAAGGCAAAACCAUAUUUUUUACAUUUGUUCGCUAGCAGUUGGUUUGAGAGCCAUUUUUCGUGUUCCUUCUGGUUCUAGUUUCUUCUUUUCAUCCAUUAGCUUUAUUCAUAUUUUUUGACACAAAUUUUUAAAAACCUUUCACGUCUUUUUUUAACAAAAAUCUAUAAAAUUGAAAAUUAUUCAUAAAUUUUUUAAAAUGUUCACAUAAUUUAAAAACAUCCACAUUUUUAAACAUAUAUUCACAAAUUCAAAUUCACAAAAAUUUCAUGUUUUUCUGAAGAAUAUUCUGGAAUUUUUAAAAUUGUUCUCAAAUUUUUAAAAAUGCUUGGUUUCUUAGAGUGAAAAUAAAAAUUGUGUGUUUGUGAAAGGAAACUACUUGAAAACAUAUAGAAAACCAAAACAAAAAUAUCAGUUCUCUCUUCCUAAGUGGGUUGGCCCAGUCCCGUGCGCCCGUCAUGUGCGUUUGGUUAGCAAAUUGACACAACGAGCACGAUAAGGCUCCCAACCUAGAAGGCCGUGAAAGAGGAGUGCUCCUAGUCCCCGCUCGCGCGCCCCCUUACAUGGGCUAGCCCAGCUAUGCGAGCAAGUAGCUUGCUCAUCAAGCACACACGCUAGACCGGUUGACCGUUGAAUCUUAGAAAAACACAAGGGUUCAUUUUUUUUCAAAUUUGGGAAAACUUUCUCGCUUAGAAAAAGUUCAGGGACUCAAAAAAGUCUAUAAAAUUUUAAAAAUAUGAAAUUGCGAAUUUGAAAGAAGUUCACCUAUUUGAAAAGUGUUCACAGAUUUGAAAAGUAUUCACGAACUGAAACAAGUUUCACGGAUUUUUAAAAAUUAUGAAUUUGCAGAUUUGAAAAAUGUUCAUGAACUAAAGAAAUUGAAAUUGGUUUUGAUUUUUUUAAAUCACGAAUUUGAAAAGGAAUUUUUUAAUGAUAUUAAGUAAUAAAAAGUAAAAACAAAAAUAAUAAAGAACGAACAAAGAAAGAAAAACGGUCGACAGCUUCUUGAAGCUUUCCAAAACCGCGGACGCCUGUAACCAGCGCAUUGAGCGACGAAUAGGAACCAGCGCGAAAGCGCCCGAUCAACGGGCCUUGCACGCGUCCCGUCAUCAGAACGGGCCAGCGUCCCUGCGUGCCAGUCCAGCCCACGUGUCCCGUCUCCUCCAUUUCUCCUCCGACUCCGAGCUCUCCAGUCCAGCCUCGCCGCGAGAAACCCGUCCCGGAUGACGGAGGCCGUGGAAGCACCGGAGGCGCGGGAGAGGGUGCCGUCGUCGCGGCCCUACUGACAGCACCCGCCACUUCCACCGCCGCGCGCCGGCGUCCCCUCCGGCGACGGGUCCUCUGUUAGGCCCUCCCUCUUCUCUGUUUGUAAGGCCCCGUUCCUCUCGUUCCCUCGCGUAAUCCCUCCCUGCUGCUUUGCUGCAACAUCUGGGUUGCUUGUCCUUGUAAGAAUUUUCGGCUGGUUGCUCAUAGAAGUCCAUUGAUUGUUCUAUAAAAAAAUCUGGGAUUUUUUUUCGUUUCUUCUUCUUUUUGUUCGGUUUAAUUAAGUAGGAUCUUAAGUAGACGCUAGAUUAUUAGUGGUUUAGAAAGGGUUUCCCUUUCCUUUUUCGUUCGCACAGUGGUGGAUUACUGGAUUUAUUAGUGCGCUGCUCUUAAACACUCGCAGUUCGUGACCUUUAAUUUUAGCAGAAAAAUCUUGGACCCACGUUGAGGGUCUAGAACCCCACUCAAAAUAUGAAAUUCCAACAUAAUUUCUGUCUAAUUAUGGAAAGAAAAAAUGACAAAGGUAUGUGAAUUUGUACAAGCGUGGCCCCACUCAGAAUAGUUUCUAGGUCCGCCUGUACAAGCUCUGUCCUUUUCUCAAGAACGCUGGCCUGUUUCAUUUCCGCGAUUUUCUGUUUGAAUGCAUUCGAAACUUUUUUUACUGUUUCUUUGAUUAUGCAGUGCACCUGAAAGUUAAAUCUGAGAUACUAUUUCUGUUAGUAAUUUUCUUUGAUCUUUGAUGGGUUAUUAUUAGUUUUAUAGAGUAUUAUCUUUCUGUACCAAAUAUUUCCUGCCAAGUGCAUGAUUAUGCUACUGUAUGCAAGAGAAGAGAUUAAUGAAGAUCGCUUCUGAUGUAAAUGUUCUUGUUUACCCAAAGACUGAAUAAAGUGUUCUGCAAGAUACAUUUUACAAGAAGAAUUGGCGGUUUCAUAUGUCAACUGCUUGUAUUCUCUACUGUUAUUGGCAGGAUUUGAGUCUGGAAUAAUCUGUGGCCUCUUUGAGAAGCAUAGUCAGAAUGCCCAUACAUUGUGUUGCCUAGUUCUGUAUACUGAUUUACAUAUCAAAAGACACUCGAAUACUUUACUCCCUGCCUCUUCACUGAAUGAUGAUACCUGUAUUUGAACCAUUUCAAUAUUGUCGUUUGACUUGUGUUCUGAUGGAGUCCACUUCUAUUUGCAAAGUAGUGCUGAUUAAGGCUUUCUGAUGUAUCUGUGUGUUCCGUGCUUAUUGUGUUAUUCAUUUACUGUUACCUUACAGGAUUGUGUUACACUUAUGAGAUAGAUAAAUAGAAGUAAAGGAAGAACUGUAUUUGUAUCGUACUAGGAUCACCCAUUGCCAUGUUUCUUUGUUUUUCUAUUAGGAGAGGUAAAGCACCCAUGGAUCCACUCCAAAAAUCCAAGGCUUUGUGCCUGAAGCGCAAGCCCGAUGAUGAUUGCUUGGCGAAAAACAGCAAGUCCCAUCGAACUGAAAUUGAUAAUGUAUCUUCUAAGGUGCACAGCGGAUCCUCAUCGGAUUUACCUGCUCACAGUUGUCACAGCCAGCCUAAUCUUGCUAAUGAUUGUGUUAAUUACCUGAAAAGUGGGGCGCCAAGUCGUGUCAUGUUUUACAAACAAGGUUCAUGGUGUGACUUUCCUGACAAGAUAGUCACAUCCAUUGUUGAUGCAUUCGGAGGUGACAAAUCUAGUAUCGUUGUUGUGAUGGAUGACCAGCCUCUCCUUAUUGAUUUCUUAUCAAUGACCUUGGUGAACCUAAAAACGAGGAAACAGCGAUCUGUUGCAUGGCUUGAUGGGACUAACAACUGGUCUUUUCCGUCUUCAUUCUUUGAUGAGGAAGUUGAAGAAUCCGCAAAGUUGAGCAGAAAUGUUGUUGAAGGUGCUGCACUAGGUUCCAUUAGGGGUAAUGGUAUGAAGUCUCCAUCUGAUGUGGCGAAACAAGCUAUGCUUGAAGCCAGCCCUCCAGUUAUACAGAGUUCUUGUGCUUUAGAUAUAUUGCGUAAGAAGAUUGUACAUGUUGAAAGAGGUAGCGAAAGCUUUCUGUUUGUUCAGAACCUUUUCCUCUCUGGUAUGGGUUCAUUUGCAGUGCCUAACAACAUUCUUCAUAUUCAUCGGUACUCUCCAAAGGAUAUCCCUGCACAGCGUAGACUUGAAGCUUUUGAGAAACAGUUGAGGUUGACAGGACAGAAGUCUGGCAAUGCAAAUGCAAAAUAUGGAUGGCUUGGAUCCAGAAAGCAAGACAUUGUCAGUGUUAUGGUUAAUGGUUUUGUUAGCACUGGAGAAAACACUCGUGAUACGGCAAUGGCCGAUGGCAUUUAUCUGUCACCUGAAAACCGCGCCUUUACAAGGUUGUCAUUUCAUUUUAUAGUUUCAAUGGUCUUUUUUAAUUACACAUUAGUGGAUGUUGCAUAACAUUUUAUUAUUUUGCAGUGUUGGUCUUUGUGAUGUUGACGAAAAAGGGGUACAGUAUAUGUUGUUGUGCCGAGCCAUAUUGGGCAAAACAGGAGUUAUCAAACCAGGUUCACAGGAGGAGUUUCUAGGCAUAUAUGAUUCUAGCGUUGAUGAUUGCUCAAACCCAAACUAUUAUGUGAUCUGGCCAUCACAUCGAAGCACUAAUAUUUCUCUGGAAUACCUUAUAAGUUUCAGGCUUGCUCCAAAAGUUCAAGGUAUGCUAAGUCGUUUAGUGUUGAAUUUCUUAUCAUGUAUGUUUACAUGAGAUAAAUGAGUGAUCCACUUUGACUGUACUUAUUUACAGAGUAUGUUCGUAGCUUGAAGGGUUUAUGGUUGCGCCCACCUCCAGGUGAAGUGAAAGUGGAUCCUUCUAUUCUUCAACCAGUGAGUCACCUGAACUCUUACCAUGGUACUCCCUUCGUUCGCAAAUAUAAGAUGUUUCGGAUAUUUGAAUAUGGACUACAUACGGACUGAAAUGAAUGAACAAACACACUAAAAUGUGUGUAUAUACAUCCGAUUCAGAAAAAAGUUUGAACAUCUUAUAUUUAUGAACGUAGGGAGUACUUCCCAAUAGGAGCUAACGGGUUACAAGCAUACUGUUUGCUUGGAUGUGUCUUUGAGUAUUAUCAAUUUUUGCCAGAGUAUGUUUGUCAAAUUUUAGGUCGCGAGAUCUUAUGGGUUUCACCUCUAACCUACCCCAACUUGUUUGGGACUAAAGGCUUUGUUGUUGUUGUUGUUGUUGUUGUUUUGUUGUUGUAUGUUUGUCAAAUUUUAACUUUACCUCCAAGUACUGCUCUCUGUGCCUUCUGUGUUAAUAAGCACUUCUAGUGCUGUCAUAAGCUAAUAAUCUCCUGUUGAUCUGACAUCUAUGACUUGUAUGUAGGUACUAUGUCAAACUGAUGAAGGGCCAACGUCUCCAUGGAUUUCAUUCAGAUUGCUCUUUGAGACAAUACAAGACAGUAUAUCGUCUUUAGCGAGGGAAUUGCUCUAUCGCCACUAUGAGGAGUUGAAGGUAUUGCCUUCUUGGCAACUUCUACUAUUUUGUUAUCAAUUGUCACUGAAUUUUGCAGUCAGUUUGCUUCUGUCUAUUCAUUCAAAUGAUUUUAUUCCACAGGAAAAUAAGAUUACUCGUGAUGAAAUGGUCAAGAAAAUGAUGAUAAUAGUUGGAGAGAAAUUACUUCUGGAUUCCUUGACAAAACUUAAAUACAGUGUAAGUUACUCCGGCAGUAUACUUUAUCUAAGUACACAUUUGAUGAUCACCAUACUAAGAGUAAAUUACACAAGACUGGUGUACAGAGCAAUGUUUUGUGAUGCGUCUACUAUAAUUUCUUAAUGCCUAUGAACAAGCAUUUUUGGUUGGUGCCCACGCAUGUCAAACCUAAGUUAGCCAAAGUGUGGCUUGGCACAGAAGUGUGCCAACUGAGAGCCUCAACUGUAGCCACAUUGGCUAAAAUAAGAGUAUGACACUAGGGAUUUGGGCUAAGAAAGUGGAGCAAGCCUUUGGAGGUUUGUGCCUAUUAUAUUCUUAGACUAAGAGAGCAUCGAAUAUUACUUUUGAGAUGUUUUUAAUUAUUCAUAAGGUAAAAGUCCCCAAAUUUAUUGCUGGUGCAGUGGUGCUGUACUCUUGAUGGAAUGUUGGCAUGGUUAGCUUUUUUGUGUAGUACUACUACUUACCUCUGUUUUGGUUGCGAGAUCUUAUGGGUUUCACCUCUAGCCUACCCCAACUUGUUUGGGACUAAAGGCUUUGUUGUUGUUGUUUGUACUACUUACCUCUGUUUCAACAUGAGGUGUAUCAUGACUGUCCAAGUUCGUGCUUUGACCAACAAUUAGUCCAAUAAUAUUUGGUUUAUGAAAAUAGACACCAUUGAGUUCGUAUACAAAAGCAGUUUCUUUGAUUGUGAUUUUGUAGCUGUAACUGUUAACAAAAUACUGUUUUAGAUAUUUUCGGUCAGAUCGUAGGGAGUAUGUGCUGUUCGACAAAGUUGGCAUAGUAUUUACUGUGUUUUACGAUGUUUGUGCAUCUUUUUUUUUUGGAGAUGAUGUUUGUGCAUCUUCUUGGNNNNNNNNNNNNNNNNNNNNNNNNNNNNNNNNNNNNNNNNNNNNNNNNNNNNNNNNNNNNNNNNNNNNNNNNNNNNNNNNNNNNNNNNNNNNNNNNNNNNUAUUACUUUUGAGAUGUUUUUAAUUAUUCAUAAGGUAAAAGUCCCCAAAUUUAUUGCUGGUGCAGUGGUGCUGUACUCUUGAUGGAAUGUUGGCAUGGUUAGCUUUUUUGUGUAGUACUACUACUUACCUCUGUUUUGGUUGCGAGAUCUUAUGGGUUUCACCUCUAGCCUACCCCAACUUGUUUGGGACUAAAGGCUUUGUUGUUGUUGUUGUUUGUACUACUUACCUCUGUUUCAACAUGAGGUGUAUCAUGACUGUCCAAGUUCGUGCUUUGACCAACAAUUAGUCCAAUAAUAUUUGGUUUAUGAAAAUAGACACCAUUGGGUUCGUAUACAAAAGCAGUUUCUUUGAUUGUGAUUUUGUAGCUGUAACUGUUAACAAAAUACUGUUUUAGAUAUUUUCGGUCAGAUCGUAGGGAGUAUGUGCUGUUCGACAAAGUUGGCAUAGUAUUUACUGUGUUUUACGAUGUUUGUGCAUCUUUUUUUUUUUGGAGAUGAUGUUUGUGCAUCUUCUUGGAAAGCUUUGUUUCCAUUGUUGGCCCAAAUGACAAAUCGAUAGUUUAGUCAUUGCAAUAUUUCCACUCUCCCUUUCAUUUGCUGCCAAAGAGGUUGUGUCAUGUCAUUCUCUAUUUUGUGUGUAUGCCAUAUCAGUAAUCUUUCUUAUAUUUGCUGAUUCCUUGUCUGUGGACGUUGUGGGCUUGGACAAAUGUGGCCAACCACGUUUCUGUUCUUAACUUCUUCCUUCCUAUUGCAGCCAUCAUUAUGGUACAACUCUCCUGCAAAAAGUACCAGUUAUUCUGCAGCACUGGGAUCUGUCGGCAUUGGGACAGGUACAGAUGUUGUAUCUGCAACUCCUAGUCACGAUGGUCCAGCACCAAGUGUACUUCGUGAGAAUUGUGAACCUGUGAAUUCCACACGUGGUGGUUCUCCUGCGAAUGCGGUCCGAGGACAGCAUUCGCCCACCCCAAGUAUGUGUUCGGACAGCUCUUCAUCUCGCUGUACUAACAGCCAGUAUCCUUUUGAACCGAUGGUGGCACAUCUAGGUCAUGAUGCCCUUGUGAGGAGUGCUUUGCUCAGUGUUAAUGGCUUGGAUUCUGCUGGACCAAGCAUGGAGUAUAAUGGUCAUGAUACCCUCGCACGAAGCAGUUCUGAAGGCCAUGAUUCUCAUGUAUCAGGACCAACACUUGGAAACUCUGCAUCUGUCAGUAUGGAAGGCCUGCAUUCUGCUGCACCAGGUAGGACACCUGAAGCCCAUGACGCUCUUGCAUCCAAUAGGGCACAUGAAAGUGUUGCUGCAACUCCAGGCGUAUCAUGUCAAGCCUAUACUCCAAGUAGGAUUCCUCAGUUCUCCGCGGCGACAAGUAUGGCGCCUGAGCUCCGUGCACCAAGAAGUAUGGCACCGCAUCUCAGUGCGCCAAGAAGUAUGGCGCCUGAGCUCCGUGCGCCAAGAAGUAUGGCACCGCAUCUCAGUGCGCCAAGAAGUAUGGCGCCUGAGCUCCGUGCGCCAAGAAGUAUGGCACCGCAUCUCCGUGCGCCAAGAAGUAUGGCGCCUGAGCUCUGUGCACCAAGAAGUAUGGCACCACAUCUCUGUGCACCAAGAAGUAUGGCACCUCAUCUCCGUGCGCCAAGAAGUAUGGCACCUGAGCUCUGUGCACCAAGAAGUAUGGCACCGCUUCUCCGUGCGCCAAAAAGCAUGGCGCCUCACCUCCAUGCGCGAAGCAAGGUGGCUAAAGUUCCUGCAAAAAAGACCAUGCCUGAAGCCAACUAUUCCAGUGCAGCAACUGUGGUUCCUGUGAUCUGUAAACCUCCGUCAUCGAGUGUUUUACCAAAAGAGAAGAGUCAUCCUACAUCAAGCAAGGAGUGCAUGACAUCAGGUUUAAUUAAUUCUAAACUGCAAAACGCUCUUAACCUGAGUAUGCUGCUUGAAAAUCUUAUUCUCAUGCGUACCAGGGGAUGCAUUUUGCAUCUUCCCCUCUCUGUUGAUUAAACCUUGUUAACAUUUCUGCGCAGAAAAUGUGGCUCCACAGAAUCUAGCAGCGCAGUGUGGAUCAAACAAGAGCCUCCCCAGGAUAGGCGUUGACGGUAGCAGCACCGCCGCGUAUUCAGCAGAUAGACUCGUCACCCUGUCAGCGGAGGGCGAGAAAUGCCUGUAAAAGAUCAUAUUGUGUCAGUGACCGCGUUCCCGCUGAAACCCUUAUGUGUGGCGUGAGACAACCCGUUCCCCUGUGGAUGCACAUGAACAAUUGGUCUUAGCCUGUUACUCUGGCAGGUCUCCGCUCACUCUUGUACAAAAAGCAGUAACUCGUACAAAUCCCCUCACGCGACGCAAAUUUUGCCUUGUCGACUUGGAUUGUUGAUCUGUGGUGGUCAGUUAGUGUUUCUCACAUGUCUUCCUACCUGGCUUAGGCAGUGACUAACUGACUAUGGGCCAGUUGUUUUGAGCUUCUGCAGCGGAUUCAGAAUCUGAAUAGAAGUGUGUUUCGCCCCUCAGCUUCAGUGGUGUUCUCCGCACUUUGUACAAAGAAAAGUUUCUGAAUGCUGUUCGGCUGCUUGAUGAUGCCGUGUGCAGCAUUCCGGUACGAUGUGAUACUCGUUACUUUCUGAAAUGAAACCCAUAAACUGAAACCUAUUUUAUUUUUUUGUCUCCAAUCUUUCCCUUUGCUUGAAUCGAAUCGACGUGUCUUCAAGCACAUGCUCAGCAUCUCUUAGAGAAGUGUACAAGCCAGGUAGUUUCCCCUGAACCAUUUGAUUGCAAGCCGCCGCGGAGCAUCCGUAAGAAACAGGUAGCCGGAUGGCACAGGGUUCGGUUCGGUUCGGUGCCUUCAUCAACAAAGCCCAUGGACAAGAAUGGCGUUCACAGAUUCGUUUUCCAUUUCCAUGCAUGUGUGUUUGUGCUUUUGAAGGGAAUUUUCCGUGCAUGUUCCAAGUUCACUUUCUUGUCUCGUUCCCUCUUUUUUUAUAAAAACUUGAAGCCUUCUGAAAGGUACUGCUUCGGUGCCCCAAUGUUCAGGAUAUCUUUGUGCAAAAAUCAUCGACGGUAUCACAAAGGAAUUUGAGCAGAAGUGCCCCAGGCGCGGCAUGGCGAUGGAGCAUCGCAGCUAGGUAGCCUACUGUACCACAGCACGAGCGCCAGUGGGGAAACUGGGAAAGGCGGCAGCAGCUCAGACAAAACGACCCAGGACGAUGUUUCGAACCUCUGCCUGUCACGUCGUAGCACCACUACGCCACUACUUGGCAUCUAUAUCUCCGGCGAGACCUGGCAUCAAUCUAUCUAUCACCAACUAGGAUACCAUGUGCGCAUCAGCGCAUGGUGUUCUAUGUGUUACAGCCGUGUUCCACCGAAUAUUCAUUGCCAUCUUGAAACAAUUUCUUCCCUGGUGCUGAUCGAGCACACCAUCUGAUUGCUUUAGCCCUUGGAUCUACUGAACCUGUGUGCCACAGAUAUCUUCUGCUGUUAUUUCGAACUCAUCGAGUUUUCUUGGCGAUGCAGGUUUCGUCUUGUCGGCUCUUGAUGCUUUGUUAAUUACUGCCGCUCGCGUAUCUUUGUAGCUGGAUUAGCCGGUCGUUGUAUAAAAACUUUCAGUGGCAUUCUUCACACUUUGCACCACAUAAAACUGAAAUAUAUUCGGGGUUCAAGCUUCGGUUUGGCUGCUUGAUGAGGCUGGAGCAGGUAGUACAGCAUUCUGGUAUUAUGUAUGUUAUUGGUUUUUUUACAGCAAAUAGAUUUUAUUUCUCAUAUGAUGGUCAUGUCGUUUACAAGUAAACAAGAAACAAAGUCGGGGAUUACAUCAUCCCAAGAACCCGAAGAUCUAGCAUUAAAAGAAUGCUUAGCUCUAGCUCAUCUGCUGCCUGAUUAGCUUCCCGAAAACAGUGUUCAAAUGAUAUUUUGACAAAGUCCAUUGCCAACUGCUUGUAUUCAGAGACCAAUGCAACGCCCCAUGCAAAAAAAAAAAAAAAAACAGAGACCAAUGCAACGCCGCAAACAAGCAAUCAGAUUCAAUCUCCAUAUUGUGCACCCAAAGUUUGCCAACAAGUAUAUUCCAUUUCUAAUUGCCAUGAGCGCGUAAACUGAAACCUCAAGUCAAAUCCUUACUUUCCUGUGAAUGCGUGUUGCUGGAAUCGACCAUGUCUUCAAGUACAUGCUCAGCUACAGAGAGUACGAGAGAUAGGUCAGCUAGUUUGCCUUGUCCACCGCCGAGUCAAUGCUAGAAGGAGGAAAAACCAUAUCUAUAGAAUCAAGAACGAGCAAGGAUGGGUCACUGGGCACGUGGCCAAAAAGAAAGUAAUUCAUGAGCAUUUUUCCAACGUCAUGAAGAAGGGCCCCUUAAGCCGCAAAGACUUCAACUGGGAUGAGCUAAAUUUGGAACCCCUCGACCUCCAUGAUCUUGACUCUGCUAUGACAGAGGGUGAGGUCCUCGAAGCGAUCAAUGAUUUGCCAUGUGACAAGGCCCCGGGUCCGAACGGCUUCACGGGCCUUUUUUUCAAGAGGUGUUGGAUCAUUGUCAAGGCCGACCUCAUGCGGGUCAUAAACCACUUUGACUCCCUACACACGUCAAACCUCCAGUGGCUCAAUUCCGCCAACGUGGUGCUUUUGCCUAAGAAAGAUGGGGCGGAGGGAUCGCCGACUAUAGGCCCAUUAGCCUCCUCCACGCGAUUGCUAAGAUUAUUGCGAAGGUGCUCUCCUUAAGGCUUGGCCCCCACAUGACAAAGCUCGUUUCCAACGCCCAAAGUGCCUUCAUCAAAAUAAGAAGCAUCCACGACAAUUUCAUGUAUGUCCGAAACCUUGCUCGGGGCCUGCACAAGAGCAAGACCCCUUCACUUCUCUUCAAGAUUGACAUCCGCAAGGCCUUCGACACCGUGAAGUGGGAGUACUUGCUCGAUCUUCUCCAACGGCGAGGAUUCCCAAGCAAGUUUAGGGCCUGGAUCGCAGCCCUUCUUAGCUCCUCCUCCUCGAGGAUCAUCCUCAAUGGUAUUGCCGGCGACCCAAUUAAGCAUGGACAUGGCCUUCGGCAAGGGGACCCCGUAUCCCCGCUGCUUUUCGUCAUCGCCAUUGAACCACUCCAAAGAAUUCUUGAGGUGGCUACGAGAAAGGGGCUCCUCCAUAAAAUCAGGGGUAGGGGAGCCAUGAUGAGGACCUCCCUCUAUGCGGACGAUGCGGUCGUCUUCUUGGCUCCGAUCAAAAGGGACGUCGACAACCUUGCAAACAUUUUGAGGGGCUUCGGUGAGGUCACGGGACUGUGCACUAACUUCAACAAGAGCUCUUUUGUGCCCAUCCAAUGCAACCACCUCGAUUUGGGACGUCUGACCCAGAGGUUGCCAGCUGCUAGGACUUCCUUCACUCUACGAUACUUGGGGCUCCCUCUCUCAGUGUGGCAACUAAAGUUGGUGGAUCUUCAGUUUCUAGUGGACAAGGCCGCAAACAAGCUAACAACUUAUGAGGGCAAAAACAUCACCACCAUCGGACGAACGACUCUUGUCAAGUCCGUGAUCACCUCCCAAGUAGUUUACCCCGCCACACCGCUAGUUAUUCCGCCAACCAUCCUGCUCAAAGUCAACAAAUUUGAGAGAGCUUUCCUUUGGUCCGGUUCGGACAAGACAAUGGGAGCAAAAUGCAAGGUGAAUUGGGAGAUUGUUUGCCGACCACUUCAGUAUGGGGGACUUGGAGUUCUCAACACUAACAAGUUUACACGUGCCCUCCGGUUGCAAUGGCCAUGGUAUGAAUGGAAGGAGCCCACCAAGAUGUGGGUGGGGAUGGGAAACCCAUGCGAUGAGGAGGACCUAAAUUUUUUCUAUGCUUCCACUACUAUCAUCAUUGGCAACGGUGCGAAGACCCCUUUUUGGGACUCACCGUGGCUUCAUGGGCGCAAGCCAAAAGACAUUGCCCCACUCAUUUACAAAGCGUCAAAGAGAAAGAAUUGGAAGGUUCGGGAGGCCCUCUCUCGCAAUGCAUGGAUACUCAAGAUCAAACCGCCCACCAUCAUCUCCGCGGAGCACAUCACGCAGUUCUUCACCCUAUGGGCGCUUUUGCAUGAGGUCCAACUCGAUGAUCUCACCGAGGAUGACAUUGUGUGGAAGCAUACGACUAGUGGGACCUACUCGGCGGCAUCCGCAUACAAGGCGCAAUUCUUAGGGAUGGUUCUUACACCCUUGGACAAAAUGGUUUGGAAGGCUUGGGCUCCCCCAAAAGUCAAGUUCUUCACUUGGUUAGCGCUACAAGACAGAAUUUGGACUGCCGAUCAUUUGGCAAAACGUGGGUGGCCCAACUGUGAUCUCUGCCCUCUCUGCAUGAGAGUGCGGGAAUGUGGGCCUCACCUUUUCUACAAAUGCCGCUACACACGGAGGCUCUGGUCUUUGAUCAUUGACAAAUUCCACAUUCUCGGUCUUGACACCAACGGUUGGCCCCUGUUUGAUUCGGUUGAGGCUUGGUGGGCAAGUACCUGUGACACCGCCACGCCAAACCGUCAAGCCAAGGCGUCCCUCACCAUGCUUGUUUCGUGGACUGUCUGGAACGAGCGAAACGCAAGGGUCUUCAAGCACAGGAGCGCUUGUCCAACUAUAUUGCUUGCCUCUAUAGAGACCGAGGCCAACCUUUGGGUCAUAGCCGGUGCCAAAAAAUUAGGGUCCAUUAUUUUGCGAGAGUGAUCUCAUGACGUGUAUUGAGUGACUUGUAAUAAACUCUAUUCUCUCUUAUUUAAUGGAUGAGGCAAAGCUUUUUUGCCUCCGUUUCAAAAAAAAAAUGAUUGCAACUUGCAAGCUGCCGUGAUGAGGCUGGAGCAGGUAGUACAUCAUUCUGAUAUUAUUUAAUAGGAAAAAAGUUCAUUUUAAACCCUAAACUCGUAGAGGUUCGACGAAAUGAACCCAAGUCAAAAUCCCGGUUAAUUGCACCUUGAACUAUGCAAUCCCGGUCUAAAUUAAAACCCUGGCAAGUGUCAACCGGGAUUUGUCUGGCUGGUGGCCCAAGGAGCGCCAAUAUUUACCAGGGCUCAGCCCUUUUUUUUUUUUGCUCAAAAAAAAAUGUACGCACAGGCGGAACUCGCGCGAGCUUGUAAUGCUAACAAAAUACGAGCUUGACAAGUUACGAACCAACACCAGAUUAAGUAGUACUACCAGUUGCGGUUGUAUCAGAUGCAAAAAAUACGGGCUUACUGUUUUGCACAAAAGAAAAAGUACACAAAGGCGGAACUCGUGCUUGGCCAAACAAAUACGGGCUUACUGUUUUUUUGCGGGUGAGCAAACUUGUUUUUCUAGAAGCACAAAACAAUAAGAAUCAACACCAGAUUCGAAUAUUUUUUAAAUAAAAAAGAUUCGGAUAUUUUUUGAAAUUUCGAACGCAAAACAUUUUUAAAAAACUUGAGAGUUUUAUGAAAAGCAACCACUUCUCAAAUUCGUGAACAAAUUUACCAUAAUAAAUUUUGAAAAUUCAAAUAAACUUUUGUGACAUGCACAUUUUUUAAAACUCCCAAACAAAAUUUGAAAACAUGAACGUUUUUGAAAAAUUGCAAAUAAUUUUGACCGGGAACAACUUUUAAACUCCUGAUUUUUAUGAAAACACAAACAUUUUUAAAAUUAGAGCACACGACAUUUUUAAAAUUGAAUAUUUUUAAGCGGAACCAUUUUUUAAAUAUCCCAAACAUUUCUCUAAAAAGUUAAGAAAAAUGGAACAAAAACAUUCUGAACAAGUUUUUUUAACCAUGAAUAUUUUUUAAAACAUAGGAAUAUAUCCUCUGAACAAAUUUUGAAUACGCAUUGAACAUUAUGUAAUAUACGUUGAACAAUUUUUGAAUACACAUUGAACAUUUGUGUAAUAUACACUUAACAAAUUUCAAAAACACUGUGAUUAUAUAUUCAUUGAACAAUUUCUAAUAAAUGCUGAACAGUUUUGUAAUGGAUGAUGAACUUUUGUAAAGAACCAUGAACAUUUCCUUAAUAUACCGAUGAACAUUUUUGUAACAUGCAAUGAACUUUGUAUAUUAUGAUAAAAAUGAAACAAUAGAAAUAAAGAAUAUAAAAGUAUAGGAAAAGAAAUAUAAACAGAAACAGAAAAAAAAGAAAGGGAAAAAGAGAAAGGAAAAGAAAAGAAACAAAAAACAGAAGAAACAGAGAGGCAGCAGCCAAACAAGUCUGGGCCGGCCCAAACAGGGCUGUUGCGAUGCGAAGCUUCGGCGAAGCCACGCCGUCUUGACGCACACGAGCGUCACACAGGGACCCCACAAAAAAAACGAGCGUCACACAGGGAUUGCCGUUGCAUCGAUCAAACAACACCAGCGCCACACCGUUAGCUUAUCUUUUCUUUUUUAACCAAAAAAAUAAAGCGGGCCGGCCCAACAGGGUGCAAGGUUAGCGCCUCUGCGAAAUGCCACCAAUCCCGGCCAUCUAAACGACCCGAAGGUUCGAUUUAGACCGGGAUUGCAUAGUUCAGAGUGCAAUCGACCGGGAUUUUGACUUGAGGGUUCAUUUCGCCGAACCUCUACGAGUUCAGGGUUUAAAAUGAACUUUUUCCUAUUUAGUACAGUAUGUUACUGGUUACUUCUUCAAGUGAAACUCGUAAAGUGAAACCUCAAGUCAAAUCCUUACUUUUCUAUCCCGCAAAAAAAUUUUUACUUUCCUGUGAAGGCGUGUUUGCUGGAAUCGACCGUGUCUUCAAGUACAUAACAUGCUCAGCUACAGAGAGUACGAGAUAGGUCAGCUGAUUUGCCUUAUACUGUCUGUAUAUAUGAUUGCAACUUGCAAGCCGCCGGCUGCUAGUGAUUUCUUUCUUUUGCAGGGUAUCUUAUGUGAGGAAACAGCUGGGAUUUAUCUGGGCCGGAUGGAAAGAAUCAGGUUCGAGUCGAUGGCCACUUGGACGACGAAGUCCAUUGACCAGAGUGGCGUUCAUUUUAGGUUCGUCUUCCAUUUUACGCCUAUUCGACCGUUCUAAUAAAUUCCGAUUUCGCUCUUUCUUGUUUUCCUUCUAUAAAAGGACUCGCCAUCUUGGACGAUAUCACAAAUGAACUGAGCAGGUCAGAACUCACAAGUGAGUCGGAGAGUCUAGCGAAUAGAGAAACAAAAGAAAAGAAGUGGCAACCGGCGGAUGAGUGGUCCCACAUGAUAGUAGAAUUUCAGAAUUGCAUUUUAGUAGAUUUGGCUUUUAGAAAGAAGAACAGUGUUGCUAGGUUGUUAAUUAACUGCAACAUCUAGCCACAUAAGAGGUACCUAAGUGCACAGAAGCACCGAUAAAAACUAGCACGGCAUCAUAAAAGGUCUAGCCAAGUCUAAGCUGGUUGGGUUCAAGACCUAAUUAACACAAAUAUCAUUAAAAAAAAGAUACGUCAUCCUGUUCACAAAAAAGAUACAUGACAUUCUGUUGGCAAAAAAACAAAUACACAGUUGUGAAUUAGCACUACACUAUCAAGAUUUCUAGUGCCCAUCAGCGAAUGAAUGUGAGAACAAAGGGACAUAUGAAAGAUAAGGACUCUUGCAGUCAUAUCCAAGAUCACCUAUAGAAUGCAGCUCCCUAGAAUCCAUGUCGUAUGACAUCAUUUUCGUAAAUGAUAUGGGUCUCGCGAUUCUUCUCGUAAAUAGUAUGAAUAUAACCUUGUAUUCUGGGUGGAUGAUAAUAUCGUAGUCCUUCCCAUAAGAUGAUUCCUCUGCUCCAAACAAUUGCAAAUGGCUGACAUUAUGCUUCAAGGUCCAAUUUUCAGUACUAGAAUCUUCAAGAGCCCACAUUGACAGUUCAGAAUCACUAGAAAUUACAAAAUACAAUUGUCCCUGUGAUACAUAAACCUCACGAGCAUAACAAGAAUCAUGUGACUUAGGAAUAUGGAUGACCCGACAACUUCCCUCCAUGUCGACGGCUACAACCUUAUCUUCAUAGGAGGUUAAAUAUAACACCCCUCUGAAAAAUGUGCUGCAUGAAUACCAGUUUAUAUCAAUUGGACAUUCCCAAUCGCUCCGAUGUGUCCAGACUCCAGCUUCGGAAGAGUAGAUCCCCAAUGGUCUGACGUGUGUAUCAUCAUCCGCCGGUGCAAACUCAAGUACAUGGAAGUGAGAGGAGACGGCCGGGUCGAACCCCAGGCGAGCGUCACACACCUCGCGGGACCUGUCGGUGCCAGGCACGGCAACCCAUUCCUCAGUGGCCGGAUUGCACACCACGUAAUCCGUUGCCCUCCAAUAAUCAGUCUUCUGUCGUCGGCAGAGCAGGAGGCCAUUGCAGCAGUCCAGCAUGUCAAUGUCAACGUCACAGAGUCUGUGUUUGGGCAGGAACGAGAAGGAGGGGUCGAUGUCAGGGCACCAGCUCCCUGUUAGGCUUUGGUAAUGACGGUCCAUGGCUCGGGCACACAGAUUGCCGGUUUUGUAGAAGAAGCCGGCGAGGGUCGACCGGGGCAGUUUCUUGCGGUGGUCGGGGUGGGAGACGACGUCGCGCCAUCGCCUGCAGACGCACUUGCAGCAACGGGUGGCCUUGAAGGGCACGCGCGAGAUGAUCUCGACGAGGAGGUCGUCGGAGAGCCCGGAGAACGGGCUCCUCUCCGUGUCCCUCUUCUUCUUCUUCCUCUUCUUGGAGAUCCGGCCGGGCUUCCAUCGCCGGCGAAACUACAGAUCGACCGGUACGGAGGAGGGGAGACUCAUCCAUGGAUGCUACCAGUACCACGCGAACUGCGAACGGCCAGCUAGGGUUUGUGUGCGCGGCGGCGAAGCGGGCGGGGGUGGAGCUGGAAAGACGAGGGUGCAGGUUUCUGGGAUAUAUGUGGGCCGUACGAGUCAGAGUCGUCUCUAGCUGGCUUCGUUUUACUUUGUUCCAAAAUUCCGUAAUCUACAGCUCUACACCAUGUUAGCAACCCGUGGGGACUCAGGACACUUCUAUUUUCUACCUACUCCUCAUCUUUUGUAUACAAGACUACUAGUCCCUUCGUUUCAAAAUAAGUGUCAUGAUUUUAGUUUAAAUUUAAACUAAAAUAACAACACUUAUUUUGAAACCGAGUAAGUAGAAGACUGAAGCAACAAACCAACAGAAUAUAUUUAAUGCUAACGAAUUGAUCAAAUCGGGGCAAAGAUAACAGCAGUACUCCUGGCAAUCAGGCUGCAAGUGGAAGUGGGUUUAAGUGGGAUUAACCAUCCCAUCCCACUUGAACUGUUUUAGUGGGCUCCCACUGGAUAGGGAGAAAGCUAAGUGGACUCGCCCUAUUAGCCCAGUGGAACCCCACCUUAACCCAUCAGCAUCCAUCCCCGAUAGGUUCUCGUUGGACAGAGGAUUUUGAAGUAGUAUAGCCAGCACAGUUGUCGAGCGGAAGGAGGAUGUCUCCGUACGCCGUGCUUGUCGCGGCCGUCGUCGUCCUUGUCGCCUUCUGCUACGUGGACAAGAAAGCUCGAAGCAAGAACAACAAGCUCCCGCCGUAGCCGCCGUGUAUGCCGCUGCUGGUGUUGGAUAAACUCAUUGCUGAUUCCUUGUUCAGAAUAAUGUGGUGCAUGGCCGAUGUGACAUCUGCAUGCACGUAGCUAGUAUACCAGGAGUGCCAUGGCACGUCGAGGUUGUUUAUUUUCUAUUUUCCUUGUUUAGUCCUCCGGUUAGCAAGGCACACGAAAUGUAGUCGUGGGAUGGCACGGCAUCAUGCAAAUUGUGGGGCAGUCUGACCGGAGAUUAGUUAGCUAAGAUCCAUUGUAAUCGAGCUACUCAUUCCAAGGAAUAACAGAAAGACUCGCGUAGGUACAGGCGAGGCAAAAAACUACUGUCUGCUAUUCGUUCUCGCUCGUUCUUCUCACUCUUCGGCGAUCUAAUCGCCACUCCGGCAACUACAUUUGGCAUCAGAGCCGUGGUGUUCGAUCCACUCUCCGGUGGCCGGCGGUGUCCGAUCCGCGGCGUACCAUGUCGGAUAGCGAAGAGGAGAAGAAGAACAAGAGCGGGGCCAAGUCGUCGGCGUCCAAGGCGCCGCUCGCGCGCCUCACCGGCAGCGGCAGCGGCGAGCUCCGUGUGGUGGAGCGUGUCGUACGCGAGGAGUCAGGGAAGUCCAUGAUGCUCACGCGCACAAACUACAUGGAAUGGGCGCUCGUGAUGCAGGUCAAGCUGCAGGUUGCCCGCGUCUGGUCCGCGAUGACCGAGGACGCCGCCGACGAGUGCGACGACCGGCGCGCGCUACAGAUCAUCCUCACCCGCGUUCCGCCGGAGCUAAUGCGGGUGCUGGCCGCGAAGGACUCGGCGAAGAAGGCGUGGGAGACCAUCAAGACGCUCCGCAUGGGGAGCGAGCGGGCUCGCGAGGCCAAGGCGCAGGUGCGCCGCCGCGAGUUCGAGGAUCUGCGCUUCAAAGACGGCGAGUCCGUCGAGGACUUCGGGCUGUGACUCGCCGGCCUCGUCUCCGACCUGGAGCUGUAUGGCGAUCCCGUGACAGAGCACAAGGCGGUCCAGAAGUUCCUCCGCGUGGUGCCGCGGAAAUAUCGUCAGAUGGCGAUGGCAAUCGAGAGCCUCGUCGAUCUGAAGACGAUGACCAUCGAGGAGCUCGUCGGGCGUUUCUUGGCAUGUGAAGAUCAUUACGAUCUCGACGAUGCGGGGCAGUCCGGCGGCCGCCUGCUCUUCACACGUGAGGAGUGGCUCGCCCACGAGCGACAGCUAGGUGGGGGCGGGUCAUCGUCCGGUGGCGGCGGCGGCAAGAACAAGUCGCCGGGCAAGCCCAAACCUCACGGCGGCGGCGGUGGCAGACCUGCACCGGGCAGCGGCGGCACGGGCGCAUCCGGUGGCUCGGGCGGCAAGAAAAAAGGCAAAUUCCACUACUACAAUAAGCCAGGUCAUUGGAAGAAAGAGUGCCGCACCCGAAUCAAGGACGAGGAUGAGAAAGGCAAGCAGGGCCAAGCACAUCUUGUCCGCGAUGGCGACGAGCACCAUGAGGGACUUAUGAUGGCCGCGGUCACCACUUGUGUCGCCACCAGCAUCGUGGCGCCCCAACAAGUUCAUCUCAAUGAAGAGAAGGUACAUCCAGAGCUCUCACCGCCGGGGCUGUGGUACUUUGAUACGGGAGCUACAAGCCACAUGACUGGUGACAGGGGCAUGUUUAGUACUCUUGAUGAAUCAGUGCAAGGGACUGUAAAGUUCGGAGAUGGAUCACACGUUGCAAUCCGAGGAAGAGGUUCAGUGAUCUUUAGAGGACAGAGCGGCAACCAACGCGCACUGUCAGAGGUUUAUUUUAUCCCAAGUCUUAGCAGCAAUAUAAUUUCAGUUGGCCAGCUGGAUGAAGGGGGGGGGUGCAGAAUUCAGAUUCAUGAUGGACUGAUGACGAUUCAUGACACCGGCGGGCGCAUGAUGGCUCACAUCCGGCGUUCGAUCAGUCGUUUGUACACUGCCGUGCUCACCAUUGACGCACCGGCGUGCCUGCUGACGAAGAACGACGACGAGACCUGGCGUUGGCAUGCUAGGAUGGGUCAUCUACACUUCAGGGCACUACGUGCCAUGUCCUCCAAAAGCAUGGUAAGUGGGAUGCCGCUGAUCGACCGCGUCGACGAGUACUGCGACGGAUGCGCUCUCGGCAAGCAGCACCGUGCACCAUUCCCGCAGGCAGCAGCGUACAGGGCCGAACGAGGCUUGGAGCUUGUUCACACUGACUUGUGUGGUCCGAUCAGUCCACCCACUCUUGGAGGUAACAAGUAUUUUCUGCUUGUAGUUGAUGACUUCAGUCGAUAUAUGUGGUUGGCUGUACUGAAGACAAAGGACGAGGCAUUCAGUUGUUUCAAGAGGAUUCAGGCUGCUGCUGAAACUGAAGGAAGAUGCAGUUUGCGUGCGUUCCGGUCUGACCGGGGUGGCGAGUUUAAUUCUGGAGAGUUCAUGGAGUACUGCGACAAGCUCGGCGUCAAGCACUACACGACUGCACCGUAUUCACCGCAACAAAAUGGUGUCGUUGAACGACGGAAUCAGACCGUCGUCGAAAUGGCACGAUGCUUACUGAAGAGCAUGGGCAUGCCAGCAGUUUUCUGGGGUGAAGCCGUGAGAACAGCAGUCUACAUCCUUAAUCGAUCUCCGACGCGCAGCCUCGACGGUGUCACGCCCUACGAGGCGUGGCACGGCCGUAAGCCCAACAUGCAGCAUCUGCGCACUUUUGGUUGCACGGUUCACGUGAAGAAGCUGGGUCCGGGAGUGACGAAGCUCUCCGAUCGAUCGACGCCAAUGGUUUUCAUCGGAUAUGAAGAAGGGGCUAAGUGCUACCGGGUGUACAAUCCAGUGACUAAGAAACUUCAGGUAACUCGUGAUGUUUUAUUUGAAGAAAGCAGGCCAUGGAACUGGGAUGAGCCGGGCGCGUCCGCAGUGGCGUCCGCAGCACCAACAUUCACGGUGGUUUAUACCACCGGCCCCGGUGAGCACGAGCUGGACUCCGGCAGCGCCUCGAGUCCGCAGGCGAGCGGUAGCGCGGUGUCACCCUCUACACCAACUCUUGGGUCACCGCGGUCACCUGUGUCACCGAGCCCUGGGAGUCCGCGGUCACCUACGCCGCCAGCUCCGGCCACAACCGAGGGCGUGUCUGCUACGCCUACGCCGGCCCGCAGCAUGGGCUGGGCCACGCCACCAACACACGACGACGCACGGGCUGUCGACUCCGGGCCCAUUCGCUAUCGGCGUCUCGAGUACAUACUCGACGGGACCGAGGAUGCCACUGUUCGGGAGUUUGACGAGCGUUGUCUUCUCAGUGCCGAGGAGCCGUGCAAUGCUGACGCAGCUCUUGGCGACACGUCUUGGAAGGCCGCCAUGGAUGAAGAAAUGCGUUGCAUCAAUGAGAACCAGACGUGGAGGCUAAGCACACUUCCGGCUGGGCACAAAGCCAUUGGUUUGAAAUGGGUGUUUAAGGUGAAACGUGAUCCAGCAGGAAACAUUGUUAAGCACAAAGCACGCCUGGUUUCCAAGGGCUAUGCUCAGCGAGAGGGGGUGGAUUUUGAUGAGGUUUUUGCACCAGUUGCCAGGAUGGAAACAGUGCGUGUGUUGCUAGCUCUCGCGGCACAUUCCGGCUGGAAAGUUCAUCACAUGGACGUCAAGUCCGCGUUCCUAAAUGGCGAGCUUGGCGAAGAGGUUUAUGUUGCCCAGCCACCUGGGUACUUGGCCGUCGGCAAGGAGGACCGAGUGCUCAAGCUGCACAAGGCGCUGUAUGGCCUUCAUCAGGCCCCCCGGGCAUGGUAUGCGAAGCUGGACCGGUCUCUGACAGAGUUGGGCUUCACACGUAGCCCGUUGGAGCAUGCAGUGUAUAGGCGUGGUGAUGCAACCUCAUUCCUUUUGGUUGGAGUCUAUGUAGAUGACCUCAUCAUCACCGGGACGGACGUUUCUGCCAUUGUGAAGUUCAAGCAACAAAUGCAGCAGUUGUUUAAGAUGAGCGACCUCGGACUCCUAAGCUACUAUCUAGGGAUCGAGGUGUCGCAAUCAGAAGGCCAAAUCACAUUGCAUCAGGGAAGCUAUGCCGCCAAGAUUCUGGAGGCUGCUGGCAUGAGUGAGUGUAAUGCUUGUGCUACACCUAUGGAGAACCGUCUGAAAUUGAAAAAAGAAGAUGGUGGUGAACCGGUCGAUGCCACUUUGUACCGGAGUGUGAUUGGGAGCCUACAUUAUCUUGUGAACGCUAGACCCGACAUCGCAUUCGCUAUUGGGAUCACCAGCCGGUUCAGGGAAAAGCCUAGCUCACACCAUUGGGUGGCUGUCAAGCAAAUUCUCAGAUACAUAAAGGGAACAAUGGACUAUGAGUGCUUUUAUAAGGCUAGCCAUGGAGAAGCAACACUUGUUGGUUACAGUGACAGCGACCAUGGAAGUGACAUUGGGGAUCACAAGAGUACUUCUGGGCAGAUCUUCUUCCUCGGUGAGAAUCCAGUGACUUGGUGCUCGCAAAAGCAGAAGAUCGUGGCUCUCUCUUCUUAUGAAGCCGAGUACGUCGCAGGAGCAGCAGCAGCAUGCCAAGGGGUGUGGCUGUCACGGCUUAUAGGAGAUAUGCUAGGCAAGCCAGCGGCCAAGUUCAAACUACUGAUUGACAAUCAAGCCGCCAUUGCACUGAGCAAGAAUCCUGUUCAUCACGACCGGAGCAAGCAUAUUGACAUCAAGUUCCAUUUCAUACGGGACUAUGUAGACACCAGCAAAGUGGAGGUUAGUCAUGUCCGUACACAGGAGCAACUCGCCGACGUGCUGACAAAGGCGUUGGCGCGGGUGAUCUUCGUCGAGAUGCGGCAGAAGAUCCGGAUGAUCAAGGUGGAGCUGGAGCGCUGAGUCUAUGGGGGUGAAAUGUUGGAUAAACUCAUCGCUGAUUCCUUGUUCAGAAUAAUGUGGUGCAUGGCUGAUGUGACAUCUGCAUGCACGUAGCUAGUAUACCAGGAGUGCCAUGGCACGUCGAGGUUGUUUAUUUUCUAUUUUCCUUGUUUAGUCCUCCGGUUAGCAAGGCACACGAAAUGUAGUCGUGGGAUGGCACGGCAUCACGCAAAUUGUGGGGCAGUCUGACCGGAGGUUAGUUAGCUAAGAUCCAUUGUAAUCGAGCUACUCAUUUAAAGGAAUAACAGAAAGACUCGCGUAGGUUCAGGCGAGGCAAAAAACUACCGUCUGCUGUUCGUUCUCGCUCGUUCUUCUCACUCUCCGGCGAUCUAAUCGCCACUCCGGCAACUACAGCUGGGCCACCUCCACCUCCUCCUCGGCCGCCUCGCGCACCGCUCCCUGCGCGACCUGCACGCUUGAUACGGCAGCGACGGCGGCUUCCUGCUCCUGCGGCUCGGGCGCAGGCGGACGCUGGUGGUGUCCACGGUGACCGCUGCGACGGACCUGUACAAGAACCACAACCUCGCCUUUGCAUGCUGGUGGUGUCCACGGUGCUCAGUGCGCCCGUGCACAAGCUCUCCUACGGCUAGAUCAACGUCUCCUUCGUUCGGUGAGGCCGUGGAGCUAAGGGUGCUCCUGUACGGCUACGGCAACGCGGUUGUCACCUGCGCGGCCACCGGCGCCGCGGAGGCCAUGGCUGAGAGGAUGAAGUAGUUGAUGGGUCAUGGGGAACGCUGCGGUGCUCAUGUCGGGGCUCCAUGCGGAGGACAUGCUUCCUGACGUGGCAGCGAAACUUUCCCACUUAAUCCCAGUUAUCCCGUCAAAAUAUUAGUGGGCUGUCCACUACUUCCGAGCAAACAACGGUGGGAUGAAGUGGGUUUGUGGUGGGACACCCACCUAUAGUCCCACCUGCAGCCUGACCUGGCAACUUUGUCAUCCGGAUCCUUUGCCAAUUACUCUCUGUCUCAUUCCCCAUAAAAAACAUUCUGUUUGAUACUGAUUCAUAUGUGCAUACAAAGUGUUGACGUUCUCAAAUCUGAACUCCCUCCGGUUCUUUCUCUUUGCUAAAGAGACCCCAUGGAUAGAUAUAACUAGACAGAUACAAUGAAAAGUCUAAAGUCGAGCAAACAACAAGAAGUUAUUACGUUAAUAAAUCUUCAAAUCAUGUAUACUUUCACAUGCAACUUCAAUAUAAUGCUAUCAUUUCAACUGCGGCCAGACUAAUCCGUCGUCUCAGAGGAAUCUCUACGGUGCCAGGUGGGACGCACCCCCUACACUUUCAUUUUUGUCUCAUAUGUAUGGUUGUUUUGUUCCCUGAUUUCAGUCGUGUGCAUGCUCAUUAGUAUAUGCUAGUAGCUUAGAUCCAUAAUUUGCUUGUACAAAAAUGGAUAGUGCUUUAUCGCAAAGACAUAUAGGAACGAGACUUGUUCUUUCAAAUCAAAUGCUUUCAAACUUGAGACAUCAAUUUCAAAGGGAAGUUUGACCCAUUUACACAUGGACUAUCUGUUCAAUUACAAUUUACAUAGAAUUCACCUUAAGUAUUAUGUUGGCUAGCUCGUUUCCAUCCAUCCAUAUGCUACUCUCUUCAGACAAAUUGUGCAGGCACCCUGACAAUUUGAAGAGAGGUUUAUAUAUCAAAACAAUGAAGGGAAUUUUGAUGUAUGCCUGUUGAUGGAUACAUGCACGUACCGCGAACAGUGGUAGCUAUAAAGGACGGUGGUGAUGUAUCGUGUAUCCAGUUCGCCAUUGAUCUGGCUUGGAGAUGCCCUAAAGUUACUGAAUGCUUCGGAGUUCGGUAUGGCUGGUCGAUGAGGGCGGGUGCAGCAUUGUGGCGGUAUUAUGUGUUGGUUGCUUUCUGAAGUGAAAUCCAUAAACUGAAACCACAAGUCACAGCUUUGCUUCAUUCUUUUUUCUCUAAAAUUUUUUCGGUGUGGGCAUGCCCUUGAAUCGAAUCGAUGGUGUCUUGAAGCACAUGCUGAGCAUCUAUCAGAAAAAGUGUACAAGCCAGGUAGUUUCCCUUGAACUUCAGCGGUGACUGCAAGCCGCCGCCUGCUGCUGGUGACUGCUUUUGCACCGCAUCUGUAAGAAACAGGUUUAUUCAUCUGAGCCGCAUGGCAUAUGUUUCGGUUCGAUGCCUUGAUCCACGAAGCCCUUCCACGGACUAGAAUGACGUUCACAGAUUCGUUUUCCAUUUCCAUGCUUUGAGACAAACUGUAGACGAAUAGUUUUGCAAUACAAUAAUCGUUGUAUUGAUGGGGUGCCGAUGCACGUAUAUAUAAAUACAGGUGUGACGCCCGGAUAAUUAAGCUACAGUAAUUCCCUGCUAAUGAUGCCGCGUCACCACGAUUACUGUUGUUAAUCUCGCGUUAGUUCAAAACCGAUUCAAAUUCAAAUUUAAAUUAAAAGCAAACAAUAAUAGUUUUCAAUUAAUAAAACUAAAAUGUUCGAAGUGAACCAAAUAUUGCAUAGGUAAUUUUGAUGAAGAAACCACACUUUUAUAAAAGUGUAAAAUACUCUAAAAUGUUUUAAAAGGUAACAAAAACAAUUAGUUGAAUGCCAUUUGCAAUAAAUAAAAUAUUAAACUAUUUUAUUUAGCUGUCCAAAUUAUGUGGCGGUGUUGUAAUUUUAAAUACUAAUUUAGGUGUUGAAGUUAUAUUUUACAAAAAACUAAAAUAAAUUAAUUAUUAAAAGAAACAAAAAAGAAAUAAAUAAACAAAAGAUAAAAUAAAACAAAACCCCCUGGCCAACUGGGCCUUGGCCCAACCGGCCCAGCCCACCCCGCUAGCCUAUAUGGCCUCCCGCGAGCCACCAGGAACCCUAACCCUAUCCACUCGCCCCNNNNNNNNNNNNNNNNNNNNNNNNNNNNNNNNNNNNNNNNNNNNNNNNNNNNNNNNNNNNNNNNNNNNNNNNNNNNNNNNNNNNNNNNNNNNNNNNNNNNNNNNNNNNNNNNNNNNNNNNNNNNNNNNNNNNNNNNNNNNNNNNNNNNNNNNNNNNNNNNNNNNNNNNNNNNNNNNNNNNNNNNNNNNNNNNNNNNNNNNNNNNNNNNNCCUCACCCCCGAUCCAGAUCGGAUCGGGGCACCGACGACUCGCCGCCGCGCCGUCGACCACCACCGCCGUCGUCGCCCGUGGCCCACGCCGGAGCCGUCCUCACCGCAGCCGCUCGCCUCCCCGUCGCCCUGUCAUCCCCGUCCUCCCCGAACGGCCUCCACGUGCCUGACGCCGCCGUCCUCUUCGUCGUCGACCUCGUCUCCGUCGUCGUCCCCGUCUUUCUCCUCGACACCCGCUGCCAUUGCCCUACGACCACCGGUGAGGCCCUCGGCCUCCUCUUCCCCUCUCCACUGCCACGCCCCCGCGACGAACGCGCCGCGCGCCCGCCUUCCCUGGCCACGCCACGCCGCACGGCAUGCGCCGCUUGCCUCGCUCCCGCACCUGCUGCUGCUGCUCCGCAUCACCGCGCCCGACCACCACCCCGCAUCCCGCCUCGCACGCACACGCACCGCCCUACCUCGCUCGUUGGUGCCAUCCGGCGCCCAAGCACGCGCUCGCGUAGCCUCGCGCGCGCCCGUCCGUCGCCUCUCCGGCGCUGCUGCCGCCCGCACAUGGUUGCGCCAUGCCUAUGUCCCCGCAUCGCCACCGNNNNNNNNNNNNNNNNNNNNNNNNNNNNNNNNNNNNNNNNNNNNNNNNNNNNNNNNNNNNNNNNNNNNNNNNNNNNNNNNNNNNNNNNNNNNNNNNNNNNNNNNNNNNNNNNNNNNNNNNNNNNNNNNNNNNNNNNNNNNNNNNNNNNNNNNNNNNNNNNNNNNNNNNNNNNNNNNNNNNNNNNNNNNNNNNNNNNNNNNNNNNNNNNNNNNNNNNNNNNNNNNNNNNNNNNNNNNNNNNNNNNNNNNNNNNNNNNNNNNNNNNNNNNNNNNNNNNNNNNNNNNNNNNNNNNNNNNNNNNNNNNNNNNNNNNNNNNNNNNNNNNNNNNNNNNNNNNNNNNNNNNNNNNNNNNNNNNNNNNNNNNNNNNNNNNNNNNNNNNNNNNNNNNNNNNNNNNNNNNNNNNNNNNNNNNNNNNNNNNNNNNNNNNNNNNNNNNNNNNNNNNNNNNNNNNNNNNNNNNNNNNNNNNNNNNNNNNNNNNNNNNNNNNNNNNNNNNNNNNNNNNNNNNNNNNNNNNNNNNNNNNNNNNNNNNNNNNNNNNNNNNNNNNNNNNNNNNNNNNNNNNNNNNNNNNNNNNNNNNNNNNNNNNNNNNNNNNNNNNNNNNNNNNAUUCACCGCGGUGCUGCGCUCGUCGCGCCCCGCAUCGUCGCUCCGUCCACCGCGCUCCCCUGCUCGUCGUCGUGCUGCUCCCGCUGCCGCCCGCCGCCGCGCUCGCCCAUCUCUGCUCACCGCGCCGUGCGCCUGCACGCGCGCGCUUCCCGCACCGAGUGCCGCCCACGCGUGCCCAGGGCACGCCCCUGUCCUGGUUGGUCGCCCUCCUCCGCUCGCAUGCCAGCGCCCGCUUGGCCCUCGUACGGGUCGGGCGCCCACAGCCCCCCAGCACCCGUACCUGCCCCGAUAGGCCUCUAUGCCACUGGACAACGGGCCCCACGCCCAGGACGAAUUUAGAAAAAAAGGAAGUAAAGUAAAAGAAAAUAAAAAAUAAAAAAAGUAAUAAUGUAAUUAAUUAAUUAUUUAAUUAAUUAACUUAAUUAAUCUGUUAACUAAACUAAUUAACUUGGUUAGUUAGUUAACAAUCAAUGACAGUGGGACCCAUACGUAAGUUUGACUAAGUCAACAGGACUGUUGACUGCUGACUGGACCUGCUGACUGUGCAGUUGACCCAGUCAACGGGCCCCAUCUGUCAGUUUGACCGGUCAACGGUCACAGUUGGCCGCUGACGUCAUGCUGAUGCAGUAAACCUAUUUUGAUUUAAAUUAAAUUUGUUAAUUCCUGAAAAUGAUUAAAUCCUUUUUAAAACAAUAUAAAAUAAACCGUAGCCUGGAUGAAAGAACUUUGUACAUGAAAGUUGCUCAGAACGACGAGACGGAUUCGGAUACGUAGCCCGUUCGUCCGCCACACAUCCCUAGCAUAGCAAACACGCAACUUUCCCCCUCCGGUUCAUCUGUCCGAAAAUGCGAAACACCGGGAAUACUUUCCCGGAUGUUUCCCCCCUUCGCCGGUAUCACCUACUACCGCGUUAGGACACCUAGCACCGCGCAUUGUCAUGUCAUGCAUCGUCAUGCUUUUGUUUGCUUUAUAUUUAUUGUUUCUUUCCCCCUCUUCUCUCGUUAGACACCGAGACCAACGCCGCUGCUGCCCAGUACGACUACGGUGUUGACGACCCCUCCUUCUCGGCUGAGCUUCCAGGCAAGCCCCCCCCUUGAUCACCAUAUUCGCCUAUUCUUCUCUCUACUACUUGCAUUAGAGUAGUGUAGCAUGUUACUGCUUUCCGUUAAUCAUAUCCUGAUGCAUAGCCUGUCUUUGCUACUAUUGUUGUUACCAUUACCUGCAAUCCUAAAUGCUUAGUAUAGGAUGCUAGUAUUUCAUCAGUGGCCCUACAUUCUUGUCCGUCUGCCAUGCUAUACUACCGGAUCGUGAUCACUCAGGAGGUGAUCACGGGUAUAUACUUAUAUACAUAAUACAUGAUACAUGUGGUGACUAAAGUCGGGUCGGCUCGUUGAGUACCCGCGGUUGAUUCACGGAUUGGGGGGUUGAAAGGACAUACUUUCCCGACGGCCCUCUGUGUGGAUCUUUGUGGUGGAGCGAUAGGGCAGGUUGAGACCACCUAGGAGAGAGGUGGGUCUGGCCCUAGUCGGCGUCCGCGGUUACUUCAUAAUAACACGCUUAACGAGAUCUUGGUAUUUGAUCUGAGUUGGGUCGUUGACCUUAUACGCACUAACCGCCACGUGGGACAAGAUAUGGGCAACAAGCAUCGUGGUAUUAGCCAAAGCCUUCGUGACGUCAGCGACUGAGCGGCGCGCGCCGGAUUGGACUGGAACGCCUGCUCUUGUAUUAGGGAGGCUAGGUCUGCUUCUGGCCGCCCACGCAACAUGCAGGUGUGCAAUGGGCGAUGGGUCCAGACCCCUGCGCCAUAGGAUUUAGACCGGCGUGCUGACCUCUCUGUUGUGCCUAGGUAGGGCUACGACGUGUUGGUCUUCUGAGGCCGGGCAUGACCCAGGAAAGUGUGUCCGGCCAAAGGGGAUCGAGCGUGUCGGGUAAUGUGGUGCACCCCUGCAGGGAAGUUUAUCUAUUCGAAUAGCCGUGAUCUUCGGUAACAGGACGACUUGGAGUUGUACCUUGACCUUAUGACAACUAGAACUGGAUACUUAAUAAAACACACCCUUCCAAGUGCCAGAUAUAACCCGGUGAUCGCUCUCAUACAGGGCGACGAGGGGAGGAUCGUCGGGUAGGAUUAUGCUAUGCGAUGAUACUUGGUGAACUUACCAUCUACUCUCUUCUACAUGCUGCAAGAUGGAGGCUGCCAGAAUCGUAGUCUUCAACAGGACUAGAUAUCCCCCUCUUAUUCUAGCAUUUUGCAAUUCAGUCCACCGAUAUUGCCCCUUACAUAGAUACCCAUGCAUAUGUAGUGUAGAUCCUUGCUUGCGAGUACUUUGGAUGAGUACACACGGUUGCUUUUCUCCCUCUUUUCCCCCUUUCCAUUCUUCUCGAUUGUCGCAACCAGAUGCUGGAGCCCAGGAGUCAGACGCCACCUUCGACGACUCCUAAUACACCAAGGGUGCCUACUACUACGUGCAGGCCGCCGCCGACGACCAGGAGUAGUUUAGGAGGAUCCCAGGCAGGAGGCUUGCACCUCUUUCGAUCUGUAUCCCAGUUUGUUCUAGCCAUCUUAUGGCAACUUGUUUAACUUAUGUCUGUACUCUGAUAUUGUUGCUUCCGCUGACUCGUCUAUGAUCGAGCACUUGUAUUCGAGCCCUCGAGGCCCCUGGCUUGUAUUAUGAUGCUUGUAUGACUUAUUUUAUUUUAGAGUUGUGUUUUGAUAUCUUCCCGUGAGUCCCUGAUCUUGAUCGUACACGUUUGCGUGUAUGAUUAGUGUACGAUUGAAUCGGGGGCGUCAUAAGUUGGUAUCAGAGCCAACUGCCUGUAGGAAUCCCCUUUCCAAACUCCUUGGCCGAAGUUGAGUCUAGACAUUGAAAAACUUUUACUAACAUGGCUGUGCGGCUUACGGGCCCACGUCGCCAUUGGGUGGUAUUAGGAUCUUUUAUCCUUGACCUAUACUCCGGGAACUCUGAUCUCUCUUCUAUUCGGGUUAAACGAUUUUACUAACUCUAACUCUAGGUUCUCGUAAUUACUUCCUCCCGGAGAGCCCUUCACUCCAGAUGAUCGGUUGGUGCACCAGAAGAUUCCGAAGAUACUCUUCGAUGUUCUCUCAAGACUUUGUGCCCACCGCUUUUGCUAUUCCCGAACACCGAUAAAUCCUUAUGGAUAACUUCUUACCCUUGCCACUCUUACAUUCAUCCCUAGCUGCUCUUGUUAUUACAAGAUGCAUCGAAUUAUUCUUCGACUUUUAAGAAUCUCUUGAGCCAUUGCAUUUCAGAUCUUGCCACAUGAAUACCCCCUACGGAUAAUUCCUCGCACAGUAUCCGCUCAUCCCCAGUUGUUUAGGUGUUUCACAAAAGUCUUUGAAGUACCAUUCGACCUUUCGAAAACCCUCAGCAGCCUGUUGCUCUUGAAAUUCUUGCUUGCUUGUGUUCUGGUCAAUACCAUAAGUCUAGUAAUCUUAUUGGCAUCUUUUGUCAUUAUCAUUUUGAGUCCCUUGAUUCAAUAUGUUGCGAAUACUCGCAAUCCUCUAUCAGAUCCUAGAAUUCAUCCUUCCGGCUCAGACGUCAUUUGAACAGGAGCUGGUUCUCGACCCAUCAAAUUGCCAUUGAUUGUACCCCUAAGGCUAUUCAACUUAUCCAUCCCUAAUCAGAGCGUUGCUUCUGAUCCCUUGAAUUAGAUAUCAUAAUUCCUUUGCAUUUGAGCUUUGAAUUAGUCAGUUGCUUCUAUAAUCCAAUGCCUUUGCAUUGUUUCUUUUGUCCGGUUGUGUGGCGAUACUCACAUAAGCUCCGUUACGGACCAUCAGGUCAUUUGUUGAAUUAUCAUCCGACAGUGUCCGUUGUAUACAAAAACCUCGAGAAGUUCUUUCCUGGUACAUAAUGCCAUUGAUAAAUCCUAUUCUCUGAUUUGGCCAACCAUGCUCUGCUUGGAGGUGGUGAUAUUUACUCUUCUAGCUGGUGGUAUAUGUUUCUAAGAUAACCUGAUGGGUUGAACCACUACAAAAAAAGACACAUCCGUGACAUUUUGGGCCGAAUGAAUUUUUUUUCUGUCAUACUUAUGACACUUCUAUCACGAUAAUUGUGACAAAACCCGGUAUCAUCAUAGAUGUGGUGGGGUCCUACUUCUAUGACAAAAAAUCAUGACAGAAAAUGGGAUUUUCAUCCUGGGCGGGCCGGAAACGCAGCUGCAUGACAUUCUUUGGGCCGUCCAUGACGGAAAAAACCGUGGUAGAAGCGAGGGCGAGGAAAAUAUCGUGGUGUUCCCGGUUACGGUGGGUGUGGUCGGGGCCGAGCGAUGCGCGUUUCUCUCAUACACGCACGCGCGUGGGUGCGAGGCAUUGGGCUCUAACUGAACCCGACCGAGGCGUUGGGCUCUAACUGAACCCGAGUGAUUGCACUACAGGCUACGCGUUACUGAACUCGAGCGAUCGAUCGAUGGCUGUUAACUGAACCCGAUCGAGCGAUUCCUUUGCUACUGCUGCUAACUGAAGUUGAUCGAUGCUGCCUCUGGAUGAACAGUGAGCGUUGUUGGGGGAUUUGGAUGAACAGUUCCCGGUGGGGAUGGAUUAACAGGACCGCGUGGUGUUGCCUCUGGAUGAACAGGACCCCGAUCGAUCGAGCCAGUUGGGGCUGGAUGAACAGGACCCCGUGGAGGGCUGGAUGAACAGGACCACCCCAUGGAGGGCUGGAUGAACAGUAGACGGUGGAGGGCUAGAUGAACAGUAGACUGUGGAGGGGUGGUUGAACAGGAGCCCGUGGAGAGGGCUGGUUGAACAGUAGCCGCUGGAGUAGCGCGCGGUGGAGGCUGGAUGAACAGGAGCCCAUGGAUGAACAGUCGCAGGUGGAGGCUGGAGGAGGUCGACGGUGGAUGAACAGUAGCCCCUGGAGGCUAGAGGGGGUCGACGGUGGAGAUGAACAGUAUCGCGUGGAGUCCCGUUUUGCGGUACGCCACACCCCUCUCGAUGAACAGGACCCCCGUUUCGAUCGUAGCGCUCCAACACAAGUCUGUUUCCUCUGUUUUGCGGUAUGCCACACCCCUCCCGAUCAACAGGACCCCUGUUUCGACCGUAGGAGGUCCGUUUCCUCCGUUUUGAGGUACGCCAGACCCCUCCCGAUGAACAGGAUCCCGUUUCGAACAUGGCUAGUCGAACACAAGGCCGUUUCCUCCGUUCUGCGGUACACCAGGCCUCAUUUCCAUCGGCUGUUCCGUCCAAGCCCUCCCGAUGAACACGACGACGCAUUCCGUUCCGACCCAGCCGGUUGGCUCCCCAUGAACACGAUGAUGACGCAAAUUCUCCGUUCCGACCCAGCCAUGUACACGAGCCCUGGCCGUACGUAUGCGCGAGUAGGCGUUCAAGACCCUGCUCAUAUGUACGUACGUGGCCGUAUUUUCUUUCUUGCACACUGGCCGCUGUACGUACGUAUACAUGCUACGUGCGCGCCUCUACUACGACACGUGUGUGUUGGGGAACGUAGCAAUAAUUCAAAAUUUUCCUACGUGUCACCAAGAUCAAUCUAGGAGAUGCUAGCAACGAGAGAGAGGGAGUGCAUCUUCAUACCCUUGAAGAUCGCUAAGCGGAAGCGUUACAAGAACGCGGUUGGUGGAGUCGUACUCGCGGCGAUUCAAAUCGCGGAAGAUCCGAUCUAGCGCCGAACGGACGGCGCCUCCGCGUUCAACACACGUACAGCCCGGGGACGUCUCCUCCUUCUUGAUCCAACAAGGUUAGAGGAGAAGUUGAGGGAGAACUCCAGCAGCACGACGGCGUGGUGGCAAUGGAGCUCGUGGUUCUCCGGCAGAGCUUCGCUAAGCACUACGGAGGAGGAGAAGGUGUAUGAGGAGAGGGCUGCGCCAGGCAAGGGGUGCGGCUGCCCUCCCACCCCUCCACUAUAUAUAAGGGCAAGGGAGAGGGGGGCUCGGCCCCUUAGAUCCCAUCUGGUGGGAGGGGCGGCGGCCAGGGAGGGUGGCUUGCCCCCCAAGUCAAGGGGGGCGCCCCUUCCAGGGUUUCCCCCAACCCUAGGCGCAUGGGCCCUAGGGGGAGGUUGGCGCCCAGCCCACUUAGGGGCUGGUUACCUUCCACCUACAGCCCAUAAGGCCCUCCGGGGCAGGUGGACCCUCCCGGUGGACCUCCGGAACCCCUUCGGUGGCCCCGGUACAAUACCGGCAUACCCCCGAACACUUCCGGUGACCGUACGAUGACUUCCCAUAUAUAAAUAUUUACCUCGGGACCAUUCCGGAACUCCUCGUGACGUUCGGGAUCCUAUCCGAGACUCCGAACAAGCUUCGGUAACCACAUACUAUUCCCAUAACAACUCUAGCGUCACCGAACCUUAAGUGUGUAGACCCUACGGGUUCGGGAACCAUGCAGACAUGACCGAGACAUCUCUCCGGCCAAUAACCAAUAGCGGGAUCUGGAUACCCAUAUUGGCUCCCACAUGUUCCACGAUGAUCUCAUUGGAUGAACCACGAUGUCGGGGAUUCAAUCAAUCCCGUAUACAAUUCCCUUUGUCUAUCGGUAUGUUACUUGCCCGAGAUUUGAUCGUCGGUAUCCCUAUACCUUGUUCAAUCUCGUUACCGGCAAGUCUCUUUACUCGUUCCGUAAUGCAUGAUCCCGUGGCUAACUCAUUAGUCACAUUGAGCUCAUUUUGAUGAUGCAUUACCGAGUGGGCCCAGAGAUACCUCUCCGUCAUAUGGAGUGACAAAUCCUAGUCUCGAUCCGAGCCAUCCCAACAGACACUUUCGGAGAUACCUGUAGUGCACCUUUAUAGCCACCCAGUUACGUUGUGAUGUUUGGUACACCCAAAGCAUUCCUAUGAUAUCCGGGAGUUGCACGAUCUCAUGGUCUAAGGAAAUGAUACUUGACAUUAGAAAAGCUUUUAGCAAACGAACUACACGAUCUUGUGCUAUGCUUAGGAUUGGGUCUUGUCCAUCACAUCAUUCUCCUAAUGAUGUGAUCCCGUUAUCAAUGACAUCCAAUGUCCAUGGUCAGGAAACCAUAACCAUCUAUUGAUCAACGAGCUAGUCAACUAGAGGCUUACUAGGGGCAUGCUGUGGUCUAUGCAUUCACACAUGUAUUACGGUUUCCAGUUAAUCCAAUUAUAGCAUGACCAAUAGACAAUUAUCAUGAACAAGGAAAUACAAUAAUAACCAUUUUAUUAUUGCCUCUAGGGCAUAUUUCCAACAGUCUCCCACUUGCACUAGAGUCAAUAAUUUAGUUCACAUCACUAUGUGAUUGUAAUGAAUCCAACACCCAUGGGGUUUGUUCAUAUCUCGCUUGUGAGAGAGGUUACUAGUCAACGGGUCUGAACCAUUCAGCUUCGUGUGUGCUUUACAAAUCUCUAUGUCAUCUUGUAGAUGCAGCUACCACGCGCUACUUGGAGCUAUUCCAAGUAACUUCUCUACUAUACGAAUCCGGUUUACUACUCAGAGUCAUCCGGAUUAGUGUCAAAGUUUGCAUCGACGUAACCCUUUACGACGAACUCCUUUUCCACCUCCAUAAUCGAGAAAUCCUUAGUCCACUAGAUACUAAGGAUAAGUUCGACCACUGUCACGUGAUCCAUUCCUGGAUCACUAUUGUACCCUUUGACUAACUCAUGGCAAGGCACACUUCAGGUGCGGUACAUAGCAUAGCAUACUGUAGAGCCUACGUCUAAAGCAUAGGGGACGACCUUCGUCCUUUCUCUCUCUUCUGCCGUGGUCAGGUCUUUAGUCUUACUCAAUACUCACACCAUGUAACACAGCCAAGAACUCCUUCUUUGCUGAUUUAUUUUGAACUCCUUCAAAAUCUUGUCACGGUAUGUAUUCAUUUGAAAGUACUAUUAAGCGUUUUUGAUCUAUCCAUAUAGAUCUUGAUGCUCAAUGUUCAAGUAGCUUAAUCCAGGUUUUCCAUUGAAAAACACUUUUCAAAUAACCCUGUAUGCUUUCCAGAAAUUCUACAUCACUUCUGAUCAACAAUAUGUUAACAACAUAUACUCAUCAAAAAAUCUAUAGUGCUCCCACUCACUUCUUUGGAAAUACAAGUUUCUCAUAAACUUUGUAAAAACCCAAAAUCUUUGAUCAUCUCAUCAAAGCGUACAUUCCAACUCCGAGAUGCUUACUCCAGUCCUUAGAAGGAUUGCUGGAGCUUUGCAUACUUGUUAGCAUCUUUCAGGAUUGACAAAACCUUCUGGUUGUAUCACAUACAACCUUUCCUCAAGAAAAUCGUCGAGGAAACAAUGUUUUGACAUCCCAUCUGCAAGAUUUCAUAAAUAAUGCAGUAACUGCUAAUAUAAUUCCAACAGACUCUUAGCAUCGCUACGAGUGAGAAAGUCUCAUCGUAGUCAACUCCUUGAACUUGUCGGAAAUCAUCUUAACGACAAGCCGAGCUUUCUUAAUGGUGACACUUACCAUCAUUGUCCGUCUUCCUAUUAAAAUCCAUCUGCACCCAACAGCCUUACGACCAUCAAGUAGUUCUUCCAAAGUCUACACUUUGUUUUUAUACAUGGAUCCUCUCUCGGAUUUUAUGGCCUCGAGCCAUUCGUCGGAAUCCAGGCCCACCAUCGCUUCUCCAUAGCUCGUAGGUUCAUUGUUGUCUAGCAACAUGACUUCCAAGACAGGAUUACGUACCACUCUGAAGUAGCAUGCAUCCUUGUUGUCCUACGAGGUUUGGUAGUGACUUGAUCUGAAGUUUCAUGAUCACUAUCAUAAGCUUCCACUUCAAUUGGUGUAGGUGCCACAGGAACAACUUCUUGUGCCCUGCUACACACUAGUUGAAGUGACGGUUCAAUAACCCCAUCAAGUCUCCACCAUCCUCCCACUCAAUUCUUUCGAGAGAAACUUUUCCUCGAGAAAGGACCUGUUUCUAGAAACAAUCACUUUUGCUUCCAUAUCUGAAAUAGGAGGUAUACCCAACUGUUUUGGGUAUUCUAUGAAGAUGCAUUUAUCCGCUUUGGGUUUGAGCUUAUCAGCCUGAAACUUUUUCACAUAAGCGUCGCAGCCCCAAACUUUUAAGAAACGACAGCUUAGGUUUCUCUGAACCAUAGUUCAUACGGUGUCGUCUCAACGGAAUUGCGUGGUGCCCUAUUUAAAGUGAAUGCGGUUGUCUCUAAUGCCUAACCCAUAAACGAUAGUGGUAAUUCGAUAAGAGACAUCAUGGUAUGCACCAUAUCCAAUAGGGUGCAGUUAUGAUGUUCGGACACACCAUCACACUAUGGUGUUCCAGGCGGUAUUAGUUGUGAAACAAUUUCCACAAUGUCUUAAUUGUGUGCCAAACUCGUAACUCAGAUAUCUCUAUGAUCAUAUCAUAGACAUUUUAUCCUCUUGUCACGACGAUCUUCAACUUCACUCUGAAAUUACCUGAACCUUUCAAUAAUUCAGACUUGUGUUUCAUCAAGUAAAUAUUCUUAGCAUCUACUCAAAUCAUCUGUGAAGUAAGAACAUAACGAUAUCCACUACGUGCCUCAGCACUCAUUGGACUGCACACAUCAAAUGUAUUACUUCCAACAAGUUGCUCUCUUGUUCCAUCUUACUGAAAACGAGGCCUUUCAGUCAUCUUGCCCAUGUGUUAUGAUUUGCAUGUCUCAAGUGAUUCAAAAUCAAGUGAGUCCAAAUGAUCCAUCUGUAUGGAGUUUCUUCAUGGAUAUCUACCAAUAGACAUGGUUCGCAUGUCUCAAUCUUUUCAAAAACGAGUGAGUCAAAGAUCCAUCAACAUGGAGCUUCUUCAUGCGUUUUAUACCAAUAUGACUCAAAUGGCAGUGCCACAAGUAUGUGGUACUAUCAUUACUAUUUUAUAUCUUUUGGCAUGAACAUGUGUAUCACUACGAUCGAGAUUCAAUGAACCAUUCAUUUUAGGUGCAAGACCAUUGAAGGUAUUACUCAAAUAAACAGAGUAACCGUUAUUCUCCUUAAAUGAAUUACCGUAUUGCGAUAAACAUAAUCCAAUCAUGUCUAUGCUCAACGCAAACACCAAAUAACGAUUAUUUAGGUUUAACACCAAUCUCGAUGGUAGAGGGAGCGUGCGAUGUUUGAUCACAUCAACCUUGGAAACACUUCCAACACAUAUCGUCAUCUCACCUUUAGCUAGUCUCCGUUUAUUCCGUAGCCUUUUAUUUCGAGUUACCAACACUUAGCAACCGAACCGGUAUCUAAUACCCUGGUGCUACUAGGAGUACUAGUAAAGUACACAUUAAUAUAAUGUAUAUUCAAUAUACUUCUGUCGACCUUGCCUGCCUUCUCAUCUACCAAGUAUCUAGGGUAGUUCUGCUUCAGUGACCGUUCCCCUCAUUACAGAAGCACUUAGUCUCCGGUUUGGGUUCAACCUUGGGUUUCUUCACUAGAGCAGCAACUGAUUUGCCGUUUCAUGAAGUAUCCCUUCUUUCCCUUGCCCUUCUUGAAACUAGUGGUUUUACUAACCAUCAACAAUUGAUGCUCCUACUUGAUUUCUACUUUCGCGGUGUCAAACAUCGCGAGUUGCUCAAGGAUCAUCAUGUCUGUCCCUGAUAUGUUAUAGUUCAUCACGAAGCUCUAAUAGCUUGGUGGCAGUGACUAUGGAGAACCAUCACUAUCUCAUCUGGAAGAUUAACUUCCACUCGAUUCAAGCGAUUGUAGUAUUCAGACAAUCUGAGCACAUGCUCAACGAUUGAGCUUUUCUCCCUUUGUUUGCAGGCUUAAGAAACUUGUCAGAGGUCUCAUACCUCUUGACGUGGGCACUAGUCUGAAAUCCCAAUUUCAGUCUUUGGAACAUCUUAUAUGUUCUGCGACGUUUCAAAAAUGUCUUUGGUGCCUCAAUUCUAAACCGUUAGCAUUACGCGCUGAACUAUCACGUAGUCAUCAAAAUGUGUAUGUCAGAUGUUCACAACAUCCACAGACGACGCUCGAGGUUCAGCACACCGAGCGGUGCAUUAAGGACAUAAGCCUUCUGCGCAGCAAUGAGGAUAAUCCUCAGUUUACGGACCCAGUCCGCAUAAUUUCUACUAUCAACUUUCAACUAAAUUUUCUCUAGGAACAUAUCUUAAACAGUAGAACCAAAACGUAAGCUAUGACAUAAUUUGCAAAGACCUUUUGACUAUGUUCAUGAUAAUUAAGUUCAUCUGAUUAUUUAAUGAACUCCCACUUAGAUAGACAGCCCUCUAGUCAUCUAAGUGAUACAUGAUCCGAGUCAACUAGGCCGUGUCCGAUCAUCACGUGAGACGGACUAGUCAUCAUCGGUGAACAUCUUCAUGUUGAUCGCAUCUACCAUACGACUCAUGUUCGACCUUUCGGUCUCUCGUGUUCCGAGGCCAUGUCUGUACAUGCUAGGCUCGUCAAGUCAACCUAAGUGUUUCGCAUGUGUAAAUCUGGCUUAGACCCGUUGUAUGCGAAUGUUAGAAUCUGUCACACCCGAUCAUCACGUGGUGCUUCGAAACAACGAAUAUUCGCAACGGUGCACAGUUAGGGGGAACACAUCUCUUGAAAUUUUAGUGAGGGAUCAUCUUAUUUAUGCUACCAUUGUUCUAAGAAAAUAAGAUGUAAACAUGACAAACAUCACAUGCAAAUCAUAAAGUGACAUGAUAUGGCCAAUAUCAUCUUGCGCCUUUUGAUCUCCAUCUUCGAGGCGCGGCAUGAUCAUCUUCGUCACCGGCAUGACACCAUGAUCUCCAUCAUCAUGAUCUCCAUCAUCGUGUCUUCAUGAAGUUGUCUUGCCAACUAUUACUUCUACUACUAUGGCUAACGGUCAGAAAUAAAGUAAAGUAAUUACAUGGCGUUUUCAUUGACACGCAGGUCAUACAAUAAAUUAAGACAACUCCUAUGGCUCCUGCCGGUUAUCAUACUCAUCGACAUGCAAGUCGUGAUUCCUAUUACAAGAACAUGAUCAAUCUCAUACAUCACAUAUAUAAUUCAUCACAUCCUUUUGGCCAUAUCACAUCACAUAGCAUACCCUGCAAAAACAAGUUAGACGUCCUCUAAUUGUUGUUGCAUGUUUUACGUGGCUGCUAUGGGUUUCUAGCAAGAACGUUUCUUACCUACGCAAAAGCCACAACGGUGAUAUGCCAAUUGCUAUUUACCCUUCAUAAGGACCCUCUUCAUCGAAUCUGAUCCGACUAAAGUGGGAGAGACAGACACCCGCUAGCCACCUUAUGCAUCAAGUGCAUGUCAGUCGGUGGAACCUGUCUCACGUAAGUGUACGUGUAAGGUCGGUCCGGGCCGCUUCAUCCCACAAUGCCGCCGAAUCAAGAUAAGACUAGUAACGGUACGCAAAUUGAACAAAUCAUCGCCCACAACUACUUUGUGUUCUACUCGUGCAUAGAAUCUACGCAUAGACCUAGCUCAUGAUGCCACUAUUGGGGAACGUAGCAAUAAUUCAAAAUUUUCCUACGUGUCACCAAGAUCAAUCUAGGAGAUGCUAGCAACGAGAGAGAGGGAGUGCAUCUUCAUACCCUUGAAGAUCGCUAAGCGGAAGCGUUACAAGAACGCGGUUGAUGGAGUCGUACUCGCGACGAUUCAAAUCGCAGAAGAUCCGAUCUAGCGCCGAACGGACUGCGCCUCCGCGUUCAACACACGUACAACCCGGGGACGUCUCCUCCUUCUUGAUCCAGCAAGGGGAGAGGAGAAGUUGAGGGAGAACUCCAGCAGCACGACGGCGUGGUGGCAAUGGAGCUCGUGGUUCUCCGGCAGAGCUUUGCUAAGCACUACGGAGGAGGAGGAGGAGGAGGUGUAUGAGGAGAGGGCUGCGCCAGGCAAGGGGUGCGGCUGCCCUCCCACACCUCCACUAUAUAUAGGGGCAAGGGAGAGGGGGGGCGGCCCCUUAGAUCCCAUCUGGUGGGAGGGGCGGCGGCCAGGAAGGGUGGCUUGCCCCCCAAGUCAAGGGGGGCGCCCCCUCCAGGGUUUCCCUCAACCCUAGGCCAAUGGGCCCUAGGGGAGGUUGGCGCCCAGCCCACUUAGGGGCUGGUUCCCUUCCACCUACAGCCCAUAAGGCCCUCCGGGGCAGGUGGACCCUCCCGGUGGACCUCCGGAACCCCUUCGGUGGCUCCGGUACAAUACCGGCAUACCCCCGAACACUUCCGGUGACCGUAGGAUGACUUCCCAUAUAUAAAUCUUUACCUACGGACCAUUCUGGAACUCCUCGUGACGUCCGGGAUCCUAUCCGGGACUCCGAACAACCUUCGGUAACCACAUACUAUUUCCCAUAACAACUCUAGCGUCACCGAACCUUAAGUGUGUAGACCCUACGGGUUCGGGAACCAUGCAGACAUGACCGAGACAUCUCUCCGGCCAAUAACCAAUAGCGGGAUCUGGAUACCCAUAUUGGCUCCCACAUGUUCCACGAUGAUCUCAUCGGAUGAACCACGAUGUCGGGGAUUCAAUCAAUCCCGUAUACAAUUCCCUUUGUCUAUGGUAUGUUACUUGCCCGAGAUUCGAUCGUCGGUAUCCCUAUACCUUGUUCAAUCUCGUUAACGGCAAGUCUCUUUACUUGUUCCGUAACGCAUGAUCCCGUGGCUAACUCAUUAGUCACAUUGAGCUCAUUAUGAUGAUGCAUUACCGAGUGGUCCCAGAGAUACCUCUCCGUCAUACGGAGUGACAAAUCCUAGUCUCGAUCCAAGCCAACCCAACAGGCACUUUCGGAGAUACCUGUAGUGCACCUUUAUAGCCACCCAGUUACGUUGUGACGUUUGGUACACCCAAAGAAUUCCUACGGUAUCCGGGAGUUGCACGAUCUCAUGGUCUAAGGAAAUGAUACUUGACAUUAGAAAAGCUUUUAGCAAACGAACUACACGAUCUUGUGCUAUGCUUAGGAUUGGGUCUUGUCCAUCACAUCAUUCUCCUAAUGAUGUGAUCCCGUUAUCAAUGACAUCCAAUGUCCAUGGUCAGGAAACCAUAACCAUUUAUUGAUCAACGAGCUAGUCAACUAGAGGCUUACUAGGGACAUGUUGUGGUCUAUGUAUUCACACAUGUAUUACGGUUUCCAGUUAAUACAAUUAUAGCAUGAACAAUAGACAAUUAUCAUGAACAAGGAAAUACAAUAAUAACCAUUUUAUUAUUGCCUCUAGGGCAUAUUUCCAACAGUCUCCCACUUGCACUAGAGUCAAUAAUUUAGUUCACAUCACUAUGUGAUUGUAAUGAAUCCAGCACCCAUGGGGUUUGUUCAUAUCUCGCUUGUGAGAGAGGUUACUAGUCAACGUGUCUGAACCAUUCAGCUUCGUGUGUGCUUUACAAAUCUCUAUGUCAUCUUGUAAAUACAAUAAUAACCAUUAUAUUAUUGCCUCUAGGGCAUAUUUCAACAGUGUGCGCCUCUACAUUGACCAGUAUGUACGUACACGUUCGCGACCAGAAUGACAACGCUACGUACGUUUCGACCAGGUGGGUCCCGACUGUUAGGCACUUCCUUGCCUGCGAAGAUGUAGCUGGUGGGUCCCAGCAGUCAGGGGGAAACGUUUUUUUCACGAAAUACGGUGGCCCGUCUGGUGGAUCCCCGCUGUCAGGUGGAGGAAUAAUUAUUUUGCGCAUAAUAAGGAGGCACUUCCUUGUUGCGGCCGUGGACCCAGUUGUCAGCCUCUCCACGUACAGUCCACGUCCGAUGGAAGCCGUUCCUUGACCACAUUGACCAUGCCACGCCGAGAGCACCAGGGCGGUGGACGACGGCGAGGCCUAGGAAGGGGACGACGCAGAGCCGGGGAAGACGCGGCAGUGGAUGCCCACGCGUAGAGGAGUAUGAGGGUUCACUGGUUCACUGCGGUGUGAGGCUGUCGUCGCCGCAGAAUAACAGGGGGUGUGGGUGAGUAGAGGGAUGGCCUGGCCAGCGGUGGGAGUAGUAGGGGGCGGUGAGGCCUCCGCCGCAUCGUAGCCGGCCACGGUAGGCAGGAGCACGAGGCACGACCGGUGCUGGUUUGGGCGGCUGGAUCAAGAAGACCAGAGGUUGAAGAAGCACUACGGCCGUUGGAUGGACAUCGUACGGUCACUGGAGCUAUAAUCGUGCAUAUUGACUAAGUUGACAAAGCCCUCCAUCCCGUCAACUUAGUAGGCCCACAAGUCAGCCUGCCACUAUACUGGGUCCUAGCUAGUAGGGGGAGUAUUCAUUUUUUGUGCGUAAUAAGGAGGCACUUCCUUGCGUGCAAAGAUAUAGUUGGUGGGUCCAAGCUAUCAGCGGCCGUAACGUUUUUUCGCAAAAUACAGAGGCCCUUUCAGUGGGUCCCAGAUGUCAGGUGGAGGAAUCAUUAUUUUGCGCGUAAUAAGGAGGCAUUUCCUUCUGUGCGGCCAUGGACCCAGCUGUCAGCCUCUCCACGUACAGUACACUUCAGAUGCAUGUCGGUCGUUGACCACGUUGACCAGGCCGCGCCGAGAGCACCAGGGCGGUGGACGACGGCGAGGCCUAGGAAGGGAACAACACGGAGGCAGGGAAGACUCGGCAGUUGUUUCCCACGCAGAGGGGAGUACGACUGUACGAGGGUUUACUGGUUCGUUUGCCGCCGCCGGAGAAUAACAGCAGGUGUGGGUGAGUAGAGGGAUGGCUAGGCCAGCGAUGGGAGUACGGUGGCGCGGUGAGGCCUGCGCGGAAGCACAUCCGGCCGCGGGGAGGAGAGAGCAGGCAGUCCCGUCGGCGCUUGUUUGAGCAGCUGGAGCAGGAAGAGCAGAGAUUGAAGAAGCACGACGGCCGUUGGAUGGACAUCCAACAGUCACUCCUUGUGCGUCAACCUUUUUUUUAGGAAAGCCUCAAAUCUGUGGAAAACAUCAUACAACCCAUCUGCCAUUAUUUCUAAUAAUUUACAGCCCAUUUGCUUAUUCUUAAGGUUGUUUUUGAGCCCAUAUUUUUUUUGUUAGCAUUACAGCCCAUAUUGUGGCCACGGUUAAAAAAGUAUACGAAAUUUUGCAUAUUUCGGUGCGGUCCGAACUGUUUUUAAUCCCGAAAUUUCGAGUCACAUUCAAACUGAUUUUAAAAAUAAAUGUAUAUCAAUAUAAAAUCCAACAAAUUGUCCACGCAUAAAAAUCAAUGCAAUUUAAAAUCUCGAAAUGAAAAAAGAAAUUUGAAACUAACUGCCGGUUUGAUGUGUUUUAAAAAUGUACAACCCAUUUCUCAUUACUGAUAGGCCAUUUUCUCGGCCAGCCGAAUGAAGCUCUCCUCGUCUUGGAAGAUUUGCAGCCCAACAGGCCUGACAAAGCGACUUACUUGGCAAAUCACAAAAAACUGGGCUGUGGCCGUGGACCCAGCUGCGGCCGUGGACCCAGCCGUCAGCCUCUCCACGUACAGUACUCUUCCGAUGGAAGUCGGUCGUUGACCACAUUGACCAUGCCGCGCCGAGAGCACCAAGGCGGUGGACGACGGCGAGGCCUAGGAAGGGGAAGACGCGACAGUGGAUGCCCACGCGGAGAGGAGUAUGAGGGUUCACUCGUUCGGCUGCGGUGUGAGGCUGCCGUCGCCGCAGAAUAACAGGGGGUGUGGGUGAGUGGAGGGAUGGCCUGGCCAGCGGUGGGAGUAGUAUGGGGGCGGUGAGGCCUCCGCGGUAGCACAGCCGGCCACGGGAGGCAGGAGCAGGCGGCACGACCGGCGCUGCUUUGGGCGGCUGGAGCAAGAAGACCAGAGGUUGAAGAAGCACUAAGGCCGUUGGAUGGACAUCGUACGGUCACUGGAGCUAGAAUCGUUCAUAUUGAAUAAGUUAACAACGCCCUCCGCCCCCGUCAAGUUAGUAGGCCCACAAGUCAGCCUCCCACUGUGGUGGGUCCUAGCUGGCAGGGGGUAUUCAUUUUUUUGUGCGCAAUAAGGAGGCACUUUCUUGCGUGCGAAGAUAUAGUUGGUGGGUCCGACCUGUCAGGGAAGGAACGUUUUUUUUGUGAAAUACAGAGGCCCUUCCGGCGGGUCCCAGAUGUCAGGUGGAGGAAUCAUUAUUUUGCGCGUAAUAAGGAGGCAUUUCCUUGUGUGCGGCCGUGGACCCAGCUGUCAGCCUCUCCACGUACAGUCCACUUUCGAUGGAUGUCGUUCAUUGACCACGUUGACCACGCCGCGCCGAGAGCACUAGGGCGGUGGGUGACGGCGAGGCCUACGAAGGGAACGACAUGGAGCCGGGGAAGACACGACAGUGGCUGCCCAUGCGGUGGAGAGUACGAGGGUUGACUGGUUCAGCUGCCGUCGCCGGAAAAUAACAGGAGGUGUGGGUGAGUAGAGGGAUAGACAGACCAGGAAUGCGAGUAUAAAAUGGGGCCGUGAGGCCUGCCCGGCAGCACAGCCGGCCACGGGAGGCGGGAGCAGGCGGUUCCGACGGCGCUAGUUUGGGCGGCUGGGGCAGGAAGAUCAAAGACUGAAGAAGGAUGAUUGCCGUUAGAUUGACAUCUAAUGGUUUGACGCUGGUAGAGUCGAUUGUUGACUAAGUUUCUUUUUUGAUAAACCUUGUGUACGCAUGAACUUAGUAGGCCCACAAGUCAGCCUCCAAAUCUGUGGCAGACAACAUAGAGCCCAUUUGCUAUUUUUUAAUAAUUUGUAGCCCAUUUGCUAAUCCUUAAGUAAUUUAUUACAGCCUAUUUUCUGCCUAGGACCACGGUCAAAAAGUUCAACCUUAUUUUGCAUAUUUCGGUGGAGUACGAACUUUUGUAAUCCCGAAAUGAUAAACAUUUUUUAAGAACUUAUUGAUUUGCCAAAAAAAUCGUUUUGUUUUUGUAAGAAAAUAAGACGUGGGACAGUUGAGUUGGUUUAAGGGAAAGCCACUGGUAAAAAGAAUCAGCGCUGAGAGGGAAAACAACAACAAAAAUAAGGAUGUAAAUAUGAAAAGGGAAUUUGCUGUAUUUUCAAUAUAAUGAUACGUGUAUAUGAACUAGUAAAACUAUAGGUAGAGAUUAGAAAACGGAUGUAGGACAUGCGUUUCAAGAGGAAAAUAGAACUGGGUUGUGUGUUUGAUUCAGUAAAAAAACUACCUGCGGAUGUUGUAAGACAAAAUAUAACUAACGCUGACGGGCCAGAGGCCAGUAGAUACCUGCUGGAUCUUUGUGCCCCGUUGUCGUCAUGGGCUGGGCCUGUUACAAACAAAACCAAGCCUGGGCAGUCUACAACCCAGUUGAAACUUGCUCGACCUGAAAAAACAAUAUACGUGCUCAAUAAAUGAGAGAAGUCUGCAAGUAUAGACUGAUAAUUGGGAUGCAGCAGGGAUAUUGUUUUUUCAUCGUGAUAAUAAGAGCAUGCACUUGUUUUGAAAAUUUUGGAGAACUGGGAAUUCGAACAGCAGGUGCUUAUGCUACCCAUCAAAUAAAAAUCAGGUGCCUGAAAAUUCGUUUCGAAACAAAUGAUUCAGCUUUAUAUCCACGUCGACCCUCGGCAUGAUGGUUGGAAGCAAAUGGCAAGUUCAUACCAAAAGAUCGUUAACAACAAUACCAACUUGCGGACGACAAGGUAGUACAAGUACCAAUACCAAGCUAACUUAUAAUCUUUUUACUCCUAGCCCUAGUGUUCGUCUGGUAGAAAAUCUUGCAGAGGACCAGCUCCCGCUCCUUCUCUUGCUCCAGGUCCCCAAGGUGGUACUGGUGUAUCACCCAGUUGUUCCUCUGCUGGUCGAAGUUCUUGUUGGUGUGCAGCACCAGAACCUUUUUGCUGCCCGUCUGCCGGCCGUUGACCAUCACCGAUAAGGUAUUGCCGGUGUUGUGCCACAUCGCGUGCAUGUCGCACUCCGACUGUAUCUUGCGACGCGUCCACGUGCCCCUUUUGAAUGCCCUGGAAUUGUGCUGGAAGAAAUGCUUGCUUAGGCCACUCAGUGUAAUACCUGCAGUAUUGUCGAAUACAGGUUUUAGUGUACUUAGUUGGCAUUUUCAUAACAUCUUUGGCAUGUUGCAGUCACUUGUUUCACUUUUUAUUAACUGUCAAAUUGUAAUUGCUUCACCAGGUCUGCGUCUAAAAAGAAAAAUAGAGCUAUAAACAAAGGAAUAUGUUUGUGCAAGUAGACGGCCGAUCGUUGUCUUACCUGGAAGUUUCUCAGUAUGGGUGUAGCAUAUGCCGUGCUCGCUUUCGAUGGUUGGUAUGAACAAAUCGAUGAGAGGGUGAGAUCUCGCGCUGUCAGCACUCGCUUUGGCCUCAAGGUGCUCGAUCAGCUCCUGAUCCGUGGGAUCGAACUUGAUGCCAGCCGACAGCACCGGACAAUCCUUCUUCGACUUGCAUGGGUUAAUUCCAGUUAUAUGGUACUCAAUGUAUGAUCAAUCGACUGUUUUAAGUGAAUGAUGAAAGAUUUCGACAGAUAAGUGGUACUCCAAAUCUGAAGUCCAGAAUACCCAAACACGCCGCCGGGAUUCUUGUGUCACCUCACGCGCAGCGUGUUGUCACGUCAAUUCAAUGUGUGGACAUGAUGAAUAAUUUGACCGGCGUAUACUAGUACUACUACUGUACUACUUACUAGUCGUAUUUAGUGUCACAUUUUAACCAUAGGUUUAACUAACAAGUACGCACUUGAAGCCUAAGUGAUAUAUAUAUAUAUAUAUAUAUAUAUAUAUAUAUAUAUACUACACAACAUCUCCAUCAUCAUUAUCAGUACAUCCUGCGCAGGUGAGUUAGGAUGCACUUGAUCCCAGAAAGGUAUCUAUCCUUCAAAACAGAGGAGUGCUUCAAACUAACAACAGUACAUAAUAUCCAACAAAAGAGGGUCGUGCUAUGGCAGCAGAAUACAUGGCUCAGUCUACAUAUAAGUACCAAUCAAGUUGUGCAUGUUUGCUGUUGGCAUGAACCACAUCGCCACAUGUCGGGUUUGCAAAAGCCAUCCAUCGCAUGGAAGCUUGAUGCCUUUCACACACUGAAGAUUAUCUGGCAACAAGCUGUGUCGACGAAUCUCUGGAUAUGGUGAUUCAUGAAACCCAUGGUAUGAUGUGUAAACACAGUCCCCCCUGGCGAAUGGAAGUUGCAUAGCACGGUAAUCAUCGCCGCUGAUAUGAUCGAUGAUUGGUUGGAUGAUCGGAUAAUUGAGCCCGAGGAACAUGGAGUGGUUGCCGAGGCUGUAAACCCGCCUCCAGUUGAAUACGCCUGGCCCAACGGAGCUGGGAUCUUUCUCGAACACGAAGCAGCCAUAGCCAUCAAUGUCACGAACGCCCCAGGCAUUGUACUGCAUGUGGUUUGAUGAAAUGGUUUGGUCAAUUUGGUACGUGCAAAUGAGCAUCAAAUGACCACCAUCAGCUGAACGAGCGAUAAACCACCACCCAUCGGCUGGUAUGAUUCCAGGUCCUGGAAUCAUGAAGGCCAGUGCAUUUGCGUCUGCUGCAACAAUUCAAAUUGGAGACCAAAGGGACAAAAAUAAACAAUCAUAUUCAGAGUAUGUGUGGAAUUAAGAUUAUUAUAACAGUGACACAUAUCAUAGACAGAGAAUUGCAAUGUCGUGGUCAUAAUCAUACCCCAAGUUAAAAAAAGCCAAUGGCUUUCAUAUUCUAGCAAUAUAUCAUGGUUCAAAUAUCAUGUAACAAUGAGAGGAAAACAGAUAUGAAAGGGCCUACUCAUAUUCUACCAUAGCACUUACUACAGUUAUCAUAUCAACUCUAAGCAAUAACAUGCGUUGUUAUAAAAAUCCUGGAAAUGAGAGUAACAUAUAGCAAUCAUGAGGUUAUACUCAUAAUAUCUAUUCUAACAAUCAUUAGAUACCAAUUGUUCUCAUAUCAACUCUAACAAUAACAUGUGUGGUCAUAAAAAUCUAGGAAAUGAGAGGAACAUAUAGCAAUGAUGUGGUUAUAGACAUACUAUAUAUUCUAAAUUUGUAACAAUGAAUAGGCAGUCGUAUUCUUAAGGUAAAGAUGAGAUGAGAUAGAACAAUUACACGACGAUAGAUUCCACCAGUAUAGGCAGCCAAUCUGUGCGUCGAUCGCAUAAACGAUGCCAUCAUGCACUAUAGCAUCAGACAGAAGUGUUGGGUAAAGAGGAUCGACGAUGAGCCAUAACCAUGUAUGGCGACCGGAUUCCAGAUAGACUAAUCCCAUGUUGAACACGGCAAUGAGCUUGUAAUCCAUGUAGUCUUAUGAUGGUGUGGGCACUUUGCAGAUUACAACCUUCAGCAAACAGAGGUCGAGCCAAAAGCUCGACGCGUCUCGUGCGUAGUAGGCAGGAGUGUCCGGCGGGCCGCGAGGCUCGAUGGCGGCGGUAUCCAAAGAUGGAAGGGUGAUCUGUCGUUGGGUGUAGAUAUCCACGAGAGACCACGGACUACCGGAUUGGUGGAUGAGGACGAUCCAGUUGGCCUUCAUGCCCACCCAGUAUUGGACGGGUAGUGGUAGCAUGUCGAGGGGCACCACGGAAACCUCCGUAGGAUCGUCAAGUCGGUGUCUGGGCCACCUGCGAGGAUCGGGCAUCAGCAGGCAGGGUGUCUUGAAAAGAGCCGGCCGGUUGUAGACGAGUAGACGGUACAAAGACACCGAGCAUGCGGCCAGACGGACGGUGCUGAGUAGGUCCAUACGAUUACAGAUCUGCUCCAAGAGAACAUCGGGAAGGGAAUUCCAAUCGUGGCUCUGCGUGUCAGUCGGUUCUGCCAUUGGGGUUUUCGGUGCCUGCGAGCUAGCGGGGAAGUGGAUUCGGUCGGGCGAGCGAAGAAGCUUCUCCUCGUGUGGCUGGGCAGUGAGCGGGGGGAUAUGGUACGCGCGAGCUACCAAGGAAGAUAGCGCGGGCGGGCGAGUAGUGAGCGGGGGGAAAUGGUGUGCGGCCGACGAUGGGGAAGAGAGGAGGAAGAAUAAGAGAGGAGGAAGAAGAGUGGAAGACGGGGAAGAAAGUGCAUUAAAUCUCAGUUCUACUACUACCACCAGGAUAUACCGUCCUUCGGAGUGUAAAUAGUUACACCGAUGACAUGUGGGUCUACCACAAGAGGGCCCAUAUGUCAGUUAAUGGAGGACAGAAGCGUGCUCUACUGGCAAACAUGAUGGCAGUACUGGGUAAGGCUGAUUUAGUAACACAACACGCUGGUUCAGCUUAUUAAUUAAGUGUCCCAUCUGCUGCAGCGUGUAUUGUCACUUCACUGCGAAGACUAGUUGAAUAGUUCUCUCUGACCGAGAUGGGGAAUAAUGGAUCGCGAAGACUUCCUUUAUACAUUAUCCCUAUGCCUCUACGCUCACUUCACUCAUUUUGCUCCGUACGUAGUCAUUUGUUGAAAUCUCGAGAAAGACAACUCCGUAUUUGGGAACAGAGGGAGGAUUUUACUCCGUAUUUGGGAACAGAGGGAGGAUUUUACUCCGUAUUUGGGAACAGAGGGAGUAUCACCAUAUGGAGGGAAAAGAGGAAGCUUGAAAUUUGAACAUGUCAAUGGGAGGGAGUAAGCCCCAUGCAUGCAUGCAUGCAUGCAUGCAACAUGCAACACUCACACGUACACAUGGACGCACGCAACACUCACGCACCCAUGCAGCACACAGCACAUGACGCAACACACACGCUCACGCUCAAGUGCUCAACCUACUCCCUACGUCCGUGAAAGACUGGACAUUUAGAGAUUUACACAUUGACCAGGGCAUAAUUAACGCCCAAAAGUAGCAGACUUAUGUGUGCAUGCGACCAUUGAGAGAAGAAGAUUAAGUGAAGGUCGUUGCAUGCUGUAAUUAAGGAUAGACAUGUAGCCUAUACCUAGAGCACAAGUUGGUGCAUUAGUCAAUCAAUAUCGAUUUAGAUUAAAGGCUAAAUGCAUUGGAAGUGUAGAUGUACUACACUCUUUGUUUUUUAGCUGAUUUCUUUGCUCUGCCAACUGACAGGUGGGACCCAGAAAACAGGUGACAAUUUAACCAGUCAACAAAGUGCCACGUCGACUAUGUGGCCGGUCAGUAGGGUGCAAUACGGUGCUCUACGAUGAGCUAGUGAUCGUAUAAUCACCGCAAAACUAUAUAUAGUGACCGUAAAUAGCGUAUUGUUACAUACGUUGACCGCCAGUGUAUUUUUCUCAUUUCAAAUUAAGCCAUAUUAACCAGAAAGGACGCAGUAUGGACUAGUACUAAUACUGCUUUGAUGUGUCCCGUCAACUCGCCGAACGAGGAGAAGCUUGCUUACUACGCCUCUCCCUCACCCACGCGCGCGGUGGUUCGCAGGACGAGGAGAGGGUUUUGACUGCAGCGCCCUCUCCCUCUCCCUCUCCCUCGCCCUCGCCCUCGCGGUGGACGUGCAGCAGUUCAAUCGGUGUCAUAUUGCCAGAAGCAUAAUGUGUACUGUAGUAUCAUCAUGGUUGGACCUUCCGAAGAGGCGAAGAGCCAAGUGCAAGGUUCACACGAAUACGAACUGUUGAACCUCCCGAAGAGGCAAAGAGCCAAGCGCAAGGUUUUAUAGGAGUUGUCGUCCUAGUAGGAGCGUACUACAACUAUAGCGAACGAUGCUGCUGUAUGAUGCCGCCACGUCACGUAUAUCCAAAGCUGUGCCACCUUUUUUUCUCAAAGAGCGUGUUGGAGCUCGUGCAACAACCACACAAGUUGCACGUACACAUAACACAUUUACUAGUAAUAAAUUCUAAAUGACAAAUGCUAGUAGGCCACACAAGUUCAUCUCUAAUUCAUGUGAUAAAUUUGUGCACGACUAGUCUACAUAUAUUCACAGCGCUACCGUUCACAAUUUACCAUACUCCACUUACACGUUAUAGAUGGGCUACAUGUCCUCCUCCAAGUUCCAGUCCCAGGUGUUCUUCAUGGAUGGCAUGAUCCAUAGCAAUGGGCAACGGGAAUCAUUGUCGCAGCUUUCUAGUCUGGUUCCACACGAUGGAGACUCAUCCAAGCUGAAGCGGCAUAAAUCAGGGAUAGCGUGUCCCAGCAUGCCAUUCAUCCAGCAGUGCGCACUGAAGACACAACCAUGCUUCAUGAACGACAGGCCUUCCGUGUCAUGCACGGAAGGUGGCAUCCACUUCACAAUGGGGUAGUUGUCCCCAAUGAAAAGCGAGUACUCUCCAAGAGUGUUCCUCGGCAACCACGUAGCAUCACGGGGGUCGAACUCGGCGCCGUUCAUCUGGUACACGCGGCAUCUCAGAUCUGGACACAUGGUGACGUACAUAGUCAAGGUCCAUGCAUAAUAAUGUUGUGCUCAAAUAUGGCGGUCAGUAAUGCUGUGCAACAAAUAGUACUACUCCGGUAUAGAGGAAGUAAAAUAACCGGCUUAUUAUAUAUAGCCACUCUUGGCUACAUGGAUGAGAUAGUAAGACAUGGAAAAACAAAAAUGGUGGCAGCUAGUGGGUUCAAGUCUUCAAGGGCCUAGCUAGGUAUACGCGUCCUCCAAGGUAAAAAGUACUCCUACUAGUACGUAAGUAGAGUACUAGUACAACAAUGAAAGAGAAGGCGAGAGGGUUAAAAAAUGGAAUACCUGGGUAGGUGGUGAUAGUCCGAUCAUGGUAGAUUGUGUGACCAUGUUGCACAUCAGUGGUACCAUGGGUAACGACUGCUAAGAUAGUUGAUCCCAAUAUGCCAAAGUCAGCUACAAGGUUCCAGGUUAGACCGAAUCGCGGAUGCAAAUGCACAUCCAACAUCGGCGAUCUUAUUUUGAUUGCGGGAUGACUGGUCCCUGCAAAAUAAUGGAGUACCGUUAGGGAUGCAAAUGAUGGUUUGUGCAUUCCGUUUGUAAUAUCCCGUACCGUAGGAUGGCAACCAGAUGAAACAAGUCCCCUGGCUUGUCACCGCGAAGAUGCGACCUAGAUGGCGCACGACGUCUUCGAACGUGUAGGGGUACAAAUCUGCCGCCGCCAACAUGCGCCAGCCUCUGCCGUUACUGCCUCUUGCAUUGAUGGCAAUCCUUAUGUCGAACACCGCGAUGAGAUAGUAAUCGUCGUAGCCGCGUUGCUUUGUCGGCGGGUCCGCAAUUGCUAUAUUCUUCAAUCUCAUGUAGGCAUCAUCAUACGUAUUCAAUCCCGGCCAGUCCGGAAGGCCGAUCCCAAUGGUGGAGAAGGGGUCUACCGGAAUGGCCGCACUGCUGUGGAUGUUGUGCAAAAUGAUGGUGGUAUCCGGCCGGAGGUUUGCAAGCCAAUCUUUGUUGGCACCGAUCCAGACCUAUAUAUAAGACGGUGGGAAGCGGAGAAAUUACGGGAUGGAAAUGGAAUAACUAAGUACUACAUGAUCAAACUCCAUUACUGACCUACUCAUCGGACAAAAUCCGACUACCUCUCAACGUCGGCAACUCUAGCGGAGUCAACGUGCAACCAUGGCUAGGGAGCGGUGGACUGUUCGAAGGAUUGUCCCAUAGAAGAACCAUCACCUCGAGGACGCAUGGAAGACCAACAAGCAUGGCCUUUUCCCAAGCCAUUUUAAGCAUCGUCUUGAAAAAGUUGGUGCAGGAAGCUCCGAGUCUUGCGGCGGUGAGGACGUCGGAGCGGCGUGCGAUUUCUCCCAGAGGAUCGUCGUCCAAGGUCUCCCAGCCCCGACGAGGAGGAGAAUCGCCUGGCGAAUCCAUGGGAGCAGUGAUGAACUGCCUUCUCUUCGGGGGGAGGGGAACUGGCGAGGAGGAGAUAAGAGCGUAGUAACCGCAGGGCCUCGUCCCUUCCAACUGUAGAUCGUUCCUUAGCGAAGGGGUGAGGCUAUUUUUUACUACUAGUACUAGCAUUAUGGGACGUUAUGGGGUUGCAUUAUACUGUAAAUAAUAGCACUAGUAAGAAAUUUUUGGCACUGGCUAGUAGUUUUUGGCGUGGAUUAAGAAAUUUUGGGUAUUUUUUGCUAUUUUUUAUACACGCCAACUAGUGUCAAAAAACGUCUUACAUUAUGUGACGGAGGAGUACGUACUCAUACUAUAGCAGUACUAGUACUACUUUCUCAACUAGUAGUGCGAUGUACUGUACUUCUAGUAUAGUGCACCAGUUUUGAACUCUUGAAUCUCAGGGCCAAGGAGCUACAGUUGGAAGUGGAGGGUACUAUUGUUCUCUAGAACCAUUGUUGUACUAUCAAUGCAGGGAAAGUACACCUGCGUAGUGGCCUAGUGGGUACUCUCGGUGCUCUAUUCAGCCGCUCCUCUCACGUAGCUGGCCUACUCAGCCGCUCCUCUCACGCACACACUAGCAGCGUGUUUAUCAGCGACGGUUACUGCGGGGGCAAAACAUUUGAGUUAUUUGAUACAGCGAGACUAGGCUUUUCGCUUCCAUUUGUGGAGGUGUAAUGGAUCUCGUCGAACUUUGUUAGUAGUUCCUUCUUUAUGAAUGAGAUGAAGCAAAGCUUUUGCCUCCGUUUCAAAAAAACACGUCAAGAGGUAUUUCUUUUAUAGUAGAGCCGAUAAUGGAGUGAAGUCCAUGUGUGAAACGCCACAAGCUAUGGAGUAGUAGUAGAGCACUUUACGUACAGAGCCAUAUUUGCACAGUUCCCGAUGCCCCGCCAGGCUUUUCCGGCUCCUCGGGCUUAAUUGGGAGGCGCUAGUUUAAAUAUGCUACUAGCUGAUGAGGAAGCUGCAAGCAAGGUGCGGCUAGGGCGAGCACGCGAGCCACGAGAUGCUGGGAAGGAAAACCCGUUCACGUGGCUAGGCUAUCCAGUGCACCUAGAUUGUGGUGCCGCACGUCCGUUUGACUUCAAAACUCAAACUACUCGUGUAAAAUAUUGGCUCGCGGCGAAGUUACUAUUUAAAAAAAGGCCACCGUGCGUUCGGCCGGGAUUGAACCCAUAAAACGAGGUAUACACUCCCGCGACCACUAGUAGUACUCAUUGGAGUACAACGCAACCUAGAAUCGCCUUUUGUCCCUAGUAGUACAUUGUUCCUUACAAGAAACCCCUAAUAAUGCAAGAAACCACUAAUAAUGCCAAGAAACUACUACCACUUGCAUACAUGGCAGACUUAAUAUAAGACUACCUUAUCAACCAUUGUACAUGCUCUUACCAACCAGCCCUACCAAGAAACGACUACUCUACAAAGUGUCAUUAUAGGCACGUUUCAACCCAUGGCCCUGUUUGGAUACAUUUGUUGUCAAUCUAACCCUGCCACCCAAACACCACUUUGGUUAGAGUUAGUUCAGGGUUAGAAUCUAACCUCUAACUUAGAGUAUCCAAACAGGGCCCAUGUCGCCCAUUAAGUCAACGCCUUCUAUUCGACCGGGCGUUAUGACUUGUGGGACCUACAUGUCAGUCUGCACAAAAAAAUCCCCGAGUGACCUCCUACCUCCGCCCGUCCACCUAGUCAUCCUCGGCCAUGGGACGCAGCUACCGCCGCCGGCAGAAGGCGAGGUCAAAACCGCCGGCGGUGCGGAUCCCAUCUUGCGGCAGCCCGGAUGCCAGCUCCGCCUGGCGCUCGCGGCCGCUAGCUAGCCAAGAUAGCUCCGUCCAGCUGCUUGUCUGCAAGGUUUGAUAGCUAGAUUGGCACGGCGGCGCGGCGGCUUGCUCGCGCGCGCCGCGCUAAGGCCAGCCAUCUGGCUCGAGCGAAGGCCAGCGCGGCGGCUUGCUCGCUCGUGAGUCACGCUUGGGCCAGCCUGCCAACCCAUGCGGAGGCCAGCGCGGCGUCCGGCCCGUCCGACGGAGCGGCGGCCAACUCGCUCAUCACCGGCGCCACCGACGAACACGCAUCAGUACUGUUUGAAGUAAUGUUCAGGAAAAAUAAUGAUUUGAGGGGGAAUAACAGGAUAGAAGGUCAGAUGUGGGUCCCUCGUGUCAACGGUCAAACAAAAUGUGUUGGUUUAAGCUGCCUCGUCAGCACGGACGUGUGGGCCAACCCUGUCAUAAAUGGGUUUAAACUAACCUAAUCGGUAGGUAGUAGUUUUUGGCAUGGAUUAAGAAAUUUUGGGUGUGUUUUUGCUAUUUUUUGUACAAUAGAUUCUUUCUAGGGCUGGUUGAAAGUGGUAUUUUUUUUGUUAAAUACUCUACAUAUUGUAAGUAGGAGUGAAAGUUAAGCUUUGGAACCCAAUAAGCAAGGCUAGUUACAUAGUGCAUAUGUGUACAUGAUUGAAAGUAAAUAUCAACCAUGAGUGACUAAUAUCUUGAUGGAAAACUCGAAACUAUGGAAUACUAGGGAAAAAAUUUGCAUGGUUGGAGAUACUAGCAAUGUUCAUGUGUGUUGCAACGAAUCAUAAUUAGAAUAAUACUUAUUCACAAACUUGAUACAAAACACUCUAAUUUUGAUAUACAUAUAUCACUAGAGAUAUAUUAUGUUUCAAUUAGAAUAUAUUCCUUGGGCUAUUUUGGUGAGGUCAGGGAGGGAUGUGGUUGGUUUUAAGAUACAAAUUAUGGGUUUUUCUGCAAAUUGGUAGACAAGUGGGAUGUUUGUGAGAAAAGGCAACAACUUACCUCACAGUCGUUAGAUGCAAAUCUAAUGGUCACAAACGACGGAUAGCAGACACACCAUCAUCACCAACUUAGUCUUCUGUAGGAGUACUAGCAAGAUCCGUUCAUUGCACGGAACAUCAAGAUGCAUUUUUUUUUAUAAAAACACUCGUUGUGAUUGACCCAGGCGGGAGUAAUCCCAUGUGUAAAAACUAAUGAUAUCUCGAGAAAUAGGAGAUAAGGUGAAUAGGAGUGGGGUGUGGUGGUGAUUGGUGGUCGGACUGAGCGGAGGCAUGGGGAUUGACGAUGUCGGCAGCGGCCACCAGGCCAGUUUGUUCCAGAGGCUUCCUUUCUUAAUUGCUCAACAAUGAGGUUGUUGGAGAUAAGGAUGAACGAGGGAAGGCCUUGUCUGCAAAUGUGGAGAGGGGUGCGGGUAUCUUUUAGUUUAAUUUCCAUCAGUCAGAUAUAGAUCGGACGGUCUAUAUUGCAAGAUGGCACGCGUACCAUCAUCACCAACUCGGUUUUUUAUAAGAGAAGAAAUAUAAGUAUGGAGAUACAAACGUAUUAUCGAUACUUGUUUCCGUAAACUAGCAUCUACAUUCUAUUCAAUGCCUCAACAUGUGAGGCCUUAGCACAAUGACUUCUCGACUGUGUAAAACAAAGGUUUUCCCGUCGCCGAUAAGGAGGGGGUGACGGCGGCGCGCUUUUUGGCUUGCUCUAGUCCUAGUAGUCAUACUAGGUGGUCUAAGCACGUGUAGAUUUAUUCUUUUUCACGUCUCGUGUUCGCCGUACUGCCACGACUGUUGAUGAAUAGACGGUAAAUUAUUCACGGGAAAACCCUUGUUGAUCGUGUUUGCGAGAGAGAGACAGUGUGCAUGUGUGAUAUGUCUAGAGACUGAGGCAAUGAUAACAGAUUCUUUGUGUCUAUGUGUGUGGAGGAUAGAGAGAGACAUGUACAUGGGGCUUUGUGUUGUGUAACGUGGAGACACAUAUACAUAAUUAGAGUGAGUGUGCGAGAUACACAUGCGGACAUGGGGAGAGAUGAGGAUCCAGAUUAAUGGGUGUUUGUGCGUGUAUGUGUAUGUUUGUGUGCGCGUUUGUGUGUGAGAGGGAGUGUGUGUAUGUGGAGUAGAGAGACCACUAAUGAUGUAAACCUAGUAUAAGGGAAGGGGGAAUGGUGUGACAUGUGUAGUAGCGGGAUAGCAUGGGUGCGGGCGGGGGGGAGUAGACUAUUUUGAAGGGACAUCGAUUGUGUGUGGGAGAGGGGUGUGAGAGCGAGAGAGAGAGAGCUAGCGACAGAGAGAGAGAGGGGGGGGGAAGAGAGGGGGUGAGAGAGGGGCGUUUGUGUCCAUAAAUGGCGUAUAGAUAGGGAGACAAUGUUGAUGUUGUUUGAAAUUGGCCUAUGUACGGAGACGCAAGGGAAGCGAGUCAUCGUGUGUGUGAUAGGGACUUCAUGAGAGAUCUAGAAUAGAUGGUGUAGAGAACAAUGUGCGAGAUCAAGAACGAUGAUACAUUAGGGAGCUAUGGAAAGANNNNNNNNNNNNNNNNNNNNNNNNNNNNNNNNNNNNNNNNNNNNNNNNNNNNNNNNNNNNNNNNNNNNNNNNNNNNNNNNNNNNNNNNNNNNNNNNNNNNNNNNNNNNNNNNNNNNNNNNNNNNNNNNNNNNNNNNNNNNNNNNNNNNNNNNNNNNNNNNNNNNNNNNNNNNNNNNNNNNNNNNNNNNNNNNNNNNNNNNNNNNNNNNNNNNNNNNNNNNNNNNNNNNNNNNNNNNNNNNNNNNNNNNNNNNNNNNGUGGGUGACGAGGGGGGGGGGUUGGCUUCAGAUAAAGAGUGAGGUGUCUAUAUUUGAGGGACUUUAGCGUAAUUGAGAUAUACAUGGUCAAUAGUGUGUGCACUCAAGGUUGAUCAAUUUGUUUCACAGUUUGGACUAUGAGAUAACGAUAUUUUUGAACAUGCUUGAUAUACUUUGAUGUACCAGAAUUAGAAACCUAAGAUUGGAAUUUUGGAAUUGGACUCCAUCAUUAGCUUUUGUAAUUCAUUUAAACGGAGGUACAUUUUUAAGCCGGGAUUUCGUGAUUUCAAAUUCAUAUAUCGAACCUAGAUAUAUACACAUACAGGCAUGUUCAAACUUUAUAAUCAUCCACUUUAUUCAUACACAUACACAUUUUUGCUUUUGUCAUCAAAUUUAGGAUAAACACCUUUGGAAUUUCAUUUAAAUUGGACCAUAUGAUGGUAUUUGCUUGUAGUAGCUCAAUGAUCCAUAUUUGAAUUGAAUGGACAAUCUAAGUUUCGAGUUGGAGACAUUGAUUUUCAAAACUUGCACUUUUCUUGCGUGCAAAACAAAUAAAUUCUCGGCCAUGAUAUCAAAGUCGGCCGUACAAGAGCAGAAUAUAAUUUCAGGCGCCAAAAGCUUUCAAACUUCUCGCUCACAUCGAAAUAUCUCGCGCCCGAAAGUUUAGCCCUGCGAUAUUCCUGUUUUACCCCUGCCACAUGAACGGAAAAGGGCUGCUUUGGUAACUCCAUUGUUUUCCCCUCUUUGCCCCCAACAUUCUUCCCCAGAGCCCCUACCCUUCCCCUCCCCGACCCCCACCCCCAACCACGGCAAGCCGCCGAAUCUAGUCCUCGGCCGCAGCGGUGGACCUCACACCCCGACGGAUCUACCUUCCGCACCUUGGAACCCCCAACUGCCAACUCACCACUUCACCGGAGCCGCUUCAGCGACUGGCUUGUACACCGCUCCAGAUCUCCUAGACCGCCAUCAUGGUCCACCGCACCGGAUCUGCUUAACCGGCGCCCUCGUCCACCACAGUGUAGGCCCUUCACUGACUCUCUCGUCUGUCCCUUCGCUGGCCCUUCAUACAAGCCCUCGUCCGCCGCAACAGAUCUGCCUCACCGAAAGCACUGUACAACGCGCCCGCCAAAGCCUUCGUCCACUGCACUGGACCCGCUACACGGAUGCCAUAUUCAACUCCAUCGGCCCUGCUUUACCGACGCCGCAGCCUCAUCAGGUUAUUUCGAUCUGUACUCCUUCGGUUUUUCUAUUUAUCGUGCAACUGUUCACUUACCACGGAUGAGCUUUCUUGUGUGUCAACAGGCGCCGCAACCUAGCACCGGAGCCGCUUCAGCGACGGUGAUAGCCGGCCCAAACUCAACUGCAACACGAGUACCAUCGACGAUCCUUAGCUAUCAAGUAUGCCAACGAUACCCAUACGCCGCCGAGAAUCAGGUAUUAUUAUCCAACGGCCGGCGCCUAAGUUCACUUUCUUAGCAUGAGCACCACACCUUUGAAAUUCUUCAGGGCAUCAUUUAGUUUUUCAUGAGAUGCGUUAUUCUGCUUGCACCUGUAGGGCCAUACUUCUGGCAGUGAACGUGUUACAUGUGCUAAAUUACAUAUCAGUGCACAUAUAGUUAAUAUGCUUUAGUUUUGUCCUAAGUAUUAUUGUACUUCCUAGAUAUCACUGCCUACUAUUUUACUUCUUGCAUGCUAUAUUUAUAAUAAUGGUGUUGUUCUGAUGCCACCUGUUGGUUCCAUCAGACUGCUUCAUGUUCUCUAUGCUUAAUUACACAUCAGCAAACUAGCAUGUGGUUCCGCUGGUUUUUGUUCGUUUUACCCUACAUUUUCUGAUGCUAGCUAUUACAUCACUGCUACGAGCCUCUGUUCAUUACUUUUGUGUGUGUUCUUGAUCUUCCCAAGUUGCAUGACUAAUUUGAUGCUUCUAUUAAUUAUGGAGCUGCCAACCCCAUCAAGCAAAAUAUUUGUUCUUUUGGGGCUGGCACCUCGAACAAGCAUAAAAAUAGAUGGAAGCAGAUAUAUUGUCGUGUAUGCACACACCCUUCUUUCAUUAGUUUAUAUGAACCAUUGAUGCUCAAUUCGAACCAGUGCAUGCGAUUAAAAUUAAUUUUACCUAAAUAGAGGGUGCAGAAUAAACUACAACAAGUAGAUUUGCAACCACGGGAUGCUGACAAUAUCUUCAAAGAACAUUGCAACGGCAGUGAGGCUUCACAGCAACAUAUGGUAAGCCAGUGUGUUUUAGUACAUGUGAAAUGUAAUGUGUGUGGGCUGCUUUCUUGGCUUGAGCCCUCAACCUGUAACCCUAUAGAAUAACAAAUAGUUCAGUUGCCUGCUUUGUUGUAUUGCUUGAUUCGAAUGCUUGUUUGUUACUUGUUACGCUAUACCUGAGUUGGCCAAUAUGUCAGCAGUGCCUGUUGUACUAUCGUAACGAAAUGCAUGCCUAGUUCAUUUGAGUCCUUAACUUUUCCUCUGAACUUCAUCACAAGACUAUCUUCGUAGUUUAUAUGAGGCCACACUGUUAAGUGCUUUCUCAGAUUAUUUCAACUGCUUAGAUGCCUUGGCAACUUUAAUAUAGCGGUGGUACACUCCCUUUCAACUAGGGAUCUCAACUGGGUCCCGUUUAAUCCCGAUUAAAGUCCACUAGUGGUAUGAUAGUUCAAAAGAGUUUUUGUUUUUUAAGGAAAAUGAACCAGGGAGCUAGCAAAAACUAACUAGAUGGGACCGGUGGAUGUCGUUUAUUUGCCACUUACAUCCUUAGUUUCAUCUUACCAUUUUAAUUUCUUUUCGGCUAAUGCUGCUUCGAACCAUUUAAACAUAGCUUGCCAUGCUCGGAAAUAAUUCGUAUGUCGUUUACCAUGUAAGCUUACUGCCUGGAUCAUGCGAUAACUAUCUCUUACUUAUGUCCAGCGGAAACUUUUCAGGAUGCCGUUCACACUAGGACACAAUGUACAACCCCAGAAUCUAUUUGUGGAAACAGUGCGCCAUCCAUGUUACCAGAUGGUAGCAGUUUAGAGGCAACACCGCCGGAGAGCAGUCUGAGCACAGAUAUUAUAGUUCUUGAGGCUCUACUAGAGGCAGAAAGAGAUGGUGUGGCUGCCAUGAAUGAGGUAAUCUCGAUCUUGAAGCUGGAAAUUAUGCAAUUAGCUGCACGCAUUAUGCAAGCAACCCAAGAAUUGGAGGAAGUAAGAAUGUUGCAUUUGAAGACGGAGGAGGUCCUGCUGCUUCUGCUAUCUGAAGCCCAGGGUAAUCCCAGUUCUUCUUUAGAUAGCAGUUGAAAUUGUCAUUAGAUUAUUGUACUUGCAUGUUGUGUCAUGUCUCUGAAUGGAUUAUGUUGUAAGACCCCCUAUGUUGUCCAUGUGUUGUAAUGAUCCGAAUUUUUUAGGUGAGGUAAUCCACAGUACUUGUAUGAUUGACAUAAGGUGAACUGUUUUUCGUGUGAGCAUAUUGUAUUGGAUGAAAUAACUGUUUGACUCAAAGUGUAUCCAACCUACUGAAUUCGAAGAUCACGGCAUUUCUAAAUCAUAAUCAUAUAUAAAGGUGGAAUAAAUCUUUGUUGUGGUUUUGAAGAAAUAAAUAACAAAACGUAGAAUUAUCUGUGGAUAUUCGUAAUCGAAUAAAAAAUGGAUGGUUUUAGUUGCCAUGGCCCAGGGCAAACGUGAAUGCUAAUUCUCCCAAGUUUUGAAUGAAGCGGCUAAACACCCACUAUCAUUUGUGGGCUGCCCGAAGCAAGUGUUUGCGAGAUGGAAAUUACUGUCUACCCCUGACACUUGACAUCCUUAUCGACCGGAUUUACACUGCUGUCGAUAGGGGUAGACUAGUAACUUCAAUCAGACGUGACACAACGGCCUCUGAGCCCAUUCAGACACGGUGGGCGCCAAACGUGGGCGGCAAAACACAUUCGAUUCAAGCUCGUCCGAAAGACAUGUGUCUCUCCCUCCAUUUCCCCAUUCAUCCACGGUGGGCGGCAAAACAAACUCUCCUCGUCCGAAAUCGAUGUAGGCUAAUAUUUUAAAUAGGGGCAGAUGUGUAACUUCCCUCAGACGUGACACAACCGCCCUACCUGUCAGCCCCGUUCAUACACCGUGGGUGCCAACCAUGGGCGGCAAAACACCCUCUCCUCGCCCGAAAUCGUUACCGGCAAAUAUUUGGGAGAUGCGAGAUUACCGUCCUAUCCCCAACUGACGUGAUGUCCGAAAUUUUAAACGGGGGAUAAGUUUGUGACUUUCCCACAUUUCAGACAAGCGCGUCCCAAAGUUUGAGAUCCCCCCCCCCUCCCCCUCCNNNNNNNNNNNNNNNNNNNNNNNNNNNNNNNNNNNNNNNNNNNNNNNNNNNNNNNNNNNNNNNNNNNNNNNNNNNNNNNNNNNNNNNNNNNNNNNNNNNNNNNNNNNNNNNNNNNNNNNNNNNNNNNNNNNNNNNNNNNNNNNNNNNNNNNNNNNNNNNNNNNNNNNNNNUCCCCAUUCAUACACCAUCAGCGCCACGACAACCUCCCCACUGCGGCCAGCCUCCUCCGUCCGCCACCCCAUCCUCCACCUUGCCGGAGCCGCUACCCCUACCCCGUCGUCCACUGCAAGAGAUGGACGUCUCUCAUCCACGGCGCCGGACCAGGAUCCUUUCAUCGCGUCGUCUCGCUUCAUCGAUGUCGUCGUCCACUUUGCCGUUGCCGCUCCUACGACCGCCUCGUCCACGGCAACAUGAAUUAUCCCCCACCCGGCCGUCUGCCACCUAAAGUCUUCUUCCCCUCCGCCGACAUCCAUCGCACCUGCAGCACCCUCAACGCAUCAGCAGGGGCCUACACGGCGUCGCAAGAGAGGUGGUACUCUUCCAUAUGUGCUUAAGUUAUUGAUCUCACCCAGAAAAUAGAUCUUAAAUUGUUUACUGUACUUUUCUUGUCCGUACCAAAUCGUAGUGGCUAGUUGAAUGCAAACAUUGGUUGCGAAGUAGCUUUGUCCGGUUUGCACCUUCAGAUUCACCAUGUCACGGUCACUAUACUCGUAAAGCUUAUGGUUUCCCCCCUUUAUAUUCACUACCAUCAUCGUAGGUGCUUCACUGCUUCGUGUCGUGCUAGCACUGCUCCUCAAGACCUCAACCCAUCAAGCGAAACAACAUGCCACUCAUAAUUCCAAAGCUUACGUGUUGAAAUACGAAUCCGAUAUGAUGCUCAUAUUACUAAAACAGAGAACGUUUAAUUGGUCACCUAAUGUUCCUAUAUUCGUUUCGAAAAGCAUGUGCGCCACCCACUGGUCCAGCUAGUUCCACUUUCCUGAUUUUACUCUUGAUGCUUAGGGUUUUCCCCUUUUAUCUACUCUACUAUGAUCUGCGUAGGUGCUUUCUGUCAUACCAGCAUUACUCCACCCUUCAAGCUAAACAACACAACACUCAAAAUUCCAAAGCUUAGUUGUUCAAAUAUGAUUGUGAUAUGAUACUGAUAUUAGUUAACAGACACAUUUAAUUGGUUAGCUAAAGGUCCCACUUGAGUUUCCAAAUGCAUGUCGCGACAUAUAGAGAGACAGCAGAAUUGCAUUUCCUUGUCACUUAUUGACUGUACUUUCUUGUCCAUACCAAAUCUUAGUUGUUAUUUCAAAGCAAAUAUCGGUUGCUAACUACCCUUUGCGCGGUUUGCAGCUUCAAAUCUGCCAUCCCACUGCCGCGGUCAACACUAUACUCAUCAUGCUUAUGGUUUCCCCACUUUAUGAUGACCACGAUCAGCCUACGUGGUUCGUGCCGUAAUAGCACUGCUCCACCCAUCGAGCUAAACAAGCUUAGUUGUACAAAUUCAAAUAUGAUAUUAUGCUGAUAUUAGUAAAACUGAGAGUUGUUUAAUUGGUCAGCUAAAUGUUCCUACUUUAGUUUCGAAAUGCAUGUGAGCCACAUAUGGAGAGACCGGAAGGAAUAAUAUUUCUCUGUGCGCUCUGGUUCAUCAUGGGUGGCCAACCGACAUUGUAUAGAAAGACUUGUAAUAUCUUCAAUCUGCUUGCUCUUUUGCUCUUCCUUAAGAUGAUCCUCUUCUCUUGCGGUCGACUGUCAAGUCGAGUUAUUCUUCCUUGGUAUAUUUUGAAUCAGUCAGGUCAGGUCGACUUGUUCUUCUUUACUAUGUGUUGAAGCUGUCAUCUGCGAAGUAUCAUCACUUCUAGAGCUCUCAUAUUUUGAGUAGUAGGCCACAUUAUAUUAAUGCACACACCAAAUUACAGCAUGCAUGGCACCUCUUAGAAGAAUUGCAGAGAUAGCACAAAGGGGUUUACAGGGAGGAAGUAUUGGAUUAGAAUCACUUCUGCAUUACAAAGAUAAUCUCACUUGCUUUUAUGUUUUCAUGCAUGUCAGGUAUUGAACAUUAUCAAAAUGAAUAUGAGAAUGGGCGCACGAGAGGAAUAUUGCGGAACAAUCCACUGGCUAACAAACUUGGCAUGGUGGAGGAUGGCCUAUCUUAUUCACCCAUCAAGGUGCAUGCUCUAACUUGGCAAGUUUGUAUUGGUCGCACAUAUUUUGCAUCUGACCUCUUGCAUUACUUCUACUUUGUUACACCAUCUGCUUAGUUUAAGCAUCAUAUAUGAGUAUAUGCCAUACCUAUCCAUUUUUUGUACCUAUUCCAUGUGUCGUCAUACUAUGUUUUUUCAGUCAAAUGUUGUUCUUUCGUAAUAGAUGUCCAAAAGGAAGAGCGUGAUUGCAGAUCCUCAAGGAGUACAAACUAGGUAUUUGGAAAAGGUAGUGAUACCUGUUAAAUCAGAUAGAUCAGCAGCCACAGAAAACACAGGCCCAACUGUAACAGACUUUACCCCUACUCCAGUGGCCAAACCCCUAUUAGAACUGCUGACAUCCCAGCAUCAGGUACUGUCUAUGAUAUCAAUUCAAAAUUUGAACUCCUAAAUUUCUGCAUGUGCCUUACCUUCUCUCUUGUAUGAAAACUAAUUUCAGAUGAAUCUCCUUGCUCAAAGGAUCAUAGGAUCUCACGACAAUACUGGGCUUUGCAUUGCUCUUGUCAGUACCUCUUGCCCUUUGUCAGCAUACUUACACUCAUUGUUGUAUUAUUAUGUAGCAUCACUGUAAAUGUUCGCUUCUUUAUCCUCCCUUUGCUUGAAAUUAUAAGAUCUAUAUUUACUCUUAGAUAAAUGUAGAAUUAACACAAUGGUUAUGAAGUUUUGGAUUGCUCAUGUAAGUACCUGUUGUCAUGUACUCCCUCUUUAUCGAAUUAAUUGUUGAUCAAUUUGAUGUAUUUAGAACUUAAUAGUGCUAGAUACAUCCAUUUGAGCGAUAACUAAUAACGGACGGUGGUGGUAUUACUGUACAUGCAUCGCGAGAUAGUUGAUUGUCUAGCAUUACUCUGCAUCUUAUCUGCCUUGCCCUCCACUUUCUCCAAAUUAUCAUAUCUACAUUUACUCUUACCAAAAUGUUGAAUAAAGCCAAUGCCACUACACACGUUGAUGUCUGCAUUCCUCUUGUCAGUACCUUUUGCCUUCUAACAUUGUACUUAAUUAAUUGCUAUUUGAUUAUGUAUCAUCAGUCUACACCUGAGCUUCAUUAUCCUCUAUUUCUUCCAAUAUUAUUUGAUCUAUAUUUACUCUUUGCAAAAUGUAUAAUAAUGGCAACGCUUAUAAAGAAUUUUCUUUGGGGAAUUUAUUGAACUAUCUUUCCAUCAACAUGGAGAAGGGCUUUGUCCAGCCCGUGUUAACAUGUAAUGUAAGUUCAUCCUUCUCAAGCCUUCAAACUUUGUUCUAGUAUAGAUUUGGAUAGGCAUCAUUUCCUCCACUGCUGUUUACAUCUGAUUGGAUGUUUGCAACAACUACCGGUUUUAAAUUGUAGUUGUAAAAACAUGUUCCUUAUGCAGAACAGAUCCAUUUAUUUGCUUAUAUAAUUGUGAAACCUGUUACGUGUCUCCUUGUUUCUCUUUCAGAGUCGUAUCUCUUAUGCCAGGCAGAACUUUAGGAAAGAUAGUGAGCCAAACCAUCUUGAGGACAGCGAUAUGACCCCAAGGUCCUGUCUUGAUGAACACAGUGAGUUGAAGCUACUCACCAGCAGGUGUGAGACAACCUCUGUGCAGUCGCUGCCUCAAUCAGUUCGACUUCUUCAGUCUCAUCUUAAAGCGGAAAGGCUUGCUUCAACUCAGCUUCGACUUGAAGUCAAAGAUGUAAUGAAGAUGUCAGGGGACUGCCUUGCGCGCUAUGGUGCCAUACAGCUAGGGAUGAAGCAUCUAUCGUUGACACAACUGAGGUCUCAUCAGCUUGUUCGGCUGCUUGCGGGGCCCGAGCUUGCCAGGUCUAGUGCCUUCUGAAGUGCUCUCAGUUUUGUAUAUUCUUUUGUCGGCGCGUUUAUAUGCACUGGUGGCGACCUUUGAUGCCCAGUGUAUGUAAUCCACGGUCAUGUUGCGCUUUAUUAUCACCGGUAGCAAACUUUGAUUCCCAGUGGAUGUAAUAUGCCGUAAUUUGUUUAUUGUAUAGUGUAGGUUUAUUCUUAGGUCGGUAUGUUGUAAUUUAGGCUGGAAGGUUCAGUGGAUCUCAGUGUUGUCGGUCUUCAGGCCGGCCCGUUACUCAUAUGGGACAAAACGUGGGCCUAUAAUCAUCUUGGGCCAUUAGCAGGUCUAAACCUAUAGUAGUUUCCCGCCUUUAACAGGUCAUGGGCUACAUAUUUACUGUAGUGACAUUGGGCUUCCUACGGGCCAUAGAAACAAUGGGCCUUCUACGGUCCGUAGAAACAAUGGGCCUUCUACGGGCCGGAAACAAUGGGCCUUCUACGGGCCGUAGAAACAAUGGGCCUUCUACGGGCUGUAUCAUCAAUGGGCCUUAGACGGGCUGUAUGAUUGAUUGGCUAAACAUGGGCCAAAAACAAACCGCAUUAUGGCCGUAAACAGGCUAGAGUUGGAGUCGUCCGUUCAUGGGCCGACCAUAACGGGCCGUCGUUAAUAGGCCGUAUUUGAUGACGCUAUGAAAAUGGCCCAACGUCUUAACGGGCCACAAACGGGCCGACUGUAACCACGGGCUGAAUUUGGCCACAAGCAGAAAAUGGCAGUAAUGGGCCGUAAGUAACCGAAUGCUGGAAAUGAGCCCAAGAAUAAAUGGGCCCUGAGAAGGCCGAUAACAUGGGCUGCAAACGGCCCAGUGGAUUAAUGGGCCAUUAAUGGGUAUAAAGUGAUACAUUGUUCAUUACGGGCCAAUUUCACCACGGGCCGUUAAUGCGCCAAGAGUUACAAAGGGCCUCAUAUGGGCCGAAAGACGUCAUGGGCCAUACAUGGGCCGAAACUUAAAAUGGGCUGGAAUCAUAUUGGACGGCCCAGAUGACGCUACUGGGCCUAAUUCGGAUAGGUCGUAACGGGCCCUGGGUUAGCGAGCUGUAAAUGGGCUAUAUGCGAACAGGCCGUUAACAGGCUUCCGGUGGGCCGGCCCGCCACCUUUUGACCAAGUCAAACGGGCCGGCCUUUUCACAGGAAUCGGCCUCUGUUCGGUCGUUCCACGUGUCGACGUAUCAUGGCACCUUCGGUCCAAUGAGUGGAUGACAUCUGUCCCAACGGUGAGCCGACACAUGUUUCCUCCAGCCAAUCAUGAUUUUACACGUGGAAAAUCCCCAUUGGUCGGGGCUGUUAGCGGGUUAUCAGAUCCAAAACCGGACGCGAUAGCUUAACGGUGUUCCGUUACGGUGGAUGCCACGUGUCGGUCACCCUUGACGAAAGCACUUCUGUGACACGCGAUUUAUCGUCAUGGAAGUGGACACUUCCGUGAUGAUAAUUUUGGUAAUGUCAUGGAACACUUCUACGACAGCACAGGUAUGACUAUCUUGAUUCUGUCAUAAAAUUGUCAUGGAUGUACAUGCAUGACAAAAAGCGCGACCUACUGUGACAAACACGUAUCAUCACGGAAGUGUAUUUUUUUUGUAGUGAACCUAUGCCUUCUUUAAUAUGUGUGAACUCGAAAGUUUUCACGAGUCAUACUCUUCUGGUAUUUUGCCAGAUAAAAUUUCAACACUACAACUUCUUCGAAAGUGAGAAGUGAAUGAAAGGUUAUGCAUUGGAGAAGUGGGAGUCGACCUUGAACUUUGUGUUCAUGCCCAUGGACACGAUGUAGAUCUUAUCAUUAAAGCUUCUCUUAAAUUAAUUAUUCCUUUGGUAUAAGUUCAUCUUAUAUCUGGGAUCUGGUCUUAUGCAAUCGUGGUUCCGACCAUGUUCUCCUUUAAAUACAAUUUCUCGUGCAAGUUUAAGCACUUGUCUUCUACAAAGCAAUACCCCAGUCCAACCUCUACUUUGAUCUAUCGUCGAGUAUUACCCCCCUGGUAUCUCGAGAUUAUCACGAAACUGCAUAAUUUCUUAUGAGUUCUCCAUCAAGUACUACAUUCUCACUGAUUCCAAUUUUUUCAUGGGCUCUGAGUCAUUAAACACCCAAGGAC